rnacentral:lncRNA from 1 species
AUAGACUGGUGAACCUCAACUAAGCUUCUACAACCUUGAAGAAUUAGCCUCUCAAGAUUUGGCACAUUUGUGAAGUCAGGGGUUUCCUCAAGGUAUUGACAAUAACUUAAAUUGAUGACUUCCAACUUUUCCAGCGUCUGUUAAAACAUUUAGGAAAGCAUGCAUUACUUAAUAAGACAUCUCACUCAAAACCCAAACAUUUAAAAGAAACAAAUACAUGUAAAUGAUUGUACAUACCUGGGUUCCUUCCCAAAGUCGGUCAAUGAGACUAAAUUGCAUGUCAAGUUCAACAAGAUUUUUGAAUUGAAAGUUGGAUAGCAAAGACUUGAGAGGGAAUCCAAACCAGGAGAGAUACCUCAAGUUAAGUAACUUAAAGGGCCCAAUCAAGUGGUGUUUGCAGUAAUCAUGUUUAGAAAUGGAGUCCUUAUGACUGAUCUUGAUAAGUCUUAGUUGAUUCAUGCUAACAAAAGCUUCAGCAUUUAAGCAUACCCAGUCUGAGUACGAGAAAUCCACGAUUAUGCUUUCAACUGAUUUUGUAGCCUGUGUAAAUCAAAGUAAGGGAAAAUACAGAGAACCUUAGUUUAGAUUAUGAAACUAAUACUUGUUUCUUAAGGAGCCGUUUGAUAAUCAUUUUGUUUUUAGUUUAAUUGUUUUCAAUUUUCAAUUAUUAAAACAAUAAACACUAAAGGUUGUACCCAGUGCACAAGGCUCCCGCUUUACGCAGGGUCUGGGAGAGAUGAAUGUUGGCUAGCCUUACCCCCAUUUAUGGAGAGGCUGCUUCCAAGUCUCGAACCCGAGACCUACCGCUCAUGGGCGAAGGCACUUGUCAUCACACCAAGUGCGACCUCUUAUUAAAACAAUAAACACUAAAAAUUAAAAAUUAAAAACAAAAAUACUUAUCAAACGGACCUAAGAAAUUGAUUUUGAUCAAAAGUUGAAACUUUUUAUUGACAAUAAGAAAAAGAUUUCUCACCGUAUUUUGAGAUAGCACGUGAUGAACAUCUUCAUAACUACACAACCUACUUCGUCUCCCAGGCUCUUUGAUACAUUCUUGGCGGACGAUUUCCCGACCCAUUUCCUCUAAUGAAUCAUGCAUCUCCAGUUCCCCCUCCCCUGAGACAGUUAUGAGAGCUCGAUCGAUUAGAACUCUUAUUCCAGUAUAAGGAUGGAAACCACAAACUUCCAGAAUUCGGGUUGCACAGUCUUUCUUCAUCCCUUUAAAGAAACAUGCAAUGUCCAGAAAGAUGUCCUUCUCCUUGUCAUCUAGUCCAUCGAAGCUUGAUUUAAGCACAUCAUGAAUUCCCCUUCGUGGGAUUUUCCUUAUUUUUUCUAACUCAUCUUCCCACUCGCGUAUAGUUUUGUUACCAAGAAAAGCUCCCAAGACUUUGUGUGCUAAAGGCAGGCCUUGAGCAUAUUCUACGACAUGAUUCGAGAGAUCAUCAUAAUCUCUGGUAGGUUGGUUUUUUCUGAAGGCGUGCCGCCUAAAGAGUUUCAGAGCUCCAGAAUCACUCAAAAUCUUGGGAUUAUAUAUCACAUCAGCUAUGCUUAGUAAUUGCGAAUCUCUAGUUGUUAUAAUAAUUCUGCUUCCACAACCAAAGGAAUGUGGCUCUUCAAGUAAAGCUUCAAUUUGUUCUAAUUCGUCCACAUCAUCAACAACAAUAAGAACUUUUCUCUGACCAAGGCUUUUUAACAUCACCUGAAAACCAUUUUUUGAUAUGUCAGAACUCCCCACCUUGUUGUUCGAGAUAUUCGAUAGAAGUUGUGCCUGCAUAUGUAGUUUGCCAUGCUUCAUGAAACCUUCCUUGAAAUUUUCAAGAAAGCAACAAGCUUCAAAUCGAUUAGCGAUUUUAUCAUAAACAGCUCUAGCGAUGGUUGUUUUGCCUAAACCACCCAUACCCCAUAUUCCAACAACGCGAACAUUAUUCGUUUCACCUCCGGGAGGAUAUAAUAAUAAAUGCAUUUCAUGCAUGUGAGAAUCCAUGUCAACCAAGCCAUUAUCUUUGCUUGAUGUUGAUGAGAUGUCGAUCAAUUUCCUAUAAACAUCUUCUACAAUUUCCUCAAUAAGCACCGCAUCAUUUCUGUCAAAUUUAAAAAACAAUAUAAUAACACCACCAAAUGAUAAUUAAUGGGUCUUUUUCAUCUGUUAGUUUUCAAAAAAAUAGAAAUUAAAACUAAAAACUAAAUAUUUAUCAAAUUACCCCUAAACGUUACAAAAAUCCCAAAAAUUACUAGGAAACUAAAACAAAUUAGAAUUUACUCAUAGUUUCGCGAAUCCCAGCCGGCUAAACUGGUGGCAGUUGUAAGAGCGGAUCUCCAGCUCCGAACCUCCUCUAUUUCGGCGUUAGAAUCGAUAUCGUGCUGAGCAAAAGCUUCCGCGAAACUUUUCUUGAGUUUACGAACAUCAGACGGAUCAACUUCAUAGAAAAUGGGGAGUACAAUCUGGUUAUUGGUACCUUGCAUUCCAGGAUUUGCACGAGUUCCUUCAAGCACCAAGUGGAAGAAGCAUAGUUUUGAGAGAAAACUACAAUCGAAAGCCUCGACUCUUGAAUCGCUGUCAGGAGCUCGGAAAGGUGGUCGCCUUUUCUGAACUUUUCGGCAUCAAUGAAGGCGUUGAUUGGUUUCUUAGCCAGAGCGUUGUAGAGAUGGCUGACGAAGCCCCUGCGAGUGUCUUCCCCUCUGAAAUUGAUGAACACAUCGUAUUUCCAACCAAAGCCAGAAGAAGAAAAAGAAGAAGAAGAAGAAGCAACCAUUUAUCGAUCGCACCUGGUCACCGAUGAUCGAGCAGUUAUGACUAAGAGAAUUGUAAGUACAUAAAUACUCAAUGAGUCAAUGCAAAAGGGAAAAAGCGAAAAGGAAAUGGUUGUGAUAUCCAUACUUUAUUUUACUUUUUUAUACAUUUUUGAUAAUUUAUUUUUGUUAAUUUUUUUUAAUUCAUCUAGUUUUACAUUUAAAAAUUAAAAAAAUUUAUGAGAAGUUGAAAUGUGUGAAUAUCACGUCCAAAGGAAAAUUAUGCUUUUAUGUGUUUUCAGAUCUUCUUCAGGGAAAUUUCGAUGGGAAUGGAAUCUGCAUGCUUUUGAUUUUUAACCCAAGAAAAUGCCAAGAAAGGGGUCAAAGUAGUAAAUUUAAUCUACACUUGCCUACCCAACCACCUCUUAAUUUAAUAUAUUUAAUCGAGAAAAGUAGGUUAGAGGAAGGAUGGUAUCUCCUUUUCCUCUCUCAGUCUUCCAGCAUGCCAUUUAAUCAUGAUUAAGGCUAAAGCUUAAUUAUAGAUCUUGAUUGGAUUAUUAGUUUCCGUUGUAAUAUGGUGGUUAGAAGAUUAAAAAAAUUAUGAUUUAUGCUUUCAUAUGCUAACAAUUAAUGAAGAAUUAACAAAAUUUUAAAUUUUAAAUCUAAAUCCUAACAUAUUUUACCAUAGAAGCUUAAAUCUUAAUUUACUUAUCACAUGGAUUAUUUUAUAACUACCUUACUAUUAAUUCAAUUAAACCUAUUAUUUCUACGAAAACUAAAGAAAAGUUAAAAAAAAACUUUAGUUUUAAUGAAAAAAGAAAAAUGAAUGUGUAGUAAAUAAUACCAGAAAAAAAUAAAAAAAAUAAUUUUUUAUUAAAAAUAAACAGUAUAAAAAAUGUUGCAUUAAUACUCUCAUUAUUUAUUUACAAAUACGUGACUAAAUCACAAAGUGUUAGAAUGAAAGGGAGCGCUCAAAACGAUGAAAAGCAGGAGCACAGAAAGCUAUCUCCGUUUCUUUGUUGAGCGGACAACUGUUUAUUUGUCGUUCUUUUGGCAGAUAGCUCCUAAUGGCCCAUUUCCACAGCUGGUUAUAGGAUUCUGUUGCUAUAUAAGAAGUGUUUUGUUGUAAUUCAAUAUCGAUGGAAAUUCAACAGGAUCUUUUUCAAAAUUUUGUGAGGAUUUUGGGGUGUUCGUGAAUCUUGUUCAUCGUAUAUUGUGUAGUUGUUUUUUAUCGAAUAUUAUUUUUGUUUAAUUUUAAAUAAAGUAAUUUAAAAUAAUUUUUUACUGCAAGAUGUAUGAUGAACGUAUAUGAUUCACAGAUCUCCAAAAUCCUCACAAAGAAAAUCCAAAAAUGAUCUGAAUUCAAUGGAGAUAAGUUAAUUUUGAAUCAAAUAACAUUAGGAAAGAAAAAUAACAUUAGACGCCAGUCGGGCGAAGGAUUGGAGCCUAGUGCCUAGGCAGCUAGGCGAAGCCUGGGCGAUUAGGCGGCUAGGCGGCCUAGACGGUUUUAAAUAAUUUAUUGUAUAUUUGUAUAAAAUUAUUAUUAGCACUUCAAAAAUCUCAUUUUAUACUCCAAAUUUUCUAUAUUAAAAAAGAAAAAUACACUUAUGAUGAGUGUAGAAUGAGAUUUUUGAAAUGCCAAUACACUUCUCUAUUUUUAUUAUAUAAAUCAGUUGGACUUAAAAAAGAAAAUAAAGAAAAUAAAACAUUGUUCAAAAACUAAAACUCUAUAAAUAUAAAAAGUCAGGUCUUGAUUUAUCAUUACAAUUGAUAAAUAAAGGAGUGUGCUAUCUACACAACUUUUUUUACUUCUCACUCCUAAAUAAAAAAAUGAUGUGUGGAUAUCACAUCCCUAAAUAAAAUAUAUAAAUAUAGAUAGUUGGAGGAUAUCCAAGAGACAUUCUUUGGAGGAUUUUAGAGAAGAAAGGAGUACGAGUAUAUAUCCAAGCUAUAAAGGAUAUGUAUGAAGGAGCAAAGACUGCCGUAAGAACUCAUGAAGGACAAACCGAAAGCUUUCCCAUAACUGUAGGAUUACAUCAAGGCUCAUCCUUAAGUCCUUACCUUUUUGCGUUGGUAAUGGAUAAGUUAACAGGACAUAUUCAAGAUGAUAUUCCUUGGUGUAUGCUUUUCGCAGACGAUAUAGUGUUGAUAGAUGAAACUCAGGAAGGGGUAAAUGCAAAGCUUAACCUUUGAAGAGAAGUGUUGGAAUCUAAAGGUCUUCGCCUAAGCCGAUCAAAGACAGAAUAUAUGGAGUGCAAGUUCAGUACAAAUGAAGGCCAAAACGAGUUAGGGGUGAGGAUCGGAGAUCAAGAAAUACCAAAGAGCAACCGUUUUCGUUACCUAUGAUCUAUCUUGCAAAAGAACGGAGAAUUAGAUGGAGAUCUCAAUCAUAGAAUGCAAGCUGGAUGGGUGAAGUGGAAGAGUGCAUCCGGCGUGUUGUGUGACCGCCGUAUGCCACUGAAGCUCAAGGGAAAAUUUUAUAGGACGGCAAUAAGGCCGGUGAUGCUGUAUGGCACAGAAUGUUGGGCAGUGAAGCAUCAACACGUACACAAAAUGGGUGUAGCGAAGAUGAGGAUGCUUCGUUGGAUGUGUGGGCACACGAGAAAGGAUAAGAUUAGGAAUGAGGAUCCGGGGUAAAGUAGGAGUAGCCGAAAUUGAAGGAAAGAUGAGAGAAAAUCGGUUACGGUGGUUUGGACAUGUGCAAAGAAGGCCUACUGACGCUCCGAUUAGAAUAUGCGACUAUGGGACAGAGGUUCAGGGCCGAAGGGGUAGAGGAAGACCUAGGAAAACUUUGGAAGAGACUUUAGGAAAAGACUUAGAGUACUUGGAUCUAACGAAGGACAUGACACAGGACCGAGCACAAUGGCGUUCUAAGAUUCAUAUAGCCGAUCCCACUCAGUGACUUGGAUUUUCCAAGUCUCCAACCGAGAAGUUUUCCUCACUCGGGAAAUUAAGGGAACACUACCUCAACCUACAUGCUCCACUCACAAAGCUUCAACAAAAGAAAAUUCAAAGAACUUAGCGAAGAAUGAUUUGGUGUAUUUAACACAAACGUUGAAAUGAAGGAAAGCUUAUUUAUUGAUAUUCCCGAUAAGCUACAAAUAUGUACAUAUACAUAAGGUUGCUUAGGAGAAGUCUCAGCAGCCGGUAGAGCCCCAGAAAGAGAAGGCACCAGAGGGGGAUCAUUCGGAGCCUCAGAACUGGACAGAACCCUAGAAGGAUGAGGCAUCAAAGGUUGAUCAUUUGGAGCUUCAUUACGCGGUACAGCCCCAGAAGAUGAAGGCAAUAAAUGCCUUUGGAACAAACCCACAAAUCUCUGAUGAUCAAGUAAAACCUGACCAUCAGAUUCCUUCAUCUGGUCAAGCUUCCUCUUCAUGUUUGUAGCAUAGUCAUGUGCGAGCCGGUGCAACUGUUUAUUCUCAUGCUUGAGCCAUCUAAUCUCCUGUUUGAGACUCAUCACUUUAGCCGCCAAUGAUUCAACUUGGCGGGUUCAAGCAAAUAGGCGUUGGGCCGUAUUAGACACAGAACCUGCACACUGAACACUGAGAGCCAGCGAAUCCUUAACAGCUAACUCAUCAGACCGUUUGGAAAGUAGUUUGUUAUCUUUGGGAGUGAGAAGGUUCCUGGCCAUCACCGCAGCGGUCAUAUCAUUCUUCAUUACGAAAUCCCCAACGGUAAGAGGACCAGUAGGGGAGACGAAGGAUGUGCGCCAUAUGUUGUCUGGAGAAGGCGGGGCUGCCUCUUUAACAAGGUUCAAGUCAAAACGACGGUCGGAGGGGCCAGACAUUUUCAAAGGUGUUGAAGAGAGAAGAUGUCGGAUAAAUCAAGAUCUUAGAAGUGCAAGAAUGGAGCUUCUACUGGUGGAUUUCAAGUGUGCUUUAGAACUUAAUGACAGCCCCUAUAAAAAUCUGCACUCGACGGAGCUUCAGAAAUCGAAGAGGCGUUUGCUUUCUCAAAAGUUGGGCUGCUCAAAGACCACGAAGGCCAAUCUCAGAAAUCGAAGAGGCGCUCGCUUUCUCAAAAGCUGGGCUACUCAGAGACCACGAGGGCCGAUCUCAGAAAUCGAAGAGGCACCUACUUUUCCAGCCUUGUCAGCACCUGUCACACGCACACUCAGCUUUGCGGAAAUUAUGGGCAUUCUGUCGAAGACUUCUGGUGAAGUAAAAAGCACAUGAAUCUUACUGUUCAAUCACCCACUUCCCACACGCAACAAUAGCUCAUGGGUACCACAGAUAACUUUGCCAAAGUUGAGCACGUGAAGCUUGCAGCUCCUACUACAUCGCUCUGACCAAGAAGGGUAAAAGAAUAGCAAAGAAACAGCACUAACAAAGUUUAGACCCAUAAAUUUUGAAGGUCUAGCUACCAUAUUAUUACCCACAAGGGUAAAGGAACAGUACCACUGCUGGAUAAUUGGAAAGUCCCUGUGUGUCAACCUCUGUGCUUCGUGGCAAGGUAGACUAGCAAACAUGCCCAACCUUUACUCACAUUCGAGAAAACACUCCCAAUAAGAUUGCUUGCUCCAAAAUCGAAGAGGCACCGUCCUCCGAAUCUCGAGAGCCAGACUCCCAACAUGAAUACUUUCUCAAAAAAAUCGAAGAGAGGGUAAAGGAACAGUACCAUUGCUGGAUAAUUGGAAAGUCCCUGUGUGUCAACCUCUGUGCUUCGUGGCAAGGUAGACUAGCAAACAUGCCCAACCUUUACUCACAUUCGAGAAAACACUCCCAACAAGAUUGCUUGCUCCAAAAUCGAAGAGGCACCGCCCUCCGAAUCUCGAGAGCCAGACUCCCAACAUGAUUACUUUCUCAAAAAUCGAAGAGACACUGCUAUCCCGAAUCUCGAGAGCCAGACCCCCAGCAUGAUUGCUUUCUCAAAAAUCGAAGAGGCAUCGUUCUCCGAAUCAAUCGAAGAGGCGCUCGCUUUCUCAAAAGCUGGUGGGCUGCUCAGAGACCACGAGGGCCGAUCUCAGAAAUCGAAGAGGCACCUACUUUUCUAGCCUUGUCAGCACCUGUCACACGCACACUCAGCUUUGCAGAAAUUAUGGGCAUUCUGUCGAAGACUUCUGGUGAAGUAGAAAGCACAUGAAUCUUACUGUUCAAUCACCCACUUCCCCACACGCAACAAUAGCUCAUGGGUACCACAGAUAACUUUGCCAAAGUUCUCUGCCAAAGUUGAGCACGUGAAGCUUGCAGCUCCCACUACAUCGCUCUGACCAAGAAAGGUAAAAGAAUAGCAAAGAAACAGCACUAACAAAGUUUAGACACAUAAAUUUUGAAGGUCUAGCUACCAUAUUAUUACCCACAAGGGUAAAGGAACAGUACCACUGCUGGAUAAUUGGAAAGUCCCUGUGUGUCAACCUCUGUGCUUCGUGGCAAGGUAGACUAGCAAACAUGCCCAACCUUUACUCACAUUCGAGAAAAACACUCCCAACAAGAUUGCUUGCUCCAAAAUCGAAGAGGCACCGUCCUCCGAAUCUCGAGAGCCAGACUCCCAACAUGACUACUUUCUCAAAAAUCGAAAAGGGUAAAGGAACAGUACCAUUGCUGGAUAAUUGGAAAGUCCCUGUGUGUCAACCUUUGUGCUUCGUGGCAAGGUAGACUAGCAAACAUGCCCAACCUUUACUCACAUUCGAGAAAACACUCCCAACAAGAUUGCUUGCUCCAAAAUCGAAGAGGCACCGCCCUCCGAAUCUCGAGAGCCAGACUCCCAACAUGAUUACUUUCUCAAAAAUCGAAGAGACACCGCUCUCCGAAUCUCGAGAGCCAGACCCCCAGCAUGAUUGCUUUCUAAAAAAUCGAAGAGGCAUCAUUCUCCGAAUCUCGAGAGCCAGAUCAUCAAUAGGAUUGCUUGUUCGAAAACCGAAGAGGCACCACUUUCCCAACUUCAAGAGCCGGAUCUCCUUGGAUAAAGCUUGUCUAUAAUCUUCACACGGAACAUCAGCUUUCCAGAUACCACAGACCACUUUUUCAAAGUGCUCUGACAGAGUUAAAACAUGUGAAGCUGGCAGGUCCCACUACCGUGCUAUGACUAAGCAGGGUAAAGGAAUAGCAUUACUACUUGUUGUUAGGGAGACUCCUAUAUAUGUCGACCUCCAUCCCCAACGACAGGCAGACCUGCAAAAAUGCUCAACCCUUCCUCAUAUCUGAGAGGCCACUCCCAACGAAGCCUUUCAAAAUAUUCAGCUUUCUUCCCCCUCCCCGAUAAUACCUCUGCAAACAAGCUAUACUAGAGCAAGAAUAUCUCAUAUCAUCAGGGUUAAAAGCAAGAGUAUCCCAUAUCAUGCUUUUUCCCUGUCUUUUCCUUUGGCCUUGUUUUUACCUGCAAGACAAGGAGAAAGAGAGCAAUCAGUCAGCACUUGGAAUCAAGCUUCCAGCCAGGAACUGACUGCCUGGAACCCCUUACCUGAUUACUUACCUGGCAUUGCUCUCGAGUACUCAUCUUCAACAUCUUAUGUUUCCAGGGAAGAUUACCGCAUCUGCCUUGAGGAACAGAUAGGGCAAGUGCGAAGGAUACAAGGAAGCAUGUGGAGACAAGCGUAACAGCACACGUGCCGAUACAUCCAUUACUCUGUCAAAAGCAAAAGUAUCCCAUAUCAGCAGGGUCGAACGUACUCUAGAUUUGAUGGACUUGUUUUGACCCUCAAAUUCUUCAGUCGGCCUUAUACUCUGGAGGAAACCAGAAAACCCUCCAGCUCAGUUCAAGAAUAAGCCUGUGGAAAGUUACUUCUUCAAAAGCAAAAGUAUCUCAUAUCAUCUCUUCUCAUUUUUCUUCUCUUUAUCCUUCAUGCUGCCUGCAAGAUGGGGAGAAGGUGAACAAUCAGCCGGAGCUCUGAUUGCUUACCUUGUCUGUCACCUCUUUCAGCAGAUCCCCUAGCUCGGCGACUUGGGGGACUCCUACUACAUGGUUUGUAUCGCGCUUGACCAAGCCUGAAACUACAAGUAAGCUUCAAGUGAAAUUGAUACAUUACCUUGUGCAUCUCCACCAGUUAAAGAUACCACCCCUGGAUGGAGGAAGAGUACUUCCAGAGAAGAUGCCACAUCUACCUAUGAGACAGAUAAGGCAAGUCAAGACGAUACCACACUCCGAUACUUAGAAGUUUCGUGAUUACGAGAUCAUUCUCCCACAAUAUUUCCUAAUGUCAUUUGUACUAAAUCAUUCACUUGUACUCACUAAAGGAGAGCUUGAACCUAUGUACUUGUGUAAACCCUUCACAAUUAAUGAGAACUCCUCUAUUCCGUGGACGUAGCCAAUCUGGGUGAACCACGUACAUCUUGUGUUUGCUUUCCUAUCUCUAUCCAUUUAUAUACUUAUCCACACUAAUGACCGGAGCAAUCUAGCGAAGAUCACAAAAAGCAACCGUUUUCGCUACCUAGGAUCUAUCUUGCAAGAGAACGGAGAAUUAGAUGGAGAUCUCAACCAUAGAAUACAAGCUGGAUGGAUGAAGUGUAAGAGUGCAUCCGGCGUGUUGUGCGACCGUCGUAGGCCACUGAAGCUCAAGGCAAAAUUUUAUAGGACGGCAAUAAGGCCAGCGAUGUUGUAUGGCACAGAAUGUUGGGCGGUGAAGCAUCAACACGUACACAAAAUAGGUGUAGCGGAGAUGAGGAUGCUUCGUGGGAUGUGUGGGCACACGAGAAAGGAUAAGAUUGGGAAUGAGGAUAUCCGAGGUAAAGUAGGAGUAGCCGAAAUUGAAGUAAAGAUGAGAGAAAAUCGGUUCCGGUGAUUUGGACAUGUGCAAAGAAGGCCUACUGACGCUCCGGUUCGAAGAUGUGACUACGGAACAGAGGUUCAGGGCCGAAGGGGUAGAGGAAGACCUAGGAAAACUUUGGAAGAGACUCUAAGAAAAUACUUAGAGUACUUGGAUCUAACGGAGAACAUAACACAAAACCGAGCGCAAUGGCGUUCUAGGAUUCAUAUAGCCGACCCCACUUAGUUGGAAAAUGCUUUGUUGUUGUUGUUGUUGUUGUAUAGAUAGUUGGCGCUUUGUAGUGGGCGGUAAGUUCUAGUUUUACCAUUAAAAAAUAUACACUGUCAAACUAGUGUGGGUUCUAUCAAUUUUUUUAGUAUUUUAUUUAUUUUUUCACUCUGUCUCCGUGCCAUGGUCUUGAUAUUAUCACUCCUUUAAUAUUUUAUUCAUAUUUUAUUCUACUUGAUUUAUGAUGGUGUGUUUUUUUGACCAAGGUUUAUAAUGGUGUUUGUUCUAUAAGUCGGCAUAUUUGCCAACCGCAAUCGAUACUGUCGUUCUCAAACACAAAGCAAUAGUUUGCUACCGAAAACAACCAAAGUGUGACAAAGGGAACCGUCUUACACCUAACCUGUUUUUCCCUCAUCAAAUGAGCGCGUUGAUCUGCAGGUAUUUUCUGCCAUCUCAAAACCUGUUACAAAGAAAUAUAACGUUGAUGUCGAGCUGGAUAGCAUAUUAUACCAAUUAUGUGUACAAACCUAUUGAAAUAAAGUAGCUGUAGUUGCAUAUUACGACAGAUAUUAACGAAAACAAAAGAAGGCUCGCCUAUUCAAGAUCCUAAAUCCCGUGAUUCUUUUGUUUUUAGUUUCAGAAAUUUUCAGAGCACAAACUGGAAAGUACCAAGAUACUUACAUAUUGGGCAUAAUGAAAUGCAUCUUCAUCUUUCAAGCAAGAUUUGAGUGAGCGCAAACCGUCCUGAGAGUUACAUAAGUCAAUCAGUAAUAUAAAAACGUAUACGCAUCACAUCCAAACACAAGUAUUCAAACACCAACAACUUCUUCAUGCGGUGAGGCAUGUUAAAAAAUAGGGAAGAACAGUUAUUGAAUAGGAAGUUAAAGGACUAAAUUUAUGACCUUGUGUUUGUAGUUCUUGGCUCGUAUGCGUUCAUCUAUUACAAAACCAAUCUGUAACAGGUACAACAGAAAAUAUAAGCAGUAGUCAGAACAUUAAUCUUCGGCAUUCACAUUGCCACCAAUCCAAAGUUAAAAGUCUGAAGGCAAAACAGUAUGAUUCUUAUCUCUCAAACAAAAAUGAAACUAUACCCCGGUCUCAGACAUAAAUGAAAUAAGUUCUACUGCCUCAACUGAGUACUGUGAUUAUAUAUAAAUCCAAUUCACCUUGUCAAGUAAUCUCUUAGGAUCUUGAAAUGCUUCCUUCUUAGCCCAGUCAUUAAAUACAUGCGAGAAAAUUGAUCUCUCAUCCACACUGAAUCUAUUGCACAGUGACAGAAGAAUAAAGUUAAACAUGAACAUAACCAACCAAAAAUGCUAGUUAUAAUAGUACACCCAUAAUUGCAAGCAAAACCUUUUUAAGAAGCCAUUUCCAUGGUUUUCCUCCCCAAAUUCCAUCAAUUCUGCAGAGGCAACGUCAAAUUUACUAUGAUGGAGAUCAUUUUGCACUGUAAUAACUUCAGAAGGUAGGAGAUUUGGUUUCAGAUCAUCUGUUGACGGAGUAGUUUCUUUUGAAGUGUCAUGAUGCUUUGAUUGCAAGCCUUCUGUACUUACGUCAGCCUACAAAACAAAAAUUGCAUUCAUCCACACUAGACUUAAUAAGAUUAGAAACACUUCAGAUUCUUCAUUAUUUGUAUUUUUGACUAAACAGCAGAACAACUGAGGAUAAUGAACAGUAAUACACACCUGGACUUCUCGUAGAUGAUUUGGAAUUUCUUUCAGAAAUCGCGAAGGUUGAAGCAUCUGAAGGAGUCACCUUCUCAGUCAGAGCAACAACAACAAAUAAGGAGGACAGGAAUUCAAGCUAAAACGAACCUGCCAACUGGAAUCCAUCGUAACAUAAAGAAUGAAAAGCUUUUUUCGAGCACGAGUCAUUGCAACAUAUAAUAGGCGUCUCUCCUCCUAUGAUUAGAGUGGGAUUAUUGAGUUAUUGAUCAAAAGAAAAAAGAGUGGGAUUAUUGUGAAAAACAUGUCAAAGCUCUGCAUAUAACUGAAAAAUGUUGAACAAUUUACCACACACCUCAAUGGAGGUCCCAUUUUCUUUUGCAACCCCAUUGAAUUCAUGCAACAACGGGAUCUCAGAUUCAUUUACCUGUGUUAUUGGCAUGAGCAUUAAAGCAAGCUAAGAUGAUUUGAAGAGGUUGAUAUCGUCAUGAAUAUAGUAGAACAGAGAAUACCAAUUUCAAGCCAUCAAUUAGGUAUAGCAUUGGCAUGUUUAAUCCGUAAAAUCUAAUGACAGAACACCUCAACUCUACACAUAAAUAAAUAAACAACCUGAAAAAUAUUACAGCCACAUGUUAAGGCAAAUACCUUAAUUAUGAAAACUAUAUCCCACUCUAAACCUUUUGACUGCAAGAGAAUGAAAAAGAAAGACAGUAAGCCAAGAAUGUUUUGUAGAACUCCAAAGGAAGUCCAAUAGGGAAAUCAUCGCAAGUAUAAGAGUUAGCGAGGUUCGCAUAAGAGGAUAUCAAAAAGAUCUAGAACCUGAUGAAUAGUAGUCAAAGUGACAGAACUUUGGUUGUCAUGUCUUCGGGAGUGAAAAUUUUCACUCUCCUGCUCAGAUAUGUAGUCGAUGAAAGCUUUGAGUAAAUUAACGCAGCCUUUUUCUUCUGCUACGACUUCUCUCUCUCCCCUUUUCCCGCAACAAAAUGAGUUGAUAAGAAAUCAGAUACGUCGUCUAGUAGGUACUGAAGAACCUGCAAUGAGAAUAAUCGCAUCACAGCAACAGGGUUGGACCAAGAUUUAAGUGACAACAAUGAUUAACUAACUAAAAUAGAGAAAUUAUUCAUUUAAGACCUUGUUGACGGAAAAAAGGGUUUUCCAAGCAGCGGGUCAUUUAAGCUUAUUGUAUAAAUGACAAUCAUCACAAACGGCAAACUUACAGAUCUCACGUCAUUGUCUUCAUUCAGCAGUUUUCCUCCAUCUACAUCAACGACUGCACGUUGCUCAAGACGGUACUUCUAAAAAUUGAAAGUCAACAACAACAACAACAACAACAAAGCCUUUUCCCACUAAGUGGGGUCGGCUAUAUGAAUCCUAGAACGCCAUUGCGCUCGGUUUUGUGUCAUGUCCUCCGUUAGAUCCAAGUACUCUAAGUCUUUUCUUAGAGUCUCUUCCAAAGUUGUCCUAGGUCUUCCUCUACCCCUUCGGCCCUGAACCUCUGUCCCGUAGUCACAUCUUCGAACCGGAGCGUUAGUCGGCCUUCUUUGCACAUGUUCAAAAUCACCGGAGCCGAUUUUCUCUCAUAUUUCCUACAAUUUCGGCUACUCCUACUUUACCUCGGAUAUCCUCAUUCCCAAUCUUAUCCUUUCUCGUGUGCCCACACAUCCCACGAAGCAUCCUCAUCUCCGCUACACCCAUUUUGUGUACGUGUUGAUGCUUCACCACCCAACAUUCUGUGCCAUACAACAUCGCUAGCCUUAUUGCCGUCCUAUAAAAUUUUCCCUUGAGCUUCAGUGGCCUACGACGGUCACACAACACGCCGGAUGCACUCUUUCCAUCCAGCUCGUAUUCUAUGGUUGAGAUCUCCAUCUAAUUCUCCGUUCUCUUGCAAGAUAGAUCCUAGGUAGCGAAAACGAUCGCUUUUUGUGAUCUUCGCUAGAUUGCUCCGGUCAUUAGUGUGGAUAAGUAUAUAAAUGGAUAGAGAUAGGAAAGCAAACACAAGAUGUACGUGGUUCACCCAGAUUGGCUACGUCCACGGAAUAGAAGAGUUCUCAUUAAUUGUGAAGGGUUUACACAAGUACAUAGGUUCAAGCUUUCAUUUAGUGAGUACAAGUGAAUGAUUUAGUACAAAUGACAUUAGGAAAUAUUGUGGGAGAAUGAUCUCGUAAUCACGAAACUUCUAAGUAUCGGAGUGUGGUGUCGUCUUGACUUGCCUUAUCUGUCUCAUAGGUAGAUGUGGCAUCUUCUCUGGAAGUACUCUUCCUCAAACGAUAAAUUAUUACGAAGCAUUGAAUAUAAGCAUGAAACGAAGAAAAUGUUAUGGAAUGGUGAUCCUCAUCCUCAAAGAUGAUUAAAAGCAAUUUGAUUCAAAAAUGACAUAUCAACUCUGGAGAAAUGGAAGACAAACCUGUGGUACCAUAUUCGCAACUGAGGUUAUGACAGCUGAAAUCGAUUGUUCCUGUGUGCAUUGAUAAGUGAGACUACCAUAGAGAUUCACAACUAAAUAAAGACAGGUAUUCCACAGAACAACCUUUACCUCUUUGGAAACACAGAUCUAACAAAAACUAUAACAUUUUGGAUUAAUAUUGACGAAUCAAGAAUAAUGCAAGGGAGCAAGAGAUACUCUUCCUUCUAAUAACAAGGAGGCGUGAAAAGUAUACAGAGUUCCAACAAUUAGAGAACUAAAAUCAAACUAAAAAAAUCACCAAAGUAGACAGAAUCUCACUUCGCCAAAAAUUUGAAAAUAUAUCCUUUUUAUCCAUUGAGAUUCAUGAACUACUACUACUACUACAUCAUGCCAAUAAGCAAUGCGUAAGAGGUGCUACAAUUUACCGAAUAUAUUUACCCUGAGAACAAGUUUUGAAAUCAUCUCUAGUGUUAACAGCACCUUGCGUCCUUGGGUAAGCUGAGUCCUAUUAUCAAGUAAAGAGACCAAUCAGUACAUAUCCAAAAGAUCUUAAAUGCUUGUAAUACCAAAUAAGAAAGAAACAUGAGUAUAUCUUGAAUUAACCAUGUAAAAAUGUAAUGUUAAAGCAUCUUGUCAUACAGACCUCUUCAAGGUACCAGAAAUUUUUGCACUAAAGAUGUCACAAGCAGCUGAUAUGAAGCUGCAUUUUCUGUGAGUUGAAAUUUUGUCAAUAUAAUCGAUCACCUGAAGAGAGAGAGAGAGAAAAAGACAGUGAUAUCCAGAGAUGUGAGCCUAAAUGCUGAGUGUGUAAAAAAAGAAGAUUAAAUGGAUAGCAAGAAUAUACAACUUUAAUGCUGAAAAGAACAUUGAAUAUGAUGCUCAUUCAUCAUUCCCAUUGAACGUGUACCUUCUUCUUUUCCUCUUUCUCAAAAGCAAGUAGAGCCUUGAAGACUUGCCUAUAUGAUCCAUCAUCACAACCAGGCAAAGUUGUUUUAAUCAUAGCAACAAUGGCUCUAACUACCUGCCAUAAGAAACAUGCUACAUCAACAAGAUCACAGAGUGUACCAGAAACCGUAAUGUAGCAAAAUCUUGGAUAAAAUAGCUGACCAAAAGGGAAUGGAAAAGCAAGCACGAAAAACAAUGAAAAGGACCAGUGAUGCCAAAAUUCUGGUGGAAAAGGUGAAAAGCUUCUGCCUAUUACAAUUUUUGUAUGCAUUCUUUAUAACUUAAGUUCUACUAGCAAAAACCACCUUAUGCAAAAUAAUAUUGGAAAAAUUAGAUACAUACAACUGAGAAGAUAGGUUUUCAUAAUCUGGACAAGUGCUAACUACCUUCUUCCUAUAAACUGCCACUCCAUGAACAUUAAAUGGUAUUUUCCUUUCACGCAAGGCUGUCUGGAAGACUUUUCCUGAUACCUGUAGCAUAAAAUACAAAAGAAAAUGUGACCAAAAUGUCUUAUAUGAUUCACCUCAUUCACAUUAGCACUAAGGCAAGUAAGCUUGACCUGCCUCCGGUAAAGGAUUGCUAUAUUUCCAUAGGAGCACCCUGCUUCUGACCGUUUCGAUGCAGUCUCCAGGAUCUUGUCGACAACAAAGGCGCAUUGUGCAUCCUCAUUGUGACUUUCCUUGAUAAUUACCUACAUUUUGCCAGUAAAACCAGUGUCACUAACUAAAAGGACUGAAAAAUGACAUCAAAUUGUACUUGUUGGAGCAAGGAAAGAUUAAGUACCUUAGACCCAGAAGAAUUGUCCGUGUCAACAUUCUUUAGUUGGCAUCGCUUCUUAUUGUUUUUUAUAACAGAAGAUGCAGCUUCCACAAUAUAGCGUGUGGACCUAAAGUUUUUAUUAAGCCUAAUCUGAACCAUAAAGUUAUGUCAAAUCCCACAGAAACCCAUAAAAUAAAACUUACUUUCCUGUAAUUGUACAAUAUAUUUGUUCUAUACUAUAUAUAAUGAAAAAAGACACUGUGAAUGACAUAAGAUAACAUAGCAGUCAAGUGCGAAGCGAACCUCUUUGUAAUUUGAAAAAUCUUUACGAAAAGAAUCAAAUCCAGAAAUGUCCGCCCCAUUGAAACUGAAAAUGGACUGCAGCAGGAUAUAUGUUAUUUGAUUUAGAACAGAUAAGGGCUGGAUUAGAAUGAGCUGAGAGAGAGAGAGAGAGAGGGAGAGAGGGAGAGAGGGAGCAAUAACAUUGGAUUUCCAUAAUAAAUCAACAACAUGCCUGAUCAUCAUCACCAACAAUGGUUAUGUGGUUAUGAGAGGCGAGAAUCCGCAAAAGACUAUAUUGCAUAGCACUUGUGUCUUGAAACUCGUCUAUUACAAUAGCUUUCCAUGACUCCUGGCACUCCUUCAACACUAAUUAAGAGAACACCAUGUAUCAACAUUUAGCAUUACUUGUAAAACUAGAUAAAUCAAUGAAAUAUACUUAGAUGAUAGAGACCUUCAGGAAAAUCACUUAGCAGCUUCACAGAGCAGCUAAUUAAGUCGUGGUAGUCCAAAGCGUUGCACGAUUUCAAGAUAUCAUUGUAAUUCCUAAGAAUUUCACCCUGAUUCAGAUUGAGAGCUAAAACUCAUAAGCAAUAGUUUCAAAGAACUGAAAUGAUAUCUGAAAUUCUAGUUCUGAGCGUACUCCUGUCACAUCACCCAUUCUUCGGCAUUCAGCGGGAGUCUUUCCAGAAGCUUUUGCCUGAAACAUAAAUAAAUUUACUGCCUAAUGCCACAUAUUGUAAGACACACCAUUGUAUUGGUCAUUCUAGCUUGAUUGUAGCUAAUAUUUUUUAAAUCGAAUGAUUAGAGUUCUUAAUCCACAAUAAUCUGAACAUUAAAUUUGGUAUUCAAGACUAACCUGUGUCACAAACUUCAGCCAUUUCUUUGAUGCAUCCUUAAAAUGAUGUGGAGAUGUUACGCCGUCAGACUCUUCCCCAUCUAUAGCAACAUUAAGAUUCGUUUUACUCUUUUCAUCUUCUGAUAACCGCACAGCUUCAAUGAUUGCUCUUCUCUGUUGCCCAUGUCCAUAUAUCAAAAAUUCUGGUCUGCGCUUGAGUCUAAAACACAAGCCAACAUAACAGACUCAGCUAUACCACCAAAUGUAUGGUGUUCAAAAUCAAGGGAGGUGAAUCAAUAGCUUACUUCUCAGCAUGUGAUCGGCAAAGUUGCAAUGAAAAUGAAUGAAAUGUACUGAUUGUUAGUAGUUUUGCCGUUGCUUUCCCAGUCACAGAUCCAAUUCGAUCUCUCAUCUCGGAAGCUGCUGCUGUAGUGAAAGUCAUUGCUAGAAUGUUCGACGUGCUAAUGCCCUAAGAACACAAAAAAAAAAAAAAAACGAAUAAGAUUUCGAUCAUAAACAAGAAAUGUAGAGAAACACACAAUUACGAAAGAAAAAGUUAGAGGGAAAGUAGCAACACCUCAUUGAGCAGCAUUAGAACGCGCCCAACUAUCGUUGAAGUCUUUCCACUUCCAGGGCCGGCAACAAUCAUCAAAGGUACUGAAAUAUAGCUGCAAGCUGCCUCACGCUGCCUUUCGUUGAGAGAAAGCAAAUACUUCAAAUACUCAUCCGGCAUGUUAGGCAAUCCAUGGUUAACAGAAUCUGUUUGGUUUUCACUACUCAAAGGCGGCGCUGAUGGCACUAACGUGUUAUGACCCAAAUUAUUACUGAGGUUUUAUGCUUUAUUACUGUGAGGAAUUGUUAAUAUACCAGCUGGCAUUUAAAAGUGUAGAGGUUUUAUAAAAGGAGCCCCAGCUCCCCCAAAUGUAUCAGAUCAGAAUUUUACAAAAGAAAUCAAUAUUGGAGCUCUGCUCCUUCUUCUCUCCUUCCCUCUUCUUCCAUAGCUUUCUUGUGCCACUUACAGGUUGAUUAAGGGAAUUGAGAAUUAGAUCUUAUCAAUGGUAUCAUCCUUCUCGAAUCCUGGUUUCCCUCCUGUGCACACCCACCCACCUACGUUUUCUGCCAUGGUUGCUGCGCCCAAGGAUUCGCUUCGCGAGACCCUGGAUGCUCUAUUCGCACCCUACCUGGCUAAGAUCCGCCGUGCCCGUGAGUUGGCUCUCAGCGCUGAGGGAGACUCCACUCCAACCCUUAUGUUCGCUAUCAGUGAUGGGGGAGUUCCUGAUCCAGCCCCGAUGAUUGCCGAUGACGCUGCAGGAAUCGAUCUCGGUCAGAAAAUAAUUCCACGAGUCGCUGCAUCAACUAAUCAGAUUCUGCCGUUGCUCUCGUCAUCGCCGUUAUUGCGAGCACUAGCAAAUCCUCCUGUCAGGCCACCGUCGAACUCAAACGCUUCAUUGGCAAAUUCGCCCAGCCAGCCGCUACACUCAAAUGAUAUUGUAGCAGCCACAAUUCCAUUGCGGAAUGUUGAGAAAACCAGGCCCGUUGCGAUUGUGACCACAAUGCCGCUAUUUCCGAUUUCAGCAACCUUUAGCACUGAAUCAGCCCACGCUCACAAUCACAACCUCGUUUUGAGCACCAAGGAAGCUACAACAAUGGCGCAUGUUCUGGGUUUUCCUCUCAAGAAAGCAGGAGCUACUAAAUCUGUAGGUAUAUCUCAUACAAACACCACGAAGCGUCGACACGAGGUAUUGACAUCCUUGCUUUCCAAUUCUACAAAUCGGAAGGACAAAUGGUAUUGGGUUUUGCAGGUUAUUUUGGCAUAUUAUACUGGUGUUAUUGUGAUAAUGUAUGACGACUUCUUAACUGAUAAAUGUGGAUGGGGUAAUUGGUACCUUGUGGGACAAUUUGUGUUACACGCGCCCCUAAUUUAAAUCGUAUUUUUACUAAAUUUGAGUUUAUCUUGCUUUUAAAAUUAUUUUUGGGUUUUAAAUGGUGUGCCCAAGGCCCACCCCCUGUUUUGUCCCCCGUUCCCUUUCCCUUUCUUUUAUUUAUUUUCUUCUUUCUUCUUCUUCUUCUUCUUCUUUUCUGUUUCUUUUUCUUUCUUUUCCGUCUGUCCCUCUCGGCUCUCUCUGCGCCCUCUCUUCUCUGCACCGCAACAAGCACACGCACGCACCCAUUGCACCUGCGCGAGGAAGACCAUCAUCAUCUCGUCCUGCUCUCUCUCCCUCUCGUGUUUGCGAACCCAGAAAAUCGGAAAGGAUCUUCCGCGAGAUUUUUAUAUUUUCCGGUUAGGUAAGCCUCAAAUCCCUCUCUUUCGUCCUAGAAUCUUUUGAGAAUGGGUUCUAAUUGGUUUUAUUUCGUGAUUUUUGGAGGUUUUAGGAUGAAAACAAACUCGGGUGCAGGAACACCCAUUUCCGGCGAGGAACCCGCCACUUUCGAGUUAAUCUCCGGCCAAACCACGGCGAGUUGGCCGGCGUGCAAGGUAUCAAUCUCUUCGUCUCGUCGAUUACUACAACUUUCCUUUUUGUUUCACCCAAUUUCGUUGAGUAUUGAAGAAGUUAUACUCAUUUGAAUCUUACCCAGUUUCCGGCGAGUCCGACGGCUUUCGAGGCGUUUUCCGGUCAAACCACGGCGAAUUAGACGUCGUGUGAGGUACCAUUCUCUUCGUCUCUUCGAGGGCUACAACUUUCGUUUUUGUCUCGCUUGAUUUCGUUGAGUUUUAACAAAGUUAUAGCCAUUUAAAAUUGGGUGGUUUUCCGGCCGAAAUUCCAGCCUUCUUCUUCCUCGGGUCCGGCGACCCAUCAAACUUGGGCCCUUUGGGCCGUUUCUGUUAAGGGCUUUAAGCCCAAACCCUAAACCUUUGGGCUUUAGGACCAAACCCAAGAACCCAAACCCUAUGACCCAAACCCGGAUCCAAGCCCAGACCCGUUUGACCUGGUCCGACCCGGAUCCUGACCCGUUGACUUUGACCGGUCAACGUUGACUUUUCUAGUUGACUUUUCGGGUUUUCGUCCAAGACCUUCCUAGGCUAAUUUCGACGUCCUGGAUCCGUUUUUGAAGUUCGUUUUCCCAAAUUCAAUCGUUUGAGUAGAGUUUGACUAAAUGGAUCAUUUAUGUGCUUAGGUGAAUUUAAUGACGGCGGUUCCGUUAUUCCUAUUUGGUAUGGCGUUGCACCAACGGUGUACGGUGAGUGGACCCCUUCUAAAAUGCAUGUUUUAUAGUAGAAAUGCAUACAUAAAAAGUAUGAUUUGAUGAUUACCUUUUAUGAAACGUUUUGUGAGAUAACAUGCUUAUUGAGGCUACUUUAAAUUAUUACUAUUUUUCCUAUAACCCGUGUUCUUAUAGAAUAUCUGAUGGAUGACGAUAUGAUAUUAGAACAUGUUUAGAACACCUCUUUAUAGUAUAGAUGAUGGAUGACUUUAUACUAUGAAGUUGUUUUUCAAUAUAUAUGUUCAAUGGUUUUGUACUUACCUAGUGGUCAUUUCCGCUACGGGACGUAGGGAUAGAUUCCGGUCAUUCCCGGGCGACGGUUUGGUGUUGGCAUAGGGCCUGGAGUGUGUUUCCUCUGGCUAUUUAGCACAGGGACGGGGAGCCGGCAUGGGGCCUGAAGUGUAUUUUCCUCUGACUGUCUGCUCAGAGACGGGGAGCCGGCAUGGGGCCUGGGGGUUAUCGGACAAUUCACUAGUGAUUAUUAUAUAUAUAAAAGUUAUGAUUUGAGACACUGCACAUCAUGCUAGGUUUCGGAAAACCUAUGUUUAUCAUUAUAUAUGUGUUUUCAUAAAACUUGGGGGUUAGUACGUUGAUAACUGUUUUGUUAUAUUUAUAUCAAAUUGGUCCACUCAUGUUUGUUUUGCGCCCCCUUCAGGAUUUAGGAUCGAGGCGUACAAUCCCGGCAAUCCAGGCACUUCCGCAUCGGUAUCUUCAAGUCCUCUCGGUGUAGAACCCACUUCUGUGUUCAUUCAAUUUUUAUAUUAAUUCUUUUAAUGUUCUAGAUUAGAUGUGUGCUCUGAACACGUUCCUUAAAUGCAUAUUCUUUAUUUAUAUUUAUAAGUUUUAUCUAUCCUUUAUUUUCAGCAAUUGCACUCAAUAAAUGGCUUUCGUCGCCCUCGGGUGUCGGCCAGCACGUGACCAUCCUGAUAUCCUGAGGAUAUCGGGAUCGGGGCGUGUCAGAUUGGUAUCAGAGCGUGGUUUGUUCAGAGCAUACUUAGGAUCCUCUUCUAUUAUCGUAGAGUGUUGGUUUUGACAUCAUUUGGAUGUCCAGACUUCUAGAUUUGGUGCCAUUCGGCGCAGUCGUGCGAAUCUUCCUCUAUUUGAAUUGUCACAUUCGGGUUGAUAUACAAGAAUUUGUGUCGGGAUUGUGCCUCAUCGGUGACGUGUUUGAAUUGUUGGACGACUUUCAGCUUCAGAUUGAUACUCUACGACGUGCAUUCCCUGGGAAUGACGGGCAUAGUCGGUGUUACUUGGAAGCGACGGAUUUUAGAAAUCUCAGCUUAAGGAAGUCUGGUCAAGACCAGCUGUAAAUUCGAAAUGGCGAUGCCACUCUACAACAUGCGUUCCCUAGGAAUUGCGGGCGGAGUCGGCUUUGCAUCGAAAUCUUGGGAAGCGGAAAAAAAAUCUUGGCAGUACGAAUUGACUAAGACCAACUGGAGUUCUGAAGCGGUGUUGUACUCUGCAACAUGCGUUCCUUAGGAAUGGCGGGCAGAGUCGUAUCUCUUUAGAAAUUACUCGAAACUUUCGAAAUGCAGAUUGAAGAAGCGAGUAAGUGCUAGUGGUGACGACGGUUAGUAGGUGGUAGUUGGUGGGAGCAAAAUCAAUGUUCUCGAACUCAUUACCACUGAAGAAAUUUGGGUGAAUCUUUAUAACAGUUCUCUGUGAUUGUUUUAUCGAUUACCUUCUCGUUUAUUCCAACGACGAAGUCAAGUUCACUGACCUUUGAUCGUCAGCUUCACAUCAAAUCCCUCGAGAGUUGACUUCGUCUAGAGAUUAUACUUUUCUUGGGAAACUCCUCGGUAGCAGACGUUAUUCUCAUCAAUUUCGAAAUGGAGUUGCGAUUCUUGUUGUUGUUGUAGUUGAACUUGGAUAAUGAAGAUUCAGCCUUGUUUGGAUAAACAAAUUCCUUGAACUUCACCUGGGUUUGGUACUUGGUAGUAAACCCUAGUUCCUCAUCCGUGUACUUUUCAGUGAAGGUGAACUUAGUCCCUUGCUUGCAACCUAACUGUUCAGCCUUGUAAUUUUCAGCGUAAUGGCUUGAGACUCUAUCAUAUUCAUCAUUGUACGAAGAUCGAGCUUUACUCUGAACUUCUCUGGGCUCGUUAAGCUUUGAUUUGCUCAGAGGCAUCACUUUAAGGUAGCCAAUCGUGUCACUGCAUGCAUACACAAGCUGCUUUGUAUCUUUCUUCUUCGUUAUUCUGCUGAUUCAGAGGUUUUAUGUUUAAUUUCUGAAUUUUUAAAUGACUAUCGCGAAGUACCGUGAAUCUCGAAAUGUCUUUGGCCUCGUCAAAUCUUAUUAAUAGUUCUUGACUAUUCUUGAGAUUAGACUUGUUCCUUUUGGCUAAGAAACCAGUCGACCUUAUUGUGAUGAGUAGCCAAAUAAUCAUAAACAGUAACUUCUAUUUCUGCAUCUUCAUUUUCCUUCGUUUGUUUGUUUGUUUCUCAAUGUGAACUGGAUCAUGCCGGGACAUUACACGAAGGGUGUAAAAAAAAAAAAAAAAAAAAACGUUUGUUCUCGGCGUGGUUUCUAGUUCAAAUCCGGAUAUCUUGUACUCUAUAUUUAAUGGACUUGUUUUGAACCUUAAAUUCCUGAGUGUUCUUUUAGCCUUAUCGACAUGGUUUCUCUCUCAAUUAGUGAGAAAUUCAUGAUCGAUGGUUUCGGCGGAAGUGUGCGCCCAAUUCUUAUCGAUUUGGACAGGAAUGUUGGGAGCAUAAUCUUUUCACAAGCUUACUAGACUUACCAGAAAGAGUUCCACGUGGGUGUGAAGUUUGAGUUGUCUUUUGGUAAGAGACUGGUGAAGAUUGUGGUGCAGAUGAUUAGCAGAUUGUAUCACUAUCUUCACGCUGAAUUGAAUGGUCACCAUUCAUUAUCCUGCUGCAAUUCAUAAUCAUCAUAUCUUACUCUGGUAGACAUUUUUGAUGAUGUGUUCGCCUCAACGCAGCUUUCCACUACCUCUCACCAGGAUCCUUCGGUUCGAGAGCACGUGGGCGUGAGGUUGAGCGGUCUUUUAGUAAGAGUUGGUUGAAGGUUUUAGUUCAGAAGGUCAGCAUAUUGUAUCACCAUCUUACUAGAAUUCAUAGGCAUCACAUCGGUUAUUUUCCAACGAUAUGUGUUCGUGUCAAUGCAUACUUCGACUGCUUCACUUCUGAACCUUAUUCUUGUGAGUAUGUGGAUGUUGAAUCACUUAUAGCAGAUUUGUUUGGUGCACUCUGGAAUGGCACCACAACGUAGUUGAGAUAAGAAUCGGAAGAUCUUUGCACUUUUUGCGAAUGGUGUGUGCUCUCAUGGGGUGUUUAGGUUGAUUGCAUGAGAGUCAUUCUUUCCUCCAACAUUGAUCUUGUUUGACUAGAAAUCUGCAACUAAGCAAAAAUGGAGAGGUGGAUUGAGCACUACAACAGUUCCCAAGAGAUACUGCGUGUUGAGGAAGAUGACUUCUCGUUUUCUGCUUACCUAGUUCGAGCUUUUGGGUCUACUACUAACAUGGUGGCCACUUCUCUUGAAUCCCAAAGUACAGUUUCAAAUGGGUUCUUUGUUGGCAUAACUCUGGAGUAGUUGGUCACAUUUGGAAUAACUGAGGAAGAGGUUGUGCUUGGUACUAAAGGGAGUUAGUAUGACGAUAGUUAUUGGUUUUGUUCGAUUUGGGUAUGGCACUAUUUGCGACAUGGUACGAGAGUUGCUACACGCAACAUUGGUUGAUAGAGGAGACGUGCAAGCUUGUACUUGGAGGAUCGAAUUUUCGACGUGUGAAAUUGUGCACCCUCAGGAAAUUACUGCUUGUUUACUGAGACAACAAAUGUGUGGUCGAUAUCGCGGGCGGCCGACUGUGGUAUCGAUAAUUUAUUUGUUGGGUUCGUUAAGCAAGUGGGGCAGGAAUAUCCUUUUACGGCAGCCGUUAAAGAUUCACUAUUGUUAGAACUGGACCCAAAGACACAUCUAUUUUCGGAGUACGCGACGUUUCGAAUUCUUGGGCAAGACCCACUCUCAUUCUUCAGUUUUGGUUUUCAGUAUAAGUAUUUUAACCUCAUUUACUCUAGUUAAUUGUUUUGCCAUUACAAAUGUUUUUGGAAAAGUAUUUCCGUUUUCAGUUUUUAAGUGUAGCUCGAAUUUUCAACCUAUAUGUUGGUACAUAUCCAUUUUGACGUUAUCGUAUGUUAUGUUCUUACUUUUGACCUUAAUCUAUUUUAUGUUUUCGACUUUAUAUCUUUAUAAAGUAUGUUUUCUACUUUUACACUGAUGGGGAAGAAAGUAAGCUUGGAGGCAUGAUAGAGGAUUUUGCAACCCGCUCGCGACGGUGUGGUAUAUUCUCUUUGAUGCACCCACUCUGACUUGAUUUCUCUUUAUACAUAUAUUCUUCUUACUAUUUUCGUGUAUUUCAGUUUAGUAGGUGAUUUUAAAUUUCGGGGACGAAAUUCUUUUUAAGGGGGGUAGAUUGUUACACCCGCCCCUAAUUUAAAUCGUAUUUUCACUAAGUUUGAGUUUAUCUUGCUUUUAAAAUUGUUUUUGGGUCUUAAAUGGUGUGCCCAAGGGGCCCCACCCCCUGUUUUGUCCCCCGUUCCCUUUCCCUUUCUUUUAUUUAUUUUCUUCUUUCUUCUUCUUCUUCUUCUUCUUUUCUGUUUCUUUUUCUUUCUUUUCCGUCUGUCCCUCUCGGCUCUCUCUGCGCCCUCUCUUCUUUGCACCGCAACAAGCACACGCACGCACCCAUUGCACCUGCGCGAGGAAGACCAUCAUCAUCUCGUCCUGCUCUCUCUCCCUCUCGUGUUUGCGAACCCAGAAAAUCGGAAAGGAUCUCCCGCGAGAUUUUUAUAUUUUCCGGUUAGGUAAGCCUUAAAUCCCUCUCUUUCGUCCUAGAAUCUUUGAGAAUGGGUUCUAAUUGGUUUUAUUUCGUGAUUUUUGGAGGUUUUAGGAUGAAAACAAACUCGGGUGCAUGAACACCCAUUUCCGGCGAGGAACCCGCCACUUUCGAGUUAAUCUCCGGCCAAACCACGGCGAGUUGGCCGGCGUGCAAGGUAUCAAUCUCUUCGUCUCGUCGAUUACUACAACUUUCCUUUUUGUUUCACCCAAUUUCGUUGAGUAUUGAAGAAGUUAUACUCAUUUGAAUCUUACCCAGUUUCCGGCGAGUCCGACGGCUUUCGAGGCUUUUUCCGGUCAAACCACGGCGAAUUAGACGUCGUGUGAGGUACCAUUCUCUUCGUCUCUUCGAGGGCUACAACUUUCGUUUUUGUCUCGCUUGAUUUCGUUGAGUUUUGACAAAGUUAUAGCCAUUUAAAAUUGGGUGGUUUUCCGGCCGAAAUUCCGGCCUUCUUCUUCCUCGGGUCCGGCAACCCAUCAAACUUGGGCCCUUUGGGCCGUUUCUGUUAAGGGCUUUAAGCCCAAACCCUAAACCUUUGGGCUUUAGGACCAAACCCAAGAACCCAAACCCUAUGACCCAAACCCGGAUCCAAGCCCAGACCUGUUUGACCUGGUUCGACCCGGAUCCUGACCCGUUGACUUUGACCGGUCAACGUUGACUUUUCUAGUUGACUUUUCGGGUUUUCGUCCAAGACCUUCCUAGGCUAAUUUCGACGUCCUGGAUCCGUUUUUGAAGUUCGUUUUCCCAAAUUCAAUCGUUUGAGUAGAGUUUGACUAAAUGGAUCAUUUAUGUGCUUAGGUGAAUUUAAUGACGGCGGUUCCGUUAUUCCUAUUUGGUAUGGCGUUGCACCAACGGUGUACGGUGAGUGGACCCCUUCUAAAAUGCAUGUUUUAUAGUAGAAAUGCAUACAUAAAAAGUAUGAUUUGAUGAUUACCUUUUAUGAAACGUUUUGUGAGAUAACAUGCUUAUUGAGGCUACUUUAAAUUAUUACUAUUUUUCCUAUAACCCGUGUUCUUAUAGAAUAUCUGAUGGAUGACGAUAUGAUAUUAGAACAUGUUUAGAAUGUCACAGCCCGUCCCGGGAUUUCUAUAUCGGGGGCGUGAAUUGACGUAACUACCCUUGACGGACAUUCGGGUACGUGUGUGUGCGACAUUAUUGAAUUAAUUUUGUAAGUUUUGGGAUUUUAAUUUUGGAAUUUGGAAAUUUUUGUGGUUAGGGAAUUGGAUGGAUGGUGAGGAUUGUGUUGGACCACACAAUCACACACACACGCACUCCCUGUCUUCUCUCCCUCCCGUAGCUCUCUCUGUCCCUCUCCCUCACGAUCUCUCUCUUUCCCCUCACCCUAUACGUACGGCCUUCACCCAAAACCCUUCAAAACUCGACGGAUCGAGGCAAAUAAGGUAUGCAUCUUCAUCCUUUCGUCGUCCUGAGUUCAUUGGUGCUAGUUUUAGGAAGUGAAACCUUCGAUUUCACAUAGAUCCCGAACCUCCAUUUUUGAGGUACUGUUCAUGCGAACGUAAAAUGUUGUGUUUCAGGAGAUUUCAAGCUUGUGGUGAGCUUUAGGAGGUUCCUAAGGAAGCUCGGGGACGUUCGUUGGAGAGUUUUGGACGUCGGGAUCGUAGGUUUCAAGUUUGGCCGAAUCUUUGGUUUUUCCAAGGUGAGAUUUCGUAGUUUUUAGGCCCUAAAACAAGUCCAACGUGAUUGUACACUCUUAGGGCUUCAAUUUGGUAUAAAAUACGAAGAAAAUGGGUGAAAAACGAAGGAGAAUAGUGAGUUUGAAAAUCGGCCGGAGUUCGGCCGGAGUCCGGCCACCAGAGAACCAGUCCGGCGAGACCUGCGAAGAAGACGACACGUGCGCUGCACGUGCUGCGCGUGGCCAGCGCGUGGACCCGUGCCACGUGUGGCGCGUGGGGGCGCGUGGGGCUUCCAAAAAUUUUUCUAAAAAUUUCUCGACGCUCGUGACGUCGAGUAGGUCGAUGUGGUAUAUUAUUAUACCAAAAUUGAGCAUCGUAUGAGAAGUUAUUUCAAAUUAUUGGUGAUGUGCUUAAAAUUAAUGUUUUUAUAGUUGUUUCGCAUAUAGGUGAGACGUAUCCCGAGGACGACCGCAUCCAGGGACGCCACGGGGGUUACGACGACCCGUCGACUUAUCAGUGAGUGGGCAGUUUUGUUUUCGUAUUACCUAUAUACUACUGUUUUUCCCAGAAAAAUGUUUAUAUGAAAAUAUGUUUUGAAUAUGCCAUGCAUAGAAUUAUUUGAAAAUCAUGAAUUGGUUUAUGAACUAUAUGAUUGAAAUAUGAUGCAUACAUGUUGCAUGGUGCUGUGGAGGCACAGGUAAGUCAGGUGAGUUCAUUUAUUCAUUGAAUUGUUGUUGUUGAGAUGAGUUGAGCUCAUAAUCUGCACCCUAGGUGUUAGUGCUUAUAUUAUUCACCACACCGCACGCUCGUCUUGGAUCCAAGUAGGUGGAUGUCGUACAGACCAUGUGAGGGUUCCGACAUGCUAGUCGUACAGAUCACUAGGCGUGAUUCCGACUAGUGGGUGACCUUAGUUAUGCGCGCUGAUGAUAUGAUGAGAGAAGCACUAGAGCGUAUUUUUACACCUUUCAUCGUAUAGACUACCUUACGUAGUUCCGAGUGAUGUGCAGAGUAGGGCCGUAUAGGUCACUGUGGUGACUCCGGCUUAGUGGGAUUUUUGAGCUAUUGAAUUAAUCGUAUAGGACCAACUGCAGGGUCUCCGAUUGAUUCCUUAUUUCACCUGAUUUAUAUUUUUUAUUUAUGUCAUGGCAUGUUUUCUUGAAAAUGUUAAAGAUUUGAGAUUUAAAUGUUGAGAUUUUAUAUGGUUAUAUAUAUUUCUGGGAAAGUAUACAGGUUUUUACGGCGAGGGGAUAUAACUGUUUUAAUGAAAUGUUUUGGAAAACUAAUUUGUUUUACUGACCCACUCAUUUUGUUUUGCGCCCCUCCAGGUUCUAGUUUAGCGGUGGUUGGCUCACGAGGUCCUUUCCGGCUUUCUGACAGAUUUGGGACAUGUAGGACUCACCUGAGGGUGAUGUAUUCUUAUUUUAGUCCUACUUGACUGCAGUUAACCUAUGCUCUGAACUUAUGUGUUUACUUGUAAACUCGUCCGGUUAUGUCCGUAUGUGGUUAUGUUGAGUUUGGGUUGAAUUUCUGUUGUUAUUACGCUUCCGUGUCGUGCUUAUGGUUACGUCACGCCCACGUGACGGCCAGCACACCUGGAUCCUCCGGAUCAGGGUGUGUCAGUUUGGUAUCAGAGCUUAGGUUGCAGUCCUGUAAAAUUGUUAAUGUCUUAACGAUCUUUUUGAUGUUUUCUGUCAGAAUCAUGCCGCCUCGUAGAGAGCGUAGGGAGUCCCGCCGUACUCCUGAACCUAAUUUCCCAGAUAUUACUCAGUUAGGGGAAGCGAUGGCCCAGGCUUUACAGAAUGUGAUUCGUCCUCCCCCUCCUCCGAGGACACCUCUGGAGACCAUGUACAACUUGAAGUUAGAUCGGUUUAUGGGUAAUGAAAGUCAUGAGGGGGCAGAGAAAUGGCUUGAUCAUAUUGAGAAAACCUUUCAGGUGAUGCAGAGUCAGGGGAAUCUCCCUGCUAAUAGGUGGGUGGAGACCACCACUUGGUUUCUGGGUUGUGAACCAGCAGCAUGGUGGAUAAAUCAGGCUAGGUACAUGUCACCUGAGACGGCAGCCGACUGGAAAGUAUUCAAGGAGCAUUUUAUGAAGAGAUUUCGUUCCUCCUGAGUAUAUUGACCGUAAGAAGCAGGAAUUCACCAGGUUGAAACAGAGAAAUAUGUCGGCACAUGAAUAUUAUAGAAAGUUUACUGAUUUGUCUCGUUAUGACACUGAUAUAGCUGGUAAUCAGGGAGAGAUGCUUCGACGUUUCAAGUUGGGAUCUAAGAAGAAGUGGCGUACCUUUGCCAAUGCACUUCCCUGCGCUGAUUAUCAUGAGUAUUUCGAGAUUUUGGUUAGGAUGGAGGACUCUGAUAAUCUUCCUGACAGUGAGGAUGACGAGGACAAGAAUGAGGGUCAGAAGAAGAAUGAUAAGGGUAAGGGUAUUUCUAUUCCUGGACCUCGACAGACACAGAGUUUUUAAGAAGAGUGGAGCGAGUUCGAGUUCUUCUAGUGGGGGAUAUAGUUUUACUGGCCCGAGGAGAGGUGGUGGAAGAUUUUCUGGUGGACCCAGAUUUCAGGGUCAGAGGGAUGCUGGUGGAUCUGGCGCUCCAUGGUGCCGCCGUUGUAACUCCCGUCACCAUGGUGAGUGUAGGAGAGGUUCUGGUGCCUUGUUUUUACGUGUGGGACAGAUGGGACAUCGGGCUUCUCAGUGCCCCCAGGGUCAGCAGAGACCGCAGCAGACUAAUAUGCCACCUCCAGCACCAGUUCAGCAGAGUUUUGGGACCGGGUGGUUAUGGCCAGCCGAGUCGUGGUGGUGCCUACCACUAUCAGGGGGAUGCUGCUCCGUAUGCUUCCGGACCUUAUCAGUAUUCUCAGGAGCCUUAUCCUCAGGCAGGGUAUUCUCAGGAUUUUGGAGGUUAUUCUUCUUAUUCCUCUAUGCCAGCUGGUGGAUCGCAGUGGCAUCAGGGAGGCCAGCCCCGUCAGGGGGAAGUUGCUACUGGUGGUGCAGGAUCAUCCAGGCAGCCUAGUCAGCCAGGCCAGGGACGAGGUAAUCAGGGCAAUAGAGGCCGAGGUGGACGUCAGCAAGCUCAGGGGCGAGUUAAUCAUAUUGUCCCUGCAGGAGGCUCAGAACCAUCCAGACUUGAUAAUGGGUACGUUAAAUGUUCUUGGUCAUUUUGCUAAGGUUUUGAUUGAUUGUGGCGCUACGCACUCUGUGAUUUCUCAUACGUUUGCUCAAAUAACCCAACCUCACCCUUCACCUCUAGGAUUUGAUUUAGAGUUUGCCAUGCCUAGAGGAGAUAAAUGUAUUGUGGAUAGUGUGUAUCUGGGGUGUCCAGUGAUGGUUGAGGGCGUGAUUAUGUCCGCUGAUCUUAUUCCGUUAGAUAUUGUGGAUUUUGAUGUGAUUUUAGGGGCCGAUUGGUUACACCAUAAUCGUGCCCAUAUUGAUUGUUAUGGUAAAUCAGUUACUUUUUAUCGUCCUGGAUUACCCGAGGUUAUUUUUGUGGGCGAGAGAAGUGGGGUGAGACAUGGAGUUAUUUCUGCCAUAAGGGCGAGGAAAUUAUUAUCGAAGGGUUGUCAGGGAUAUUUGGCACAUGUGGUAUUAAAUGAUGUUGCUCCUACUAGUAUAGAAGAAGUUGGUGUGGUCAGACAUUAUCCGGAUGUUUUCCCUGAUGAUUUGCCGGGAUUGCCGCCAGACAGAGAGGUGGAAUUCUCUAUUGAUUUGCUUCCAGGUACGGACCCUAUAUCUCUGACUCCUUAUAGAAUGGCUCCUGCUGAGUUAAGGGAAUUAAAAAUCCAGUUGCAAGAAUUACUUGAUAAAGGUUUUAUUCAACCUAGUUCUUCACCUUGGGGUGCCCCAGUAUUAUUUGUGAAGAAGAAGGAUGGAACUCUUUCGAUUGUGUAUUGAUUAUAGACAAUUGAACCGGGUAACGAUUAAAAACCGUUAUCCAUUGCCCCGCAUUGAUGAUUUGUUUGAUCAGCUGAAAGGUGCGUGUGUAUUUUCUAAGAUUGAUUUGAGAUCCGGGUAUUAUCAAUUGAAGAUUAAAGAAGACGAUGUACCUAAGACGGCUUUCCGAACUCGGUACGGACAUUAUGAAUUUUCGGUUAUGCCGUUUGGGUUGACUAAUGCACCUGCAGCUUUUAUGAGAUUAAUGAAUGAGGUAUUCCAGAAAUAUCUUGAUAAAUUUGUUAUUGUUUUUAUUGAUGAUAUUCUGGUAUACUCUAAGUCCCAAGCAGAUCAUAUCCGACACCUUAAUUUGGUGUUAAGGAAAUUAAGGGAGCAUCAGUUGUAUGCCAAGUUCAGUAAAUGUCAGUUUUGGUUGACUGAAGUGGCAUUUUUGGGGCAUGUUGUAUCAGCUCAAGGUAUUCAAGUUGAUCCUCAAAAGAUUGCAGCAGUGGAGAAUUGGGAGCAACCUCGAACCGUCACGGAGGUACGAAGUUUUCUUGGCUUAGCAGGUUAUUAUCGACGGUUCGUUCAGGAUUUCUCUAUGAUUGCUUUACCGUUGACAAAGUUGACCAGGAAGGAUGUUAAAUUUGAGUGGGAUGAGAAUUGUGAGCGGAGUUUUCAACAAUUGAAGUAUUGCCUCACUCAUGCACCGGUGUUGGUACUUCCCGACGAUAGCGGUAAUUUUGAGAUAUAUAGUGAUGCUUCAUUAAAUGGUUUGGGAUGUGUUUUGAUGCAGCAUAAUAAGGUGAUUGCCUAUGCUUCUAGGCAGUUGAAAAAAUCAUGAAAGGAACUAUCCUACUCACGAUCUUGAAUUGGCAGCAAUUGUUUUUGCUUUGAAAAUUUGGAGGACAUUACUUUGUAUGGUGAGAAGUGUAAGAUCUUCACUGAUCACAAGAGUCUUCAGUAUUUGUUUACUCAGCAUGAUCUUAAUCUUCGUCAGCGAAGGUGGAUGGAAUUGUUAAGUGAUUAUGAUUGUUCUAUUGAAUACCAUCCAGGUCGUGCUAAUGUAGUAGCGGAUGCACUGAGUAGGAAACCUCAAGGUAGACUUAAUGCCCUUAUAUGCUAGUCGUGUUCCUCUUCUUGCUGAAUCUGAGGACAACUGGGGUAAGGUUGGAAAUUGAAAGACCGAGGAUGGAGCUUUUCUUGCUAGUUUUCAAGUCAGGCCAGUUUUGGUGGAGCGUAUACUUGCAGCUCAGAUGGUGAAUGAGGAAAGUUCAAGGAGUUGGUUCAGUUAAGAAGUGAAGGGAAAAAGAAAGACCUCAGAAUUCGGGAAUCAGACGGUAUGCUCAUGCAAGAAGACAGAAUGUAUGUUCCGAAUAAUGAGGAAUUGAAGAAGGAAAUUCUGGACGAAGCACAUUGUUCAGCUUAUGCGAUGCAUCCGGGAGGAACAAAAAUGUAUAUCAUACCAUUCGACCAUUUUAUUAUUGGCCGGGUAUGAAAAGAGAAAUUGCAGAAUAUGUGAGCAGGUGUAUUAUUUGCCAGCAAGUGAAAGCAGAAAGAAAGAAGCCAUUUGGGCGAAUGCAACCCCUUCCUGUUCCCCAGUGGAAAUGGGAAAAUAUAACCAAUGGAUUUCGUGUAUAAACUUCCUCGUACGCGAAAUGGAUUUGAUGGUAUUUGGGUGAUUGUGGAUCGACUCACCAAGUCGGCGCAUUUCAUUCCUGUGAGGGAGAAAUACCCUCUGAAUAAAUUGGCUAAGUUGUUUAUUUCGAAGAUUGUCAAGUAUCAUGGAGUCCCAGUAAAUAUUAUCUCCGAUCGAGACCCGAGGUUUACUUCUAAAUUUUGGGUGGCUUUUCAGGAAGCUCUGGGUACUCAAUUACUGUAUAGCACAGCUUAUCAUCCUCAAACUGAUGGGCAAUCAGAGAGGACCAUUCAGACGUUGGAAGGAUAUGUUGAGAUCUUCAGUACUGCAAUUUGGUGAUUCUUGGCAUGAUCGUCUGGACUUAAUGGAGUUUGCUUAUAAUAACAGUUUUUCACUCGAGCAUUGGUAUGUCCCCAUUCGAGGCACUUUAUGGUAGGGCGUGUCGAACGCCAUUAUGUUGGUCUGAGGUUGGUGAACGGGUAUUAGAAGGCCCUGAGAUCGUGGAUGAGACGACUCAAAAUGUUCAGAUAAUUAAGUCAAACCUGAAAGCAGCCCAGGAUCGACAGAAGAGUUUAGCGGAUCGGCAUACUACUGAUCGAGUGUAUGAUGUGGGUGAUUGGGUAUUUUUGAAAUUGUCGCCUUGGAGAGGUGUAGUACGAUUUGGGAAAAGAGGAAAGUUAAGCCCGAGAUAUAUUGGACCUUAUGUGAUCACUGAAAGAGUUGGUGAAGUUGCCUAUCGGUUGGAACUGCCUCCGGAGUUAUCUAAGGUCCAUAAUGUGUUCCACGUCUCUAUGCUUCGGCAUUAUAUUUCUGAUCCUUCUCAUGUGAUCCCUCCUCAACCGUUAGAGAUUAAUCCGGAAUUUGACGUAUGAUGAGGAACCGGUCACUAUCUUGGAUUGGAAAGAUAAGGUUCUAAGGAACAAGACGGUGAGUUUGGUAAAGGUGUUGUGGAUGAACCAUUCUGCAGAGGAAGCCACCUGGGAGACGGAAGAUCGGAUGAGAGAGAUGUACCCAAGGUUAUUUUAUGGGUACUAAGUGGUUAAUUUGGAUUGUGGGAAUUUCGGGGACGAAAUUCUAUAAGGAGGGGAGAUUGUCACAGCCCGUCCCCGGGAUUUCUAUAUCGGGAAUGUGAAUUGACAGUAACUACCCUUGAUUGGACAUUCGGGUACGUGUGUGUGCGACAUUAAAUUGAAAUUUUGUAAGUUUUGGGAUUUUAAUUUUGGAAUUUGGAAAUUUUUUGUGGUUAGGGAAUUGGAUGGAUGGUGAGGAUUGUGUUGGACCACACAAUCACACACACACGCACUCCCUGUCUUCUCUCCCUCCCGUAGCUCUCUCUGUCCCUCUCCCUCACGAUCUCUCUCUUUCACCCUCACCCUAUACGUACGGCCUUCACCCAAAACCCUUCAAAACUCGACGGAUCGAGGGGCAAAUAAGGUAUGCAUCUUCAUCCUUUCGUCGUCCUGAGUUCAUUGGUGCUAGUUUUAGGAAGUGAAACCUUCGAUUUCACAUAGAUCCCGAACCUCCAUUUUUGAGGUACUGUUCAUGCGAACGUAAAAUGUUGUGUUUCAGGAGAUUUCAAGCUUGUGGUGAGCUUUAGGAGGUUCUAAGGAAGCUCGGGGACGUUCGUUGGAGAGUUUUGGACGUCGGGAUCGUAGGUUUCAAGUUUGGCCGAAUCUUUGGUUUUUCCAAGGUGAGAUUUCGUAGUUUUUAGGCCCUAAAACAAGUCCAACGUGAUUGUACACUCUUAGGGCUUCAAUUUGGUAUAAAAUACGAAGAAAAUGGGUGAAAAAACGAAGGAGAAUAGUGAGUUUGAAAAUCGGCCGGAGUUCGGCCGGAGUCCGGCCACCGGAGAACCAGUCCGGCGAGGACCUGCGAAGAAGACGACACGUGCGCUGCACGUGCUGCGCGUGGCCAGCGCGUGGACCCGUGCCACGUGUGGCGCGUGGGGGCGCGUGGGGCUUCCAAAAAAUUUUUCUAAAAAUUUCUCGACGCUCGUGACGUCGAGUAGGUCGAUGUGGUAUAUUAUUAUACCAAAAAUUGAGCAUCGUAUGAGAAGUUAUUUCAAAUUAUUGGUGAUGUGCUUUAAAAUUAAUGUUUUUAUAGUUGUUUCGCAUAUAGGUGAGACGUAUCCCGAGGACGACCGCAUCCAGGGACGCCACGGGGGUUACGACCCGUCGACUUAUCAGUGAAUGGGCAGUUUUGUUUUCGUAUUACCUAUAUACUACUGUUUUUCCCAGAAAAAUGCAUUUAUAUGAAAAUAUGUUUUUGAAUAUGCCAUGCAUAGAAUUAUUUGAAAAUCAUGAAUUGGUUUCACAUGAACUAUAUGAUUGAAAUAUGAUGCAUACAUGUUGCAUGGUGCUGUGGAGGCACAGGUAAGUCAGGUGAGUUCAUUUAUUCAUUGAAUUGUUGUUGUUGAGAUGAGUUGAGCUCAUAAUCUGCACCCUAGGUGUUAGUGCUUAUAUUAUUCACCACACCGCACGCUCGUCUUGGAUCCAAGUAGGUGGAUGUCGUACAGACCAUGUGAGGGUUCCGACAUGCUAGUCGUACAGAUCACUAGGCGUGAUUCCGACUAGUGGGUGACCUUAGUUAUGCGCGCUGAUGAUAUGAUGAGAGAAGCACUAGAGCGUAUUUUUACACCUUUCAUCGUAUAGACUACCUUACGUAGUUCCGAGUGAUGUGCAGAGUAGGGCCGUAUAGGUCACUGUGGUGACUCCGGCUUAGUGGGAUUUGAGCUAUUGAAUUAAUCGUAUAGGACCAACUGCAGGGUCUCCGAUUGAUUCCUUAUUCACCUGAUUUAUAUUUUUUAUUUAUGUCAUGGCAUGUUUUCUUGAAAAUGUUAAAGAUUUGAGAUUUAAAUGUUGAGAUUUUAUAUGGUUAUAUAUAUUUCUGGGAAAGUAUACAGGUUUUUACGGCGAGGGGAUAUAACUGUUUUAAUGAAAUGUUUUGGAAAACUAAUUUGUUUUACUGACCCACUCAUUUUGUUUUGCGCCCCUCCAGGUUCUAGUUUAGCGGUGGUUGGCUCACGAGGUCCUUUCCGGCUUUCUGACAGAUUUGGGACAUGUAGGACUCACCUGAGGGUGAUGUAUUCUUAUUUUAGUCCUACUUGACUGCAGUUAACCUAUGCUCUGAACUUAUGUGUUUACUUGUAACUCGUCCGGUUAUGUCCGUAUGUGGUUAUGUUGAGUUUGGGUUGAAUUUCUGUUGUUAUUACGCUUCCGUGUCGUGCUUAUGGUUACGUCACGCCCACGUGACGGCCAGCACACCUGGAUCCUCCGGAUCAGGGUGUGUCAUAGAACACCUCUUUAUAGUAUAGAUGAUGGAUGACUUUAUACUAUGAAGUUGUUUUUCAAUAUAUAUGUUCAAUGGUUUUGUACUUACCUAGUGGUCCUUUCCGCUACGGGACGUAGGGAUAGAUUCCGGUCAUUCCCGGGCGACGGUUUGGUGUUGGCAUAGGGCCUGGAGUGUGUUUCCUCUGGCUAUUUAGCACAGGGACGGGGAGCCGGCAUGGGGCCUGAAGUGUAUUUUCCUCUGACUGUCUGCUCAGAGACGGGGAGCCGGCAUGGGGCCUGGGGGUUAUCGGACAAUUCACUAGUGAUUAUUAUAUAUAUAAAAGUUAUGAUUUGAGACACUGCACAUCAUGCUAGGUUUCGGAAAACCUAUGUUUAUCAUUAUAUAUGUGUUUUCAUAAAACUUGGGGGUUAGUACGUUGAUAACUGUUUUGUUAUAUUUAUAUCAAAUUGGUCCACUCAUGUUUGUUUUGCGCCCCCUUCAGGAUUUAGGAUCGAGGCGUACAAUCCCGGCAAUCCAGGCACUUCCGCAUCGGUAUCUUCAAGUCCUCUCGGUGUAGAACCCACUUCUGUGUUCAUUCAAUUUUUAUAUUAAUCCUUUUAAUGUUCUAGAUUAGAUGUGUGCUCUGAACACGUUCCUUAAAUGCAUAUUCUUUAUUCUCUUAUAUUUAUAAGUUUUAUCUAUCCUUUAUUUUCAGCAAUUGCACUCAAUAAAUGGCUUUCGUCGCCCUCGGGUGUCGGCCAGCACGUGACCAUCCUGAUAUCCUGAGGAUAUCGGGAUCGGGGCGUGUCAAUUUGUGAAGAAGAAUUUUUAUGCACUGCAACUGUUUGAUCGUCUGUCUAAGAGAGGGAGUGCAAAUGUACAUGUGCUUUAUGUGGCCUCUUUAGAUAUGCAUGAUUUAGAAGCUAGCCCUAAACUGGAUGGUAGUAGCAGCAAGCCAAGGGUUAAAGAAGUGUCUUCUGAAGAAAAAGAUAAUGUGUCUCACAUUGAGAUUAAGAUUACUGAAUACCAUAGCUCCGAUGAAAAGUGUGUUCUGAGGUAUCUUAAUCUUUCAGACAACGCCAUGGGCAACUAUGGUGUCAAUGCAUUUGAGUCACUUCUUAGUUCACAAAACAAUUUGAGAGAACUUUAUUUGAUGAAUAUGGCAAGGCUCAAUAUGUGUCAUAACAUGAGGGAGUGGCACUGCGAUGCUAUUAGGAAGAUCAAAUGGCUGAAUGAGAAUGAGAUUUCUGUUAUGAUCAAUACCGAAGGACAAGCAAACUAUGAAGGUUUUUUUUAUUGUAUCAAAUAUGGUGAGGAGCUCACUUUUAAGCUGUUGCUCUAUUUCCAAGCUGUCAAGGCAAAAAGUCUUGGGUUUACUAAACUUGGGUCACCAAAAGAGGCUAAGAAGGUUGUUGGGAACAUGAAUGAUGUUACUGCUAGUGCCAAACAGCUAAAGGAGAUGGAACAAGGCUUGACCAGUUUGAUAGUUUUGGGGAAUGGGCGAUUGUCUGAUCUUAUUGCACAGCUGCAGGAUAUAUUAGAGGGUGUAAAUGAAGCUGAUAUCUUGCCGGAGAAGUUUGAUAAUGCAGUUAUUAAAGCUCAGAUUCCACAAUUGGCUCGAGAAAUCAGGGAGUUAACCUCAUCUCGACCUGUAACCAUCUACAAUGAGAAUUCUUCCUCUAGUGGGAAUUAUGCUUCAUAUUUAGUUCCACUUGCUGCACUUGCUGCAAUGGGCUAUUGUUACAUGUGGUGGAGAGAUUGGUCAUUUUCAGAUGUGAUGUAUGUGACAAGGCAUAAUAUGGCAAAUGUUGUUGAAGCUCUAAUUAGAGAGGUAGCUAGCAAGAGCAAUGACUUUGCUGGGAACGGAACAACAAAUACAUUGAAGAUGAGUGAAUGCGCUAUGGGCACCUAUUUAGAUUUAGUAUGCUCUCUUAGUCACCUGGAAAGCAAUUUUGGUGGUGCCUUAGUUAUUGAUUUACAUGUUGAGUUCUCUUUGUUUUUCACUUGUAACCCUGACUGUCGGCUUUUAUGGGAUCCAGGAGAUGCAAUGGCUAAAACUGUUAAGAUGAUACUCUAUUUUAAAAAUGUCAAGGCAGAGUGGCUUAACAGGGUUACAAAAAUAACCAAGUUUGGUAGUUUUAUGGUACAAUUGGAUAGAAGUGUUGAAGCUUUGAAUAAGGGCAAAAAGCAAAAAACUAGAGAUGGUGGAUAUGGUGAUGAGAUAAAGAGAUUGCAUGAUUUAAGCGUGAACAAGGUUGUGGAUAUGGCGACUAGGUUCGAAAGUGCAUUGGUAGGACAUGUUAACAAUAUAAUUUGUAGUACUACUGUAAGAUUGGAGAGACUUCACUCCGAUGAUUGGUGGUGUUCUGCUAUAUCUCAACUGCUGAUGAUUGGUAAAUCCAUCGUAUCUAGUUCAAACAAAACUCAGGAAGCAAAUGUGGAUGCUGUUUUGGGAACCGGUGAUCCGAGUCUACUAGUUGAGAACACUUCAGUUGAGCAGCUUGGUUUCGUCAGAAAGGUGACAAUCUUUAAGGACUCCACUUCCAUUAUUGGUGAUGCAGCAUCAAAAGAUGGGUUGCAAGUCCAUGGUGUGUCUCCAUUUGACAUUAUGGGCAGAAAUCUUUUCUGGGAAAAGCAACUGCAAAGGCUGCAAAUGGGAGCUGUCACAAGAAAGUUCUUGGUGGUUAAUUUCAGUUCUGGUUUUGAUGAAUCUUCAUAUCUCUCUCGGGUUGAAAAUUUUGAGGAGAUGUCACAAGAAAAUUAUGGAGAGGCUACAGGAAACAAGAACUCACUCACUCAGUUCAAGCGAGCUGCCAUACCUGGAAGGAUUAUAAUGAUUUCAAAGUCAAGUUCUACAAUUCCAUUUUUAAGCCUUGAGGACAAGGCUAAUUUUCAAGGGGGAAGUAUUGUUAUGACCCAAAUUAUUACUGAGGUUUUAUGCUUUAUUACUGUGAGGAAUUGUUAAUAUGCCAGCUGGCAUUUAAAAGUGUAGAGGUUUUAUAAAAGGAGCCCCAGCUCCCCCAAAUGUAUCAGAUCAGAAUUUUACAAAAGAAAUCAAUAUUGGAGCUCUGCUCCUUCUUCUCUCAUUCCCUCUUCUUCCAUAGCUUUCUUGUGCCACUUGCAGGUUGAUUAAGGGAAUUGAGAAUUAGAUCUUAUCAUAACGUCACUACCACAACUCCCAAUAUCAUCACGCUGAAUGUCCACACUCGGUUUCUGCUCAAUUAAAGCGUCAAUUUCCUGCAAAAUACUCUCAUCGAAAUCAUCAUCGUUAAGAAUUCCAGAUGCAGAGAAAGAAUCAAAUGAAGUCAGAAACUGCGGUUGUCUGAUUGGAGUUGUGAAAGAAUCCGAUUUUGACACGCUUGAUUCGGUCCGGCUAACGCUUAAGCUCCCGGAACACGAAGCACUGCCAUAUUCACCACGCGCUGAAUUGUACCGGCUUGCGGAAAUCGGAAGCGGUGUUCUUUGAACUCUAUUGAGCUGAGUUGGCGUUUGGAUUCCAUUUCCGCCAAAAAACACAAUUGAAUUGAUUUAAAUUGAAGCAAGAAAACAGCCAAGUAGCCAAAAAAUAGUAAGAAGAUGAAACCUUUGAUUCCUGAACGACUUACUUGGUAUGAGGGAGGUGAUGAUCAGGUGAAACGGCGUCGUUGCAGGGGCGUUUGCGAUCAAUGAGGGCCUUGGCGGCUCUGAAAUUCCGAGAGAUGCGGUUUCUUUGUUCCGCCGUGAGCCCUCCGCCGUACGCCUGAACGUUUUCCUUGGACAUUGCUUCCAAGAUUCCAACGGAGGAUUUGGCCUGACGGCCUGACCAGGCUGAUAACAGUGUAAAACCUUAGGAGCUAAGGAAAAACUAAGAGAGAGAUUGUAGAGAGGGAAAGUUUUUUCUUUUUGGAAACCAGUAGAGAGGGAAAGUUUGUUAAACCUGAAUAAUAUUCUUUUCAUUCAACUUGUCUACAAUAAUUACCACUCGUGGUAUUUAUACAUUUGUAACACACCUCACUAACUAACUAAGACCACCACCAAUCAUACAUAAACACUUGUCAUAAUCCUAUGCACUCAUAGUAUCAUCACUUUAACAUUCCCCUCAAGCUCAUGUGGCAGAUUGCCAAGCAUGAGAUUGGAACAAUUACGAGCGAACUGGGGUGAACACAAGCCUUUGGUGAACAUGUCGGCAUAUUGAUCUGCAGAGGUAACAAACUACAAAAUAAUUGUCCUUUGAUGAACUCUUUCACGAACAAAGUGGCAAUCAAUCUCUAUAUGUUUGGCUUUAUAGUGCAAUACAGGAUUAGUGGCAAGAGCCAUUGUUGAAAUGUUAUCACAAUGCAAAACUAGAACAGAAGGAGAACCAACAUGCAAAUCUCGAAGAAGCUGUUGUAUCCAGAUAACCUUAGCAGUGGUUGUAGCCAUUGCUCUAUAUUUAGCUUCAGUGGAAGACCUACUCACUGUAUGCUGCUUUUUAGAACUCCAAGAGAUAGGAGUAUCUCCCAAAAAAAUGACAAAACCCGUGGUUGAACGACAAUCAUUGGGAUCCCCUACCCAAUCAGCAUCUGUAUAAGCUUUCAACUGAGAUGAACCUGAUUUAAAACAUAAUCCCAAAGAUAUAGUGCCUCUGCGAUAUCGUAGAAUACGUUUCACAGCAGCAAAUGAGUGGCUAAGGGUGAAUGCAUAAACUGACGUACUUGAUUGACAGAAAAAUAAAUAUAUGGUCUUGUAAAUGUUACGUAUUGCAGUGCCCCAACAAUACUUUUGUAAGUGGUAGGAUCAAAAACAGGUUCACUACCAUGAUUCAGAAGCUUCUGAUUAGGAUGACAAGGUGUGGAAAAAAGGUUUACAGUCUAGCAUAUGCAUCUUUUAAAGGAGUUCUUUGACAUACUUGGUCUGAUGAACAAAGAGUCCCUGACCCUGAUACUCAAUCUGUAAACCAAGAAAAUAAUGCAACACACCUAGAUCUUUCAUGCCAAACUCACUAGUUAACUAACUAAUAACCUUCUGAACCUUCACAGCAUCAUUACCAGUGAGAAUGAUAUCAUCAACAUAUAAUAAGAGAACAAUAAUUGAUGAACCAUCACACUUGACAAAUAAAGAAGGAUCUGCAUAUGAUGACUUGAACCCAAGCUUAGGCAAAUAACCUGAAAACCUGUCAUGCUAGGCUCUGGGAGCUUGCUUGAGACCAUAUAAAAACCUCUCUAGUUUGCACACAUAAUCUGGAUAGGUAGAAUCCACAAACCUUUGGGACUGAGACAUAUAAACUUCUUCAUCAAGAAAGCCAUGCAAAAAAGCAUUAUUGACAUCUAACUGUUUGAGUUUCCAAUUAUGAGAUGCAGCCAAGGAUAAAACCAAUCGAACUAUGGUUGGUUUGACCACAGGGCUAAAGGUUUCAUAAUAGCUAAUACCAACUUCUUGAGAAUACCCAUUAGCUACAAUUCUAGCCUUGUACCUAGCCACUGAACCAUCUGGAUUUCUCUUAAUCUUGUAAAUCCAUUUACAACCAACAAGAUUUUUGUCAGGUGCUAAGGGCACAAGCUUCCAAGUAUGAAGCAUCCAUCUCUUCUUUCAUGGCAUUUUGCCAUUGAACACACUUGACUGCACUAGAAAAAGACCGAGGUCCAAUAAAUGGAAAUGUGGAAGAAACACUAGGUGGAUGAAUGAAUGUGUUUGAAUGCACAACAGACACUGGUGAGGAAGAAUGACCAGAAGUAACUUGAGGAUUGAAACCCAAAGCAUUAGAGUCUAUAGGAAACUUGGAUUCAUAAAAAAUAACAUGUCUAGAUACUAAUAGUUUAUGAUCUUUGAGAGAGAAGCAAAUAUACCCUUUGUAUUGUGUAGCAUACCCCAGAAAAAUACACUUAGUAGUUUUAGGUUCAAGUUUAUUGCUUCUAUAGGGUUUCAAUGAAGGAUAGCAUAAACACCCAAAAAAUCUCAAAUGAUCAAGCUUAGGUGGAGAUUUAUAUAGCAUUUCAAAAGGAGACUGCAUAUGUAGGGUAGGUGUGGGCAUUUUGUUUAUAAGAAAAGUAGCAGUGGCACAGGCAUGGAACUAGAAUUUUGAAGGUAAUGAAACUUGUUGUAAAAAGGUAAUAGUUGUUUCGACAAUAUGUUGAUUUUUUCUCUCAGCCAACCCAUUAUGUUAUGGGGUAUAAGGACAAGAUUUUUUAUGAACAAUGCCUUUGGUAAGAAGAAAUUGCUUAAACUGAGUACUAACAUAUUCCCUACCCCCAUCACUCUGCAAAAUUUUUACAUGAGCAUCAAAAUAAUUCGAGACAGAAGCAAGAAAGUUGACAAAAACAGUGAACACUGCAACUUUAUUAUUUAAUGGAAAAAUCUAGGUAUAUCUUGUACAUUCAUCAAUAAAGGAAACAUAAUACUUGUAACCUUCUAUAGACAAACUAGGUGAGGGACCCCAAACAUCUAUGUGAAUUACUUCAAAUGGAGUAAGUGACUUCGAAGCAAUUACAGGAAAAAGGAGCUUGGUAAACUUGCCUUGCAAACAAGCAUUACAAGUAUGAGAUUGAGAGUUACAAGGAAAAGAUAUACAAGACUUAUUAAGUGCUGCAGUGACAGUGGAAUGUGUAGGAUGGCCUAAUUGACAAUGCCACAAUGUAGAAGAAAUCUUUUGACCCACAAAUGCAACUGGAUUAAAAACAGGAGAAAUAGACCUCUGUGGUUUGAUUAUGGGAAGUGGAUAGACAACAUUAUUACUCAGCCCUUGGAAUAGCACUCUCCCGGUGACCUUGUCCUGUAGACAGAGAGAAACAUCAUCCAUGAUACAACGACACUGAUUAUCUUUGCACAACUGAUUCAUAGAUAAUAAGUGUUGUGACAGUUUUGGAACAUGUAACACAGAGUUUAACUUGAAAUUAUGUGACUAAGUGAGAAGAGAAGAGGAACCAAUAUGUUUGACAGCUAAACCUUCACCACUAGCACUGGUCACAAUAUCAUUUGAUGGAUAAAUUUAUUGUCAUGUGCAAGUUUGACAAAUCUGAGGUCAUAUGGUUAGUUGCUCCCAAGUCAAGAAACCAGAAAUCUUGUUGAAGAGUUGAGGAUGAUGCACCAGCUCGUGCUUGCAUAGCAAGAGGAGGAUUUUGUGAGGAUAUAGUUAAUAGAUACAUAUGUGGUAUGACAAGAUACUGAAACUGUGAGCUAUUAGACUGUGGAAUCAUGCCUUGUGAAGGACCACAUGGAUUCUAGCUAGGUGCUUCACCAUAUGACCCAGUAGGCAUUGGAGUUGGCAUAGAUGAGGAUAAACCCUAAGAGAAAUGCUCUGAUGUGCCUGUGAAAUUUUUAUUCUGAUCAAAGCAAGUAGCAGCAACAUGACAACCUCUGUGACAAAUUUGACAUCCAUGUUGAAAACAAUUCAAUGCAGAAUGACCUUUGCGAUCACAUAUUUGCAGAAUGGCCUUUGCAACCCUAGAAAGAAGGAGCGAAGAAGACCAAAUGUGUACGUUUCUCUUUGGUUUUUUUUCCCUCCUAAUCGCGCUGUUCGAAAUCACGGACCUCGGGCCUGGGCCUAGUGGGCCCAAUUAUGAGGCCCAUUAUCUCCGGUCUUCUCGUUCUACUUCUAGUUACCCAAAUUAAGAACGUACGCUUUUAGCGCGAGAGAGAAAUGGAGGCCCUGAUUGCCUCGUACGGAGACUCGUCGUCGGGCUCAGACUCCGAGUCGCCGGCUCCACCUCCACCACCACCUCCGGAGCUCAACAACCCUCAAGAACCGACCCCUGCGCUGCCUCCACCUCCUCUGUCACUUCUCGACAGCCCCAAUUCCUUCGGUAACCUCUGAUUCCCAUCAAUUUUCAUCUUUUAGCUUUCUGUUGUGAUGGCUUUUUCCGAGUUGCCCACCAAGUGUUUGAUGUUUUGCCUCCGAAGAAUUUCUGGACUUAUCGGCAAGCGCCCAGCCGAGCAGAGUUCGGAACUUUCCUCACGUCGAAGGGAACUACGCAGUACAUGUAUACAUCCCAGGUUAUCAAAAUUCUCGAAAUUUUCAGCUCCAUUAGCAAAUGCGAUCGCUUUGCACUUAGUUUUUGCUUGUUUAAUUGUGUGGUUCCAGUUUAUAUACCACCAGCACCAAGGAAAGAGAUGGCCUUGUUUUUGAACAAGCUAGCUUCUCUGCUGCCUGGUCUCCAUGCGGUUGACGUUGACUUCCCGCUUGACAUUCUGCGUAAGGACGAGCACAAGCUUGAACAAGUUGCUUUAGGCAGAGAGUUCCAUAUAAGUCUCGGAAGAACUGUUCCGAUGCGGGUGCACCAGAUUGAUUCCUUGGUGACAAUGCUGCGGCAGAAGCUUCAGAUUCAGAGGCGGUAUGGUUACAUUUACAUUCUCUUGUCUGCAUUGCGUGAAUUUAGUUCUGUUAUUUAACAUAAUUCUGUAAGCCUGUUUUCGUAUAAAUGCACGGUUGAAUCAGCUUUCAUUGUCUACAAGUCUGAAAUAUUUUAACUUCCAUUGAUUUCAGAUAACAAAGCAGAUUCAAGCUGUGAAUGAGGUGUAUAAGCUUCACAAUCUUCCUGAAUUUUACAAGGUUAGCUUUUUCGUGCUUUUCAAACUCGAAUCGGUUCCUGAAUGUAUGACAAUAUAUUGGAUCAAACGAUUUCUCAAAACACUAAUUCACUUGAUGGGGUCUUGGUGAUCACAGGAUCCACGCCCUCACAUCUCGGUAGCUUGAGCAUUGGGUGACAUCAGCAAUUCCCUGAACAAAGUGGUUGAAGAAGAAAGACGAAGAUCUACCAUCGGAGGAUCGUUACAGAAAUGUAUUUUUACCAGUAAAUUCAAUGGUAUCGAUAUCGAAUGUAGGAUUGGUAAUAAAACACACAAAAUAUGUAAAUUUUCUGAAGAAUAAUGUAGCCAUUUAACUGUAUUGUGAAAUUCCGAGAAUAUAUGGCUGAGCAUUGGAUGAGAAGACAUUUCUUCGUUGGUGUCGAACUUCUUGUCGAAGGUAUUGGCACCAGUGUAAACGUCAUCAUCCAUGUUGAUGGUAAUUACUUACCAGCUACUAAGGGUGUCGGAACAACCUUGCACGCACCCUCCUGUGCAUUACUUGGUAUUGUCUCGGAUUCUCCAAACUUGAAUGCUAAUGUAAACCCACUCUUGACCUUUCCGUCAUCUGCAAUUACCGGAAAGCCGGCUUGGAUGUUGCCGUUGACCUACCAAACUUAAAAUACCGACGAAAUGUUGGAGUACUUCAGUGUACUACUCGUUUUUGUAUGCGAGAGCUCCACCUCUAUCGUUGUAACAGCAUCUGAUGCGGACUAGUCCUUCAUUCCCGUUACUCUUUGCCAUCUCCACUUCAAACUUGGUGUGAUGGCUCCCGGCCUCCUCUCCGGUGAAAUUGAGUAACCCCGGAGCUGGCGUGCCAUCAAGAUUUCCGUUGUGUCUCUAUUUGCUGUUGUGGUUCGGUUCCACUAUAAACUUGGCAGAGUUAGCAUUUUCAUUCUGUUGUCUGUAUAUCUUGAUAUUACAAGUAUUUGUUGUGCAAAAUGCAUGCUAAGUUCAAGUUAUGUUUAUAUGUGUGUGUGUGUUGCCACUUUUCCAACGUUUUCUCCAAAAUUGUGACGAGCAACAAAGCAGUUUUGAUUCCGUGCACAACAACGAUACCUCGAAAGAAAUUGAUUCUUCCCCAGAAAGAUGUUUUAAAACAAAGUUGAACAAGGGAAGAAAACUUUUGAAUCGCAAUCAGAUGUCUGGUCAAAUUCUUUAACAGUUGAUGUAUACAGAAGUUCCUUGCUUAUGACACGACUUAUGAGAGGAUGUAUGUAUUGCAUUUGCAUCAAAAGAAAGAAAGAAGGUUGUAAGUGGUAAGGGAACGACUACCGAUGCCGCUCCACUUCUAAUCAAAGGGAUCGAUCCGAGGGUCGUGUUCACUUGCCAUCGCCAUUCCAGUGCAAAGGCAUGUCGGGCACAUUACCUGCCACAUUUACAGACGCAAUGUUAGAUAUAGCUGCCAUUUGGAAGUCAUCUCUCAAAAUUUUGCUACUAAAUUAAUCUUAAACUUCAUUUCCAGUGCAAUUUUUUUCUUCUGAAUUGUCUUUCACAUGCCCGACAAAUAGAAGUAUCACCAAACAUGUGAUAUAGAGCAUCUAAGCGGCAGGCACUAAAAGGAAUUUAGUAUGCAAUAAACAUUCAACGGACAUAAUUAUAUGUCUAACCUUUCCCGCUCCUGAGCAAUUUGAACAUCGUUCAGUUUUUGGCAGAGAUAGGGGUUGGUUUCCGCCAUCAGCUGUCGAUACUGGUUCAGUAAGAACAAGGGUUCCAGUGCUGGAGCAACGAGCACAAGCAAGAGAUCCUGCGUAAGUAUCAAAUACACAGGUAAGUUGACAUACGAAACCAAUCCGAACAUCUCCAUCGUAUAUAUUUAAAGCUACAGUACAUAAAACUAAAAGUCAGAAAUAUAGGACAUUAUCACACCAGUUCCAAGACAAUAUUUGCAUCGUUUAUGCUCCUGCUGUUUCACAUUGUUUAUUUCAACUACCAUCAAUGCUGAGAUCACUCCGACUGCUCCUCCAGAGAAUGACGCCACUAUGGGAUCAACUUGACUGCAGUUUGAAAGUAAAGGAGAUCAAUAAACGAAACUGGUAACAACAUAGUAUCAACAUUAUUUAGCUUCGUUUCAAGAAAGAUGACAUCCUAGGUUUUUCUAAUGUGUAAAAAUUGAGGAUCCUCGUAAAAUUUGACUAUAUCGGUUCCCAAAGCAUUUGAUUCCUACGUUACAGACGGAAAACAGCAACAAUCGAAUUUAAAGAUUCAUAACACGAUAGAUGGUACAAAAUUUCAAAACGAUAAUUACUAGAGAACAGGAGGGUUAAUAGCCUGAGAUAUGAGCAAUACCUCAACUGCAACGGCAGAUGCAUAUUUACUAUAAAGUCUUUAUAUGAUGUGCCUCCUAUUCCCAGCUUCAACUCCAACUGAAAGAUGUAAAGGUAAUUGUAGGCAAAGAGUUACAAACAUAACCGAAUCCAUGUUUUAUAAGCAACAACUACACUUAUUUUGAUAUGUUUCCUCAUUUUUUACUUGCAAAUUCCAAACCAUAUUGUCGGACCAGUAAAAGAAAAUAAUGUUUAUGAUAACUGUUAAAACUAAUUACAACAAGUUAAUGCAUAAAGAACUUACGGAGGGUGCUAUGAGGCCACCGAAAAGGAUAAACCCCGCAAUAAUUGAAUAACAAACAGCAUAAUACUGCUUAAGGUUGUCUGAACUCUGCAAGCAAUGAAUUCACCUUGUGAUUAAUACUUUGCACAAACACUAGUUUUCGCAAUUUUUUAUGAAUCGACAAAAGGCUACAACAAAAUAUGGCUAAAACAUGUCGGGGAUAUGAAAAUACAUGUCUUCACAGGGGCACCAGCUUACCAGGGGAGGCAAAAAUGGAAUGAACGAUGGAAAACUAGGAAGUUCGUUUUCUUGAUCUUCAUUUACCGCUCCAAGCUCUGCACGUUUAAUCCGCUGUUGUAUCCUCAGCCUGCGAACCUACGCAUAUCGAAGCUCAUUCUUAAAGAACACAUUUCUAAUGGCAAUUGGAGAGUAAUUUAAAACAUGCUACACUGAGAAAGUGGUAGCAACUAGCAAUUGCUCUCACCUCCUCCAUAUGCAAGAAAAUUUUGUUGCGACGACUCCGAAUAUUAUCUUGAAUUUCCUGCAGCUCCAUUGUGGCAAAAUCCUGCACUGUUUCAGGCCCCUCUAUGAUACAAAAUCUGCACCAUUAAGCAUGUAAAAAUUAAAAAUUACAAGCUACAAAGCAAUUUCCGUAUAGUUGUUGGGUUAAAUAACAUCAACAGCAAAUAAAUCACAUAGGUUUUUCACAUAAAGUUACAAACUUUCAAGGACUAAUAAGCUGUCUGCAAUCUCAUAAAUUUCACAGUGCAAAGUAACAAUCCAAAGCUUGGAACUUUAAAUUUCCACCUUCUGUUAAUUUUUUAGUGCACCUGGUGUCGUUAGAUUCGAGUAGUAUGUCACAUUAAAUUUUUUUUUUCUGUGCAUGCAUUUUUUUUUAAAAGAAAAUUUAUAUUGUUAAAGAGCGAGUUCGAAACUAUUACAUUAUGGAAGGACAUAGUACCGAAACUCCGACGAUCAAAAACAAAAUCAUGUACAACCACUCCAAGCAGUCAACAUGGCCAUCACAUAUUGAAUCCAAAAUGUUGACGCCCCAUUCGCUGCAUAUAAUGUACAGACGAGCGGCAGCUUCAACCAGUUCUGCCAUAUCCGGCUGGAUGAGAGCAGCUAAAGACAUGAUUGUUCCCUAAUAACAUGAAUAAAUUGAGUAAACACCAAAAGUAGCAGCAAGGGAAGGAGAUGUGAAGUAUAUGAAGAGGUGUAAGACCUGUGAAUGUCCAGCAACAAAGAUUUUGGAGCUUGUUGUCGAAUAAUGCAACGCGUCAUUUCUGGUAGAUCAAAUAGAGCCAAUUCCCGCCAACUCCAAUUCCAAAAUUUCUACAGUAAAGCAUAAAUCUUAUUCUCUCUUCUGAUAAAGAUGAGUGUCCCAGACUCCAACGUGUUCCACACACAUUCCCUACCCAUACAUCGAAACCUUCAUCUGCAAGGACGAAUCCCAGCGAUUCUUCUGGAGAAUUUAAGAAUCAUGCAUCACCUGGUUAAGAUCAAGAAAAGCCAGUAACCAAGUUCAAUUGAGUUAAAAUGUAUCCCAUGGAUGUUCAUCACUUUGCCCAAUUGUUCUUUUCAAGAAAGGAAAUUUCAACAGAACCUGAAAACUUCAGAUCAGGGGGCACCAAAUAGUGAGCUAUACAUUCAAAAUUUGAAAUAAUCAACUUAGUAGGACCAGUAUGUUGAAAAAAUAGGAAGGAGCUAUGAAAGUAAGACUUUUCACUAAUCAGGCGUCCAGAGAAUCCAUAUUUUACCCGCGUAUCAGUUACGGGGAACACUCCCCACCAGAGCAAUCUCAUUAGUCCUUCACAUCUCAACCGUACAGAAGUUGCACUAACAAACAUGACUCCUAUUAGUCCUUCACAUCUCAAAUCCAGGAAGUACCCAUCUUUCGUCUGAAUCUGGAAAAUAAGCAGCAGUCAAUUUAACAAUCUCGGUAUCUCAAAGUUACUCACUUUAAUCACAAAUUUAGCAAUUAAACAUAUAAAUGGGCAUUUUUUUAGGGAAAUAUUAGUAUAGUACUCACUGUGUGCUCGGAGCAAGAGUACCCAGAAAGCUCAAUGAGCUGCGCACAGAGGACUGCAGUGGUGAACGACAGCGACCGCACAGAGGACUGCAGUGGUGAACGACAGUGACCAAUUCUGUAAAAUUUAGUCGAGUUUUGGGAAAUUUCUGCAGCGAUUUCGGAGGUCAAGAGGCUGAUAAGGAAAGCCGCGACCAAAGGGCACUGGUCUGGAAGAAAGGCUUUGGUCGCCGCUAUCGCAAUUCACGAAGGAAGAAGUGCCCCAAAACAAUUUCGGCCCUGGACAGGUGCACUGUUUGCACUGAGCCAGGGCCGGCCCUGAAUCGCGAUAACGUCCUUCUCCAAACAGUAUAUAUACAGAUGCUAGAAAAAUCUACCGGAACUAUUCAAUUCUAGCGUCUACAGCUUUAGCAUUAGUUGGUACAAGGGGCAUUCUUCCAAAGAGGGAGAUGAAAUCGUUGAGGCACCAAAUAGUGAGCUAUACAUUCAAAAUUUGAAAUAACCUCUUGGUAGGACCAAUAUGUUGAAAAAAUUGGAAGGAGCUAUGAAAGUAUGGCUUUUCACUAAUCAGGCGUCCACAGAAUCAAUAUUUUACUCACAGAUCAUUUACGGGGAACACUCCCCACCAUAACAAUCUUUUUAGUCCUUCACAUCUCAAACCAAGUAGAAAUUGCAGUAACAAACACGACUUCUAUUAGUCCUUCACAUCUCAAACCCAGUAAGUACCCAUCUUUCGUCUGAAUCUGGAAAACAAGCAGCAGUGGAUUCAACAAUCUGGGUAUCUCAAAGUCACUCACUUUAAUCACAAAAUUAACAAUUAAACAUAUAAAUGGGCAUUUAUUUAGUGAAAUAUUAGUAUAGUACUCACUGUGUGCUCGGAGCAAGAGUACCCAGAAAGCUCAAUGAGCUGCGCACAGAGGGACUGCAGCGGUGACGACGGCAACCGAUUCUGUAAAAUUCAGUCGAGUUUUGGGCGAUUUCUGCAGCGAUUUCGGAGGUCAAGAGGCUGAUAAGGAAAGCUGGGACGGAAGGGCACUGGUCUGGAAGAAAGGCUCAGGACACCGCUGUCCCGAUUCGUGAAGGAAGAAGUGCCCCCAAAACAAUUUCGGCUCUGGACAGGUGUACUGUUUGCACUGGACCAGGGUCGGCCCUGGCGAUAACGUCCCCCAAACAGCACAUAUACAGAUGCUAGAAAUAUAUAAAUGUAACCUGAAACUACUAGAACCAUUCAAUUCUAGCGUCUACAGCUUUAGCAUUAGUUGGUACAAGGGACAUUCUUCCAAAGAGGGAGAUGAACUCAUUGAGGCUCUUAUUUAUUCCUCCUCUUGAUGUGCCCUUUUAGGCUGCUAAUUCCACACGAUCCAAUCUCAUACAUCUUCCCUGCAAAAGCAUGUGUGCCUGACUUCAAGAUCAAAUUUUUCCAACAAAAGAAACUUAAAGAUCAAACUCGCUAGAGGAAUAAGUGGUGCACAAGGGUGUUAAAAUCUUGACAUAUGUAUAUUUUUGGCAGAUUUUAUGUGAGCAUGCAACUAAAACUGGCAUCACUAUCAAUGGUGCACAAAGAUUGGUGGAAAACUUUAACAGUUUGAGUUGUAACUUCUCCAUUGUAUUUGUUAAGGCAAGACGGAUGUCAUCUAUUCAUUUUUCUGUAAAACUUAAAAGGCUGCAUAGCAGCUCUUGUUCGUUGUAUUGAAUACCGUGGUUUUACUGAUGAAUGCAGAGUUUGCUGAUGAUUCAUACGACAAGCAAUUGAAAAUCCCAUCAUUAUGCCCCCCAUAUACCAGAAGAAAAAAAAGUCAUUUACACAAAUUCAGAGCGUUCAUCCACUGUAAUUUGCAGAUAUAGAAACGUUAAGAUAAAAGGAAAUGCAAAGUACCUUUCACCAAAUUGGAGGAGCACCGGUGGCAUUAGCAAGUUAGCAACGGGAAUUGACAUACCAAUAUCUUCACAGUUUCUGCACAAGCACAAAUCAAAAGAAUCCGGAGGUGGAGUUAUGUACCUCUCCUUGGAAAAUGCCACCUCUUGGGAUUUCAAAAUAUGCGGCCGUGGCUAGCCGUCUGACCACGCCAAUUCCACCAAAGCCGCCGCAACGCGGUGUAGUGUCCGAUUGAUUGCUUCAAAUCAGAGCUUCGUAUCCAUGUGUUUAUCAGCAGAGAGUACCCAAAACCCCUGAAAAUUAUUUCUUUAUUCAGAUAAUAAAAUAUCCCAAAUUUCGAAUUUUAAUUCCGAAUCAAAAAUAGGGUUUGAAUUUUGAUUACCUAUAAAUUGGGGGGUUGCGGUGGAAAGGGAGUCAGCCAAGACGGCGAUAUGCGUCCUCGAGAGGGCUAUGAAAAUACAAAUUACAGAGCGUGUUGGGACGAUGUACAAGGCUUUUGCAGUCUCUCAAAUAUAAAUACCGAAGCUCCGUAAGGCGUUCAAUCCAGGGGGAAAGCUCUUUAAUAGAUGUUCCAUCCAGGAAAAGACUUCUUAAUCCUUCCAUAUUUUCUUCAAUGCUUGGAAACAACUCAAAUUUUGUACAACCGGAAAGAGAGAGAGAGAAAAGGGACUUGAGCUGACAAAUGCUGCUUGGAAGACUCUUAAGUUCUUUGCAAUCUUUUAGAUUCAAAUGAUUCAAUCCCGUAAGAUUAUUAAUUGACGAGGGCAGUUCUUUAAUUUUUGACCCGGAUAAAUUAAGCUCUUCUAACUCCUCCAUACCUUCUGAAAUCUUUGGAAACAUCUCAAGACUAGAGCAGCCAGAAAGAUUAAAGGUUUUGAGAGAUUUCAUACGAAUGCUGCUUGGAAGACUCUUAAGUUCCGUGCAAUUAUGUAGAUUCAAAUGACACAACCUCGUAAGAUUAUUAAUUGACGAGGACAGUUCUUUAAUUUUUGAGCAGGGUAAAUCAAGCUUUUCUAACCCCUCAAUACCUUCUGAAAUCGAUGGAAACAUCUCAAGACUGAAGCAGCCAUAAAGAUUAAAGGUUUUCAGACAUUUCAUAUGAAUGCAGCUUGGAAGACUCUUAAGUUCCUUGCAAUCUUUUAGGUUGAAAUGACUCAACCCCGUGAGAUUAUUAAUUGACAGGGACAGUUCUUUAAUUUUUGACCCGGAUAAAUUAAGCUCUUCUAACUCCUCCAUACCUUCUGAAAUCUCUGGAAACAUCUCAAGACUGGUGCAGUCAGAAAGAUUAAAGGUUUUGAGAGAUCUCAUACGAAUUUUGCUAGGUAGAAUCUUAAGUUCCUUGCAAUCUUUUAGGUUGAAAUGACUCAACCCCGAGAGAUUAUUAAUUGACAGGGGCAGUUCUUUAAUUUUUGACCCAGAUAAAUUAAGCUCUUCUAACCCCUCCAUACCUUCUGAAAUCUCUGGAAACAUCUCAAGACUGGAGCAGUCACAAAGAUUAAAGGUUUUGAGAGAUCUCAUACAAAUUUUGCUAGGUAGAAUCUUAAGUUCCUUGCAAUCUUUUAGGUUGAAAUGACUCAACCCCGAGAGAUUAUUAAUUGACAGGGGCAAUUCUUUAAUUUUUGACCCGGAUAAAUUAAGCUCUUCUAACUCCUCCAUACCUUCUGAAAUCUCUGGAAACAUCUCAAGACUGGAGCAGUCAGAAAGAUUCAAGGUUUUGAGAGAUCUCAUACAAAUUUUGCUAGGUAGAAUCUUAAGUUCAUUGCACCCAUGCAGAUCCAAUAAAACAAGGUUUGUAAGAGUCGAAAUAGACGGGUGAACCUCAACUAAGCUUAUACAACUUCGAACAAUUAGCCUCUCAAGAUUUGGCACAUUUGUGAAGUCAGGGGUUUCCUUAAGGGAUUGACAAUAACUUAAAUUGAUGAAUUUCAACUUUUCCUGCGUCUGUUCAAACAUUCAGGAAAACAUGCAUUACUUAAUAAGACAUCUCACUCAAAGCCCAAACAUUUAAAAGAUACAAAUACAUGUAAAUGAUUGUACGUACCUGGGUUCCUUCCCAAAGUCGGUCAAUGAGACUACAUUGCAUGUCAAGUUCAACAAGAUUUUCGAAUUGAAAGUUGGAUGGCAAAGACUUGAGAGGGAAACCAAGCCAGGAGAGAUACCUCAGGUUAAGCAACUUUAAGGACCCAAACAGGUGUUGUUUGCAGUACUCAUCUUUAAAAACGAAGUGCCUAUAACUGAUCUCGAGAAGUCUUCGUUGAGCAUUUAAGUUCCCAUGAAGACCGAUCGUGAGAAGUCUUCGUUGAAUCCUUCUAACAACAGAUUCAGCAUUUAAGUGCCUAUGACUGAUCUUGAGAAGUCUUAGUUGAGUCAUUCUAACAAAAGCUUCAGCAUUUAAGCAUGGCCAGCCUGAGUACGAGAAAUCCACAAUUAUGCUUUCAACUGUUUUUGUAGCCUGUGCAAAUCAAAGUAAAGGAAAAUACAGAGAAAUUAGUUUUGAUUAUGAAAUUAAUGAUUGUUUCUUAAGGAGCCGUCUGAUAAUCAUUUCAUUUUCUAUUUAAUUGUUUUCAAUUUUCAUUAUUAAAACAAUGAAAACUAAAAAUAAAAAAUUGAAAACAAAAAUGGUUAUCAAAUGGGCCUAAGAAAUUGAUUUUGGUCAAAAGUUGAAGCUUUCUACUAAUAAUUGCAUAAGAAAAAGAUUUCUCACCGUAUUUUGAGAUAGCACGUGAUGAACAUCUUCAUAACUCCACAACCUACUUCGUCUCCCAGGCUCUUUGAUACAUUCUUGGCGGACGAUUUCCCGACCCAUUUCCGCUAAUGAAUCAUGCAUCUCCAGUUCCCCCUCCCCUGAGACAGUUAUGAGUGCUCGAUCGAUUAGAACUCUUAUUCCAGUAUAAGGAUGGAAACCACAAUCUUCCAGAAUUCGGGCUGCACAGUCUUUCUCCAUCCCUUUAAAGAAACAUGCAAUGUCUAGAAAGAUGUCCUUCUCCUUGUCAUCUAGUCCAUCGAAGCUUGAUUUAAGCACAUCAUGAAUUCCCCUUCGCGGGAUUUUCCUUAUUUUUUCUAACUCAUCUUCCCACUCGCGUAUAGUUUUGUUACCAAGAAAAGCUCCCAAGACUUUGAGUGCUAAAGGCAGGCCUUGAGCAUAUUCUACGACAUGAUUCGAGAGAUCAUCAUAAUCUCUGGUGGGUUGGUUUUUUCUGAAGGCGUGCCGCCUAAAGAGUUUCAGAGCUCCAGAAUCACUCAAAAUCUUGGGAUUAUAUAUCACAUCAGCUAUGCUUAGUAAUUGCGAAUCUCUAGUUGUUAUAAUAAUUCUGCUUCCACCACCAAAGGAAUGUGGCUCUUCAAGUAAAGCUUCAAUUUGUUCUAAUUCGUCCACAUCAUCAACAACAAUAAGAACUUUUCUCUGACCAAGGCUUUCUAACAUCACCUGAAAACCUUUACUCGAUAUGUCAGAACUCCCCACCUUGUUGUUCGAGAUACUCAAUAGAAGUUGUGCCUGCAUAUGUAGUUUGCCAUGCUUCAUGAAACCUUCCUUGAAAUUUUCAAGAAAGCAACAAGCUUCAAAUCGACUAGCGAUUUUAUCAUGAACAGCUCUAGCGAUGGUUGUUUUGCCUAAACCACCCAUACCCCAUAUUCCAACAAUGCGAACAGUAUUCGUUUCACCUCCGGGAGGAUAUAAUAAUAGAUGCAUUUCAUGCAUGUGAGAAUCCAUGUCAACCAAGCCAUUAUCUUUGCUUGAUGUUGAUGAGAUGUCGAUCAAUUUCCUAUAAACAUCUUCUACAAUUUCCUCAAUAAGCACCACAUCAUUCCUGUCAAAUUAAAAAAAAAACAAUAUAAUAACACCACCAAAUAAUAAUUAAUGGGUUUUUUCAUCUGUUAGUUUUAAAAAAAAAACAGAAAUUAAAACUAAAAACUAGAUAUUUAUCAAAUGACCCCUAAACGUGACAAAAAUCCCAAAAAUUAAUAGGAAACUAAAACAAAUUAGAAUUUACUCAUAGUUUCGCGAAUCCCAGCCGGAUAAACUGGUGGCAGUUGUAAGAGCGGAUCUCCAGCUCUGAACCUCUUCCAUUUCAGCGUUAGAAUCACGAUAGUGCUGAGCAAAAGCUUCCUCGAAUUUUCUCUUGAGUUUACGAACGUCAGACGGAUCAACUUCAUAGAAAAUGGGGAGUACAAUCCGGUUAUUGGUAUCCUUGCAUUCCAGGAUUUGCACGAGUUCUUUCAAGCACCAAGUGGAAGAAGCAUAGUUUUGAGAGAAAACUACAAUCGAAAGCCUUGACUCUCGAAUCGCUGUCAGGAGCUCGGAAAGGUGGUCGCCUUUUCUGAGCUUUUCGGCAUCAAUGAAGGCGUUGAUUGGUUUCUUAGCCAGAGCGUUGUAGAGAUGGCUGACGAAGCCCCUGCGAGUGUCUUCCCCUCUGAAAUUGAUGAACACAUCGUAUUUGCAACCAAGGCCAGAAGAAGAUGAAGAAGAAGAAGCAGCCAUUAUUAAUCGAUCGCACCUGGUCAGCGAUGAUCGAGCCGCUAAGACUAGAGAAUUGUAAGUACAGAAAUACUCAAUAGAUCUACAAAUUUGAUCACCGGAAAUUAGUCACUGAGUCAAUGCAAAAGGGAAUUUUCUUCAGGAAAUUUCGGUGUGAAAGGAAUCCGCAUACUUCGGAUUUUUCAACCCAAGAAAAUGCGAAGAAAGGGGACAAAGUAGUAAAUUUAAUCUACAGUUGCCUACCCAACACCCUCUUGAUUUAGAGGGUGUAUUCAAUUAGGAUUCUGAGAGGGUUUCAGGAAAUUAAUAAUUUCAGGAGUAUUCAAUUAGGAUUUUAAGUGAUUUUUUGAAAUUCUAGGUGUAUUCAAUUAGAAUUUCAAAAUAGUUUAUGAAAAUCCUUAGAAAUCCAGGUGUAUUCAAAGUUUAUAACAUUCCAUGUGUAUUCAAUUAGAAAUUGAUUUUAAAGAAUUUGAGAAAGUUAAAGAAUUAGAGGGAAUUGGAGAGAUUACGUAGUGUAUUUUAAGUAUCCACAAAUCUCACAUAUUCCCAUGAGAUUUCGAGGGAAUUGAAUCAAAAUUUUAUAUGGAAUCUCUACAAAUCAAUUAAACUCCAUAAAAAUCAAUGGAUUUAUAAAUCCAUUAAAAUCUCUCACAUUCUCAAUUGAAUAUAUAUUAAAAAGAUAAAGUUAGUCUCACAUGUAAUCUCUACGUACUAACAAUUAAAUGAGAGUUCCGUUUUAACUUAAUAUAUGUAACUUACAUGCUAAUAAUUAACGAAAUAUUAGCAAAAUUUUUAAUUUUAAGCAUAAAUUCUAAUUUAGAUAUCUUCUAACUAUCUUAUCACCUUAAAAAUUAUUAAUCAAAUUAAACUUAUUAUUUAUUUAUAAAUGCGUAACUAAAUCACAAAGUGUUGAAUGAAAGGGAGCACUCCAAAGGAUGAAAAAGCGGGAGCAUCGAAAGCUAUCUCCGUUUUUUGCUGUCUAUUUGUCUUCUUUUGGCAGAUAGCUCCUAGACUCCUAGGGGCCGGCCUAUUUUCCACAGCUGGUUAUAGGACUCAGUUGCUAUUGAAGAAGUGCUUUGUUGUAAUUCAAUAUCGAUGGAAAUUCAACAGAAUCUUUUUCAAAUUUUUGUGAGGAUUUUGGGGUGUAAGUGAAUUGUUUUUGUUCAUUGUAUAUUGUGCGGUCAUUUUUCAUCAAAUACUGUUUAUGUUUCAUUUUAAAUAAAAUAAUUUAAAAUAAUUUUUAGCUGCAAGUUGUACGAUGAACUGAUAUAAUUCAUAAAUCUUUAAAAUCCUUACAAAGAAAAUCUGAAAAAAAUCCGAAUUCAAUGGAAAUAAGCUGAUUUUGAAUCAAAUAACAUUACUUUACAACACUGCAGUUUUCAGCAUUGCACCGGAGAUCGUGCGGUCAUUCGUCCUUCUGUUCUCCGUAGUUUUGCCGACUUUGGUUCCACUUGCUGUCCAAUGCGCUAGGCGGCUUAUCAGGAUCAGGCUUAGAGAACCUGUAGUAAACUGCAUUAUGUGGUUCGUUUAUAGCUGUACAUCAUAAGUCUAUUUCCGGGAUCAUAUCAUCGUUGGCGCAUUCAUCAUAGAAGCUCCAGCUUCGUAUCCAAGUCAGUCGUUACUAUCUUACAUUUGCUAUAUAUUACAAAAUUUUGGGUGGGAAAACUUCUUAUAUGAUAAUGCGUGAAGAAUUCAGUUCGAAAACAGUAAAACAAAAUUAUUUGUACUAGUUCUUCUACUUGAUAUAUGAUGGUGUGUUUUUUGUUUUUUUGACCGAGGUUUAUAAUGGUGUUUGUUCUAUAAGUCGGCAUCUUUGCCAACCGCAAUCGAUACUGUCGUUCGAUACUGCAAAUGAAAACCCGGUGGGUGCGCAAAAUUUCGAGCCAAUCCUACAAUCUGACAGAUUGUAGGAAGAAAGGAACAAUGUUGUUGGCAGCACAAAAGUUCAUAAUCUUCUACUUGGAGUAAUCUGUUUAAGGCUUUAAUAUUCAUGCAGAAAGUUUUACAAAAUGAUCGCCUUUCGACAUAUAUCACAAUGGCGAUCUUUAAUCAUAAUGACUUGUACUGCUCGAUCAAACGAGACGCAUGGAGGCACGACGUAGGAGCCACGGUGCAGCCCAAACUUUGCAGAUAAGAAAUCUGGUAAUUCACAGCAUGACAAACAUAUUAUUGGGUCUCCUGACCAUCCUAGAUACCAAUGUGUGCACAAGGAAAGGAGUAAGGUAAUCAAAUGCUUGAGUCUUGUGUACCUGUUUCGGUGUUGGUUCGGAUGAACCCAUUGAGUUCUCGAUCCUUAACUUCUGGAAAUGCUCCUGAAAGCAUAAAUAUAUGUACGGAUUUAAACCAAUGACAAUGGACAUAAUUUACAGACAAUGAUUGAAGAAAAUACAGAUAUAAAUGCCUCAGUAUUCCAUUGACGAAAGUUCUAGAUUUGAUGAAUCAAACGUCCCACGUUGAGACUGCGUUAAGGCAAAUGGUUCUCAAACACAAAGCAAUAGUUUGCUACCGAAAACAACCAAAGUUUGACAAAGGAAACCGUCUUACACCUAACCUGUUUUUCCCUCAUCAAAUGAGCGCGUUGAUCUGCAGGUAUUUUCUGCCAUCUCAAAACCUGUUACAAAGAAAUAUAACAUUGAUGUCGAGCUGGAUAGCAUAUAUACCAAUUAUGUGUACAAACCUAUUGAAAUAAAGUAGCUGUAGUUGCAUAUUACGACAGAUAUUAACGAAAACAAAAGAAGGCUCGCCUAUUCAAGAUCCUAAAUCCCGUGAUUCUUUUGUUUUUAGUUUCAGAAAUUUUCAGAGCACAAACUGGAAAGUACCAAGAUACUUACAUAUUGGGCAUAAUGAAAUGCAUCUUCAUCUUUCAAGCAAGAUUUCAGUGAGCGCAAACCGUCCUGAGAGUUACAUAGAGUCAAUCAGUAAUAUAAAAACGUAGAUGCAUCACACCCAAACACAAGUAUUCAAACACCGACAACUUCUUCAUGCGGUGAGGCAUGUUAAAAAAUAGGGAAGAACAGUUAUUGAACAGGAAGUUAAAGGACUAAAUUUAUGACCUUGUGUUUGUAGUUCUUGGCUCGUGUGCGUUCAUCUAUUACAAAACCAAUCUGUAACAGGUACAACAGAAAAUAUAAGCAGUAGUCAGAACAUUAAGCAUCGGCAUUCACAUUGCCACCAAUCCAAAGUUAAAAGUCUAAAGGCAAAACAGUAUGAUUCUUAUCUCUCAAACAAAAAUGAAACUAUACCCCGGUCUCAGACAUAAAUGAAAUAAGUUCUACUGCCUCAACUGAGUACUGUGAUUAUAUAUAAAUCCAAUUCACCUUGUCAAGUAAUCUCUUAGGAUCUUGAAAUGCUUGCUUCUUAGCCCAGUCAUUAAAUACAUGCGAGAUAAUCGAUCUCUCAUCCACACUGAAUCUAUUGCACAGUGACAGAAGAAUAAAGUUAAACAUGAACAUAACCAACCAAAAAUGCUAGUUAUAAUAGUAUACCCAUAAUUGCAAGCAAAACCUUUUUAAGAAGCCAUUUCCAUGGUUUUCCUCCCCAAAUUCCAUCAAUUCUGCAGAGGCAACGUCAAAUUUACUAUGAUGGAGAUCAUUUUGCACCAUAACAACUUCAGAAGGUAGGAGAUUUGGUUUGAGAUCAUCUGUUGACGGAGUAGUUUCUUUUGAAGUGUCAUGAUGCUUUGAUUGCAAGCCUUCUGUACUUACGUCAGCCUACAAAACAAAAAUUGCAUUCAUCCACACUAGACUUAAUAAGAUUAGAAACACUUCAGAUUCUUCACUAUUUGUAAGUUUGACUAAACAGCAGAACAACUAAGGAUAAUGAACAGUAAUACACACCUGGACUUCUCGUAGAUGAUUUGGAAUUUCUUUCAGAAAUCGCGAAGGUUGAAGCAUCUGAAGGAGUCACCUUCUCAGUCAGAGCAACAAAAAAUAAGGAGGACAGGAAUUCAAGCUAAAACGAACCUGCCAACUGGAAUCCAUCGUAACAUAAAGAAUGAAAAGCUUUUUUCGAGCACGAGUCAUUGCAACAUAUAAUAGGCGUCUUAACACUUCAAAGCUCUGCAUAUAACUAAAAGGUCGUACCCAGUGCACAAGGCUCCCGCUUUACGCAGGGUCUGGGAGAGGUGAAUGUCAGCUAGCCUUACCCCCAUUUUAUGGAGAGGUUGCUCCCAAGUCUCGAACCCGAGACCUACCGCUCAUGGGCGAAGGCACUUGCCAUCACACCAAGUGCGACCUCUAAUUGUAUCAAAUACAUAUAUUCACAAAAAUUAUAUAUGACCGUUAGAUGUAUUAAAUACAUGCAAGUAUUGUAGCUAGAUGAUUAUUGAGUAAGGAAAUUCGAUCCUGACUUGCAAGACCUAGAGUAUACUAAUGACUUGUACCAGAUCAUGAGUCAACAAGCACGUAAGGUUAUUCAUAGUUUGACACUAGACGACAAUAAUGAAGACAUGAUCCAAUGAUUUUGCAAAAUAAAAAGUGCCUUAACAAAUGAUUUUGGUGUGCCACCGGAGAAAUCUAAAUCAUAUUCAUUGAAAGGCCAGUUAUUUCCUUCCAUUCUAAAAGAAAUACAGCAAUGAAUGUCAAACUAUAAAAUGUAUCUCCUAAAGUUGAGAGAAAGGACCCUUACCUACAUUACGGAAAAACACUAUCUUCCAAUGAAGUGGCAUAAAAAUUGCUGAAAUAUGUUAAUUUCUAAAGUACAAAUAAAACAACCUACCUUUUCAAAGUAGAAAUUUAUAAGUGCCUUUUCAAAGUAAAAACUUAAAAGUGCCUCUUCAAUGUUUUCAUUUUCAAAUAAAAGUGGUCCAAAAUGCUUGAAGACAACUAGGAAAAAGAAACAUAACUGAUUGAAGACCAUAUAGGAAAUCAAUGGAGCUUGAAUUUCUAGAUUAAUAAACAAAUUAACAGAGCUUCUGUACUACACAAGCCUUCCAAGGAUAAGAAGAAUAACAGAAGAAUAAUAAAAAUCACAUAUAGGUGCACAUGAACCUUCACACGUCCAGAAAAUUUGCAAAAGAAGUACAGCAAUAACAUAGAUGACAUAUGGCUUGGCGCACACACUCACACAGAGAAGCGUAAUAAGUAAUAAUAUUCCCAAAUAGCUGCACAUUCAAUUGCACACAUACAACAAGAACUACAACAAUAACGUAGACAUGACGCGCACGCGCACACACACACACACACACUCACGGAGCUAGUGAAUGCAACAAUAAUCAGCUGACCUGGUUCAAGACUGGAGCAGUGGUAGUGCAAUCGUCACAUUUUUGUUGACAUCAUGAACUUGGCUUUUUUCUCAGCUGGCUUAAGAAUCUGGAAAGAGCACAUUAAGUUUUCAUCUACACUCAUCAUCGCACCAGCAUUGUCAAACUCACCACAGUAGUUGGGAGCUGAAAAAAUUGUAACAAGUUGCCUGUCCGCAAAGAAUUCAUAACCAUCUUCCAUUGGCAUGUUUAAUCUGCAUAUAACUGAAAAAUGUUAAACAAUUUACCGCACAUCUCAAUGGAGGUCCCAUUUUCUUUUGCAACGCCAUUGAAUUCAUGGAACGGGAUCUCAGAUUCAUUUACCUGUGUUAUUGGCAUGAGCAUUAAAGCAAGCUAAGAUGAUUUGAAGAGGUUGAUAUCGUCAUGAAUAUACUAGAACAGAAUACCAAUUUCAAGCCAUCAAUUAGGUAUAGCAUUGGCAUGUUUAAUCCGUAAAUCUAAUGACAGAACACCUCAACUCUACACAUAAAUAAAUAAACAACCUGGAAAAUAUUACAGCCACUUGUUAAGGCAAAUACCUUAAUUAUGAAAACCAUAUCCCACUCUAAACCUUUUGACUGCAAGAGAAUGAAAAAGAAAGACAGUAAGCCAAGAAUGUUUGUAGAACUCCAAAGGAAGUCCAAUAGGGAAAUCAUCGCAAGUAUAAGAGUUAGCGAGGUUCGCAUAAGAGGAUAUCAAAAAGAUCUAGAACCUGAUGAAUAGUAGUCAAAGUGACAGAACUUUGGUUGUCAUGUCUUCGGGAGUGAAAAUUUUCACUCUCCCGCUCAGAUAUGUAGUCGAUGAAAGCUUUGAGUAAAUUAACGCAGCCUUUUUCUUCUGCUACGACUUCUCUCUCCCCUUUUCCCACAACAAAAUGAGUUGAUAAGAAAUCAGAUACGUCGUCUAGUAGGUACUGAAGAACCUGCAAUGAGAAUAAUCGCAUCACAACAACAGGGUUGGACCAAGAUUUAAGUGACAACAAUGAUUAACUAACUAAAAUAGAGAAAUUAUUCAUUUAAGACCUUGUUGACUGGAAAAAGGGUUUUCCAAGCAGCGGGUCAUUUAAGCUUUUUGUAUAAAUGACAAUCAUCACAAACGGCAAACUUACAGAUCUCAUGUCAUUGUCUUCAUUCAGCAGUUUUCCUCCAUCUACAUCAACGACUGCACGUUGCUCAAGACGGUACUUCUAAAAAUUGAAAGUCAAACGAUAAAUUAUUAAGAAGCAUUGAAUAUAAGCAUGAAACGAAGAAAAUGUUAUGGAAUGGUGAUCCUCAUCCUCAAAGAUGAUUAAAAGCAAUUUGAUUCAAAAAUGACAUAUCAACUCUGGAGAAAUGGAAGACAAACCUGUGGUACCAUAUUCGCAACUGAGGUUAUGACAGCUGAAAUCGAUUGUUCCUGUGUGCAUUGAUAAGUGAGACUACCAUAGAGAUUCACAACUAAAUAAAGAUAGGUAUUCCACAGAACAACCUUUACCUCUUUGGAAACACAGAUCUAACAAAAACUAUAACAUUUUGGAUUAAUAUUGACGAAUCAAGAAUAAUGCAAGGGAGCAAGAGAUACUCUUCCUUCUAAUAACAAGGAGGCAUGAAAAGUAUACAGAGUUCCAACAAUUAGAGAACUAAAAUCAAACUAAAAAAAUCACCAGAGUAGACAGAAUCUCACUUCGCCAAAAAUUUGAAAAUAUAUCCUUUUUAUCCAUUGAGAUUCAUGAACUACUCCUACUCAUCAUGCCAAUAAGCAAUGCGUAAGAGGUGCUACAAUUUACCGAAUAUAUUUACCCUGAGAACAAGUUUUGAAAUCAUCUCUAGUGUUAACAGCACCUUGCGUCCUUGGGUAAGCUGAGUCCUAUUAUCAAGUAAAGAGACCAAUCAGUACAUCCAAAAGAUCUUAAAUGCCUCUAAUACCAAUAAGAAAGAAACAUGAGUAUAUCUUGAAUUAACCAUGCAAAAAUGUAAUGUUAAAGCAUCUUGUCAUACAGACCUCUUCAAGGUACCAGAAAUUUUUGCACUAAAGAUGUCACAAGCAGCUGAUAUGAAGCUGCAUUUUCUGUGAGUUGAAAUUUUGUCAAUAUAAUCGAUCACCUGAAGAGAGAGAGAGAGAGAAAGACAGUGAUAUCCAGAGAUGUGAGCCUAGAUGCUGAGUGUGUAAAAAAAGAAGAUUAAAUGGAUAGCAAGAAUAUACAACUUUAAUGCUGAAAAGAACAUUGAAUAUGAUGCUCAUUCAAUUGCCAUUGAACGUGUACCUUCUUCUUUCCUCUUUCUCAAAAGCAAGUAGAGCCUUGAAGACUUGCCUAUAUGAUCCAUCAUCACAACCAGGCAAAGUUGUUUUAAUCAUAGCAACAAUGGCUCUAACUACCUGCCAUAAGAAACAUACUACAUCAACAAGAUCACAGUGUACCAGAAACCGUAAUGUACCAGAAACAUACUACAUCAACAAGAUGCAGUCUCCAGGAUCUUGUCGACAACAAAGGCACAUUGUGCAUCCUCAUUGUGACUUUCCUUGAUAAUUACCUACAUUUUGCCAGUAAACCGGUGUCACUAACUAAAAGGACUGAAAAAUGACAUCAAAUUGUACUUGUUGGAGCAAGGAAAGAUUAAGUACCUUAGACCCAGAAGAAUUGUCCGUGUCAACAUUCUUUAGUUGGCAUCGCUUCUUAUUGUUUUUUAUAACAGAAGAUGCAGCUUCCACAAUAUAGCGUGUGGACCGAAAGUUUUUAUUAAGCCUAAUCUGAACCAUAAAGUUAUGUCAAAUCCCACAGAACCCCAUAAAAUAAAACUUACUUUCCUGUAAUUGUACAAUAUAUUUGUUCUAUACUAUAUACAAUGUUUUAAAAGGUUCGCCUCGGGGCGCGCCUAGGUGCCCUGUGAGGCUGGGCUUGAGGGUUGCCGCCUCUGUUUUCAGGGAGUGGGAGGAAGGCGUCGCCGGAGCCGCCUAAGCGCCAGAAGGCGCCACUGGAGCCGCCUAGGUGAGCCUCAGGGGAUUUUUUUUUUUUUUUUUUUUUUUUUUUUUUACUCCCAAACCCAAAUUUUGGGUAGGGUUUUAACUAGCUCAUACUCUUCCUUGCACUAUCAUCUCUCUGCCUUCUUUUCUGAUUUUUAUUUUUUAUAUAAUGGAUGUGUGUGCCGUCUGCGUGCAUUGUUAUAUGUGUGCUCAUCGUGCUUUUCAUCCUCUAUUAUAUAUAUAUAUAUAUAAUAUAAUAUAUGUAUAUAUAUAUGUGUGUGUAUAUGUAUUUAUAAUAUAUGUGUGUGCUCAGGAUGAUUAUUGAUUAAUAAUCUUCUUUUUUUUAAUAUAAUAUAUGUGUAUGCUCAGUGUAUAUAUUAAAAAAUUUAGGUCCCGUGAGGCAUCGCCUCACUCCUCACGCCUAGGCUGGGCUAUCCCUCGGACGCCUCGCCCACGCCUCAUGCUUUUAAUACAUUGACUAUAUAUAAUGAAAAAAGACACUGUGAAUGACAUAAGAUAACAUAGCAGUCAAGUGCGAAGCGAACCUUUUUGUAAUUUGAAAAAUCUUUACGAAAAUAAUCAAAUCCAGAAAUGUCCGCCCCAUUGAAACUGAAAAUGGGCAGCAGGAUAUAUGUUAUUUGAUUUAGAACAGAUAAGGGCUGGAUUAGAAUGAGCUGAGAGAGAGAGAGAGGGAGAGAGGGAGAGAGGGAGCAAUAACAUUGGAUUUCCAUAAUAAAUCAACAACAUGCCUGAUCAUCAUCGCCAACAAUGGUUAUGUGGUUAUGAGAGGCGAGAAUCCGCAAAAGACUAUAUUGCAUAGCACUUGUGUCUUGAAACUCGUCUAUUACAAUAGCUUUCCAUGACUCCUGGCACUCCUUCAACACUAAUUAAGAGAACACCAUGUAUCAACAUUUAGCAUUACUUGUAAAACUAGAUAAAUCAAUGAAAUAUACUUAGAUGAUAGAGACCUUCAGGAAAAUCACUUAGCAGCUUCACAGAGCAGCUAAUUAAGUCGUGGUAGUCCAAAGCGUUGCACGAUUUCAAGAUAUCAUUGUAAUUCCUAAGAAUUUCACCCUGAUUCAGAUUGAGAGCUAAAACUCAUAAGCAAUAGUUUCAAAGAACUGAAAUGAUAUCUGAAAUUCUAGUUCUGAGCGUACUCCUGUCACAUCACCCAUUCUUCGGCAUUCAGCGGGAGUCUUUCCAGAAGCUUUUGCCUGAAACAUAAAUAAAUUUAUUGCCUAAUGCCACAUAUUGUAAGACACACCAUUGUAUUGGUCAUUCUAGCUUGAUUGUAGCUAAUAUUUUUUAAAUCGAAUGAUUAGAGUUCUUAAUCCACAAUAAUCUGAACAUUAAAUUUGGUAUUCAUGACUAACCUGUGUCACAAACUUCAGCCAUUUCUUUGAUGCAUCCUUAAAAUGAUGUGGAGAUGUUACGCCGUUAGACUCUUCCCCAUCUAUAGCAACAUUAAGAUUCGUUUUACUCUUUUCAUCUUCUGAUAACCGCACAGCUUCAAUGAUUGCUCUUCUCUGUUGCCCAUGUCCAUAUAUCAAAAAUUCUGGUCUGCGCUCGAGUCUAAAACACAAGCCAACAUAACAGACUCAGCUAUACCACCAAAUGUAUGGUGUUCAAAAUCAAGGGAGGUGAAUCAAUAGCUUACUUCUCAGCAUGUGAUCGGCAAAGUUGCAAUGAAAAUGAAUGAAAUGUACUGAUUGUUAGUAGUUUUGCCGUUGCUUUCCCAGUCACAGAUCCAAUUCGAUCUCUCAUCUCGGAAGCUGCUGCUGUAGUGAAAGUCAUUGCUAGAAUGUUCGACGUGCUAAUGCCCUAAGAACACAAAAAAAAAAAAAAAAAAACGUAUAAGAUUUCGAUCAUAAACAAGAAAUGUAGAGAAACACACAAUUACGAAAGAAAAAGUUAGAGGGAAAGUAGCAACACCUCAUUGAGCAGCAUUAGAACGCGCCCAACUAUCGUUGAAGUCUUUUCCACUUCCAGGGCCGGCAAACAAUCAUCAAAGGUACUGAAAUAUCGCUGCAAGCUGCCUCGCGCUGCCUUUCGUUGAGAGAAAGCAAAUACUUCAAAUACUCAUCCGGCAUGUUAGGCCAUCCAUGGUUAACAGAAUCUGUUUGGUUUUCACUACUCAAAGGCGGCGCUGAUGCGGCACUAACGUCACUACCACAACUCCCAAUAUCAUCACGCUGAAUGUCCACACUCGGUUUCUGCUCGAUUAAAGCGUCAAUUUCCUGCAAAAUACUCUCAUCGAAAUCAUCAUCGUUAAGAAUUCCAGAUGCAGAGAAAGAAUCAAAUGAAGUCAGAAACUGCGGUUGUCUGAUUGGAGUUGUGAAAGAAUCCGAUUUUGACACGCUUGAUUCGGUCCCGCUAACGCUUAAGCUUCCGGAACACGAAGCACUGCCAUAUUCACCACGCGUUGAAUUGUACCGGCUUGCGGAAAUCGGAGGCGGUGUUCUUUGAACUCUAUUGAGCUGAGUUGGCGUUUGGAUUCCAUUUCCGCCACAGAUUCUGGAAUUUGAAAAACACAAUUGAAUUGAUUUAAAUUGAAGCAAGAAAACAGCCGAGUAGCAAAAAAAUAGUAAGAAGAUGAAACCUUUGAUUCCUGAACGACUUACUUGGUAUGAGGGAGGUGAUGAUCAGGUGAAACGGCGUCGUUGCGGGGGCGUUUGCGAUCAAUGAGGGCCUUGGCGGCUCUGAAAUUCCGAGAGAUGCGGUUUCUUUGUUCCGCCGUGAGCCCUCCGCCGUAUUCCUGAACGUUUUCCUUGGACAUUGCUUCGAAGAUUCCAACGGAGGAUUUGGCCUGACGGCCUGACCAGGCUGAUAAUAUUCUUUUCAUUCAACUUGUCUACAAUAAUUACCACUCUUGGUAUUUAUACAUUUCUAACACGCCUCACUAACUAACUAAGACCACUACCAAUCAUACAUAAACACUUGUCAUAAUCCUAUGCACUCAUAGUAUCAUCACUCUAACUUCCCCUCAAACUCAUGUGGCAGAUUGCCAAGCAUGAGAUUGGAACAAUUACGAGUGAACUGGGGUGAACACAAGCCUUUGGUGAACAUGUCGGCAUAUUGAUUUGCAGAGGUAACAAACUGCAAAAAAUUGUCCUUUGAUGAACUCUUUCAUGAACAAAGUGGCAAUCAAUCUUUAAAUGUUUGGCUUUAGAGUGCAAUACAGGAUUAGUGGCAAGAGCCAUUGCUGAAAUGUUAUCACAAUGCAAAACUGGAACAUAAGGAGAACCAACAUGCAAAUCUCGAAGAAGCUGUUGUAUCCAGAUAACCUUAGCAGUGGUUGUAGCCAUUGCUCUAUAUUCAGCUUCAGUGGAAGACCUACUCACUGUAUGCUGCCUUUUAGAACUCCAAGAGAUAGGAGUAUCUCCCCAAAAAAUGACAAAACCCGUGGUUGAACGACGAUCAUUAGGAUCCCCUGCCCAAUCAGCAUCUGUAUAGGCUUUCAACUGAGAUGAACAUGAUUUAAAACACAAUCCCAAAGACAUAGUGCCUCUGAGAUAUCGUAGAAUACGUUUCACAGCAGCAAAUGAGUGGCUAAGGGUGAAUGCAUAAACUGACAUACUUGAUUGACAUAAAAAGAAAUAUAUGGUCUUGUAAAUGUUACGUAUUGCAGUGCCCCAACAAUACUUUUGUAAGUGGUAGGAUCAGAAACAGGUUCACUACCAUGAUUCAAAAGCUUUUGAUUAGGAUGACAAGGUGUGGAAAAAAGGUUUACAGUCCAGCAUAUGCAUCUUUUAAAGGAGUUCUUUGACAUACUUGGUCUGAUGAACAAAGAGUCCCUGAUCCUGAUACUCAAUCUGUAAACCAAGAAAAUAAUGCAACACACCUAGAUCUUUCAUGCCAAACUCACUAGUUAACUGACUAAUAACAUUCUGAACCUUCAUAGCAUCAUUACCAAUGAGAAUGAUAUCAUCAACAUAUAAUAAGAGAACAAUAAUUGAUGAACCAUCACACUUGACAAAUAAAGAAGGAUCUGCAUAUGAUGACUUGAACCUAAGUUUAGGCAAAUAACCUGAAAACCUGUCAUGCUAGGCUCUGGGAGCUUGUUUGAGACCAUAUAAAGACAUUUCUAGUUUGCACACAUAAUCUAGAUAGGUAGAAUCCACAAACCCUUGGGGCUGAGACAUAUAAACUUCUUCCUCAAGAAAGCCAUGCAAAAAAGCAUUAUUGACAUCUAACUGUUUGAGUUUCCAAUUAUGAGAUGCAGCCAAGGAUAGAACCAAUCGAACCAUGGUUGGUUUGACCACAGGGCUAAAGGUUUCAUAAUAGUUAAUACCAACUUCUUGAGAAUACCCAUUAGCUACAAGAGUAGCCUUGUACCUAGCCACUGAACCAUCUGGAUUUCUCUUAAUCUUGUAGCUCCAUUUACAACCAACAAGAUUUUUGUCAGGUGGUAAGGGCACAAGCUUCCAAGUAUGUUGUUGAAUCAAAGCAUCCAUCUCUUCUUUUAUGGCAUUUUGCCAUUGAACACACUUGACUGCACUAGAAAAAGACUGAGGUCUAAUAAAUGGAAAUGUGGAAGAAACACUAGGUGGAUGAAUGAAUGUGUUUGAAUGCACAACAGACACUGGUGAGGAAGAAUGACCAGAAGUAACUUGAUGAUUGAAACCCAAAGCAUUAGAGUCUAUAGGAAACUUGGAUUCAUAAAAAAUAACAUGUCUAGAUACUAACAGUUUAUGUUCUUUGAGAGAGAAGCAAAUAUACCCUUUGUAUUGUGUAGCAUACCCCAGAAAAAUGUUGGAGCAAUAAUAGAAAAUAUGAGAAAUAACAAUAUAAUUCCAAUGAUAAUAAUCAUAAAGAAAUUCACAACAUCAAUUAUAUAUGAGAUUAAUAUAAACUACUAGAGUGAAAGUUAGAAUAACUGACAAACUUGGAGAUUGAGGCUUGCAUAAAUGCAAUGUCCUAAAGAUAGAAUUUCGCCCCUACUCUUGUGUUUGUAGUUCAAUAGGCGUCCAUCUCUCAGAAUUCAACAAUCUAUAAUCCGAAGUCAAAGCACUUCAAUCUUCGGACUCUGGCGAACUUUAUAUAUUCCGUACUCUCAAGACACGACUCGGAAUUUGACACACGAAUCAUUUGAGAAACAAAGUUGGGGAAACCCUAUUUCUCAAGAGAGUAACAAUUAACUCUAUUUUUCUAUUUUUAAUGAUAAUGGUUUCAUGAGUUUAUAUAGAACCCAAGUACUUUUUGUUAAGGAGAUGUAACUUUUCAUCUAUAAGUAUACAUCACUUAUCAAGAGAAUACACCUAAACAACAUAACCUUUCUAAGAAAUUGGUUAACACUAUUUUUCAUUCAAUUAUUAAAAUUAUAUAUUACAAUAUUUCAUAUUAUAAUAUAUAAUUUCCAACAAAAAAUACACUUAGUAGUUUUAGGUUCAAGUUUAUUGCUUCUAUAGGGUUUCAAUGAAGGAUAGCAUAAACACCCAAAAAAUCUCAAAUGAUCAAGCUUAGGUGGAGAUUUAUAUAGCAUUUCAAAAGGAGACUGCAUAUGUAGGGUAGGUGUGGUCAUUCUGUUUAUAAGAAAAGUAGCAGUGGCACAUGCAUGGAACUAACAUUUUGAAGGUAAUGAAACUUGUUGUAAAAAGGUAAUAGUUGUUUCGACAAUAUGUUGAUUUUUUCUCUCAGCCAACCCAUUAUGUUCUAGGGUAUAAGGACAUUUUUUAUGAACAAUGCCUUUGGUAAGAAGAAAUUGCUUAAACUGAGUACUAACAUAUUCCCCACCCCCAUCACUUUGCAAAAUUUUUACAUGAGCAUCAAAAUAAUUCGAGACAUAAGCAAGAAAGUUGACAAAAACACUGAACACUGCAAACUUUAUUAUUUAAUGGAAAAAUCCAGGUAUAUCUUGUACAUUCAUUAAUAAAGGAAACAUAAUACUUGUAACCUUCUAUAGACAGACUAGGUGAGGGACCCCAAACAUCUAUGUGAAUUCCUUCAAAUGGAGUAAGUGACUUCAAAGCAAUUACAGGAAAAAAGAGCUUGGUAAACUUACCUUGCAAACAAGCUUUACAAGUAUGAGAUUGAGAGUUACAAGGAAAAGAUAUAAAAGACUUAUUAAGUGCUGCAGUGACAAUGGAAUGUGCAGGAUGGCCUAAUCGACAAUGCCAUAAUGUAGAAGAAAUCUUUUGACCCACAAAUGCAACUGGAUUAAAAACAGGAGAAAUAGACCUUUGUGGUUUGAUUAUGGGAAGUGGAUAGACAACAUUAUUACUCAGCCCUUGGAAUAGCACUCUCUCGGUGACCUUGUCCUGUAGACAGAGAGAAACAUCAUCCAUGAUACAACGACACUGAUUAUCUUUGCAUAACUGAUUCAUAGAUAAUAAGUGUUGUGACAGUUUUGGAACAUGUAACAUAGAGUUUAACUUGAAAUUAUGUGACUUAGUGAGAAGAGAAGAUGAACCAAUAUGUUUAGCUAAACCUUCACCACUAGCACUGGUCACAAUAUCAUUUGAUGGAUAAAUUUGUUGCCAUGUGCAAGUUUGACAAAUCUGAGGUCAUAUGGUUAGUUGCUCCUAAGUCAAGAAACCAGAAAUCUUGUUAAAGAGUUGAGGAUGAUGCACCAGCUCAUGCUUGCAUAGCAAGAUGAGGAUUUUGUGAGGAUAUAGUUGAGAGAUACAUAUGUGGUAUGACAAGAUACUGAAACUGGGAGCUAUUAGACCGUGGAAUAAUGCCUUGUGAAGGACCACAUGGAUUCUAGCUAGGUGCUUCACCAUAUGACCCAGUAGGCAUUGAAGUUGGCAUAGAUGAGGAUAAACCCUAAGAGAAAUGCUCUGAUGUGCCUGUGAAAUUCUUAUUCCGAUCAAAGCAAGUAGCAGCAACAUGACAACCUUUGACAAAUUUGACAUCCAUGUUGAAAACAAUUCAAUGCAGAAUGACCUUUGCGAUCAUAUUUGCAAAAUGGCCUUUGCAACCCUAGAAAGAAGAAGGAGCGAAGAAGACCAAAUGUGCACGUUUCUCUUUGGUUUUUUUUCCCUCCUAAUCGCCCUGUUCGAAAUCACGGACCUCGGGCCUGUGCCUAGUGGGCCCAAUUAUGAGGCCCAUUAUCUCCGGUCUUCUCGUUCUACUUCUAGUUACCCAAAUUAAGAACGUACUGGUUCGCUUUUAGCGCGAGAGAGAAAUGGAAGCCCUGAUUGCCUCGUACGGAGACUCGUCGUCGGGCUCAGACUCCGAGUCGCCGGCUCCACCUCCACCACCACCUCCGGAGCUCAACAAUCCUCAAAAACCGACCCCUGCGCUGCCUCCACCUCCUCUGUCACUUCUUGACAGCCCCAAUUCCUUCGGUAACCUCUGAUUCCCAUCAAUUUUCAUCUUUUAGCUUUCUGUUGUGAUGGCUUUUUCCAAGUUGGCCACCAAGUGUUUGAUGUUUUGCCUCUGAAGGAUUUCUGGACUUCUCGGCAAGCGCCCAGCCGAGCAGAGUUCGGAACUUUCCUCACGUCGAAGGGAACUACGCAGUACAUGUAUACAUCCCAGGUUAUCAAAAUUCUCGAAAUUUUCAGCUCCAUUAUCAAAUGCGAUCGCUUUGCACUUAGUUUUUGCUUGUUUAAUUGCGUGGUUCCAGUUUAUAUACCACCAGCACCAAGGAAAGAGAUGGCCUUGUUUUUGAACAAGCUAGCUUCUCUGGUGCCUGGUCUCCAUGCGGUUGACGUUGACUUCCCGCUUGACAUUCUGCGUAAGGACGAGCACAAGCUUGAACAAGUUGCUUUAGGCAGAGAGUUCCAUAUAAGUCUCGGAAGAACUGUUCCGAUUCGGGUGCACCAGAUUGAUUCCUUGGUGACAAUGCUGCGGCAGAAGCUUCAGAUUCAGAGGCGGUAUGGUUACAUUUACAUUCUCUUGUCUGCAUUGCGUGAAUUUAGUUCUGUUAUUUAACAUAAUUCUGUAAGCCUGCCAAAUUUUUCGUCCAUUUUCGGUUUAACACAUUUUGUUAUUGUGAAACAGGUAUUGGAUUGAUUUUAGCAAGUGGGAGGUUUUUGUUAAUGAUGAUCAGACCCGGACCUUUGUGUCAAUCGAAAUCAUUGCUGCUGGGUUAGCUGAGGUAUGAUUGCUAGCUUUCUUUCUUGGUGCAAUUCUAAAUGUUUUCAGUUGUUAUAUGGGCUUAAGAUUUAGUAAGUACUUGCCGAAAGUCAUGGGAUUUUGAAAUAUCGAUAUCUUGCUUGCUUAUUAGCUUAGACUUGGUCUUCGAUGCACUUGUAACAUGAAAAACACAAACGAAAACUAAUGCAUGAUAUGCUCAUGGUUUUAACAUGUGUUGUCCUGGCGUAAAUCAUGUUCCUAAUCCUGUCAUGUGAGUAUAUAAGCCUAUGAAACUUAGGGCAUGUUUGGCGGGCCGGACAAGAUUGGAAUUGGUAUUUCAGACUAGUUAGGUUAGGAUUGAACUGGAUAGGAUAGGUUUUUUGUCUAAAGAUUGGUGUAGACUGUCUUAACCAGACUAGGAACGAUGGGAUUUAAAAGGUGAAACAGAUCCGCGACAUCCCAAGGAUGACCCGCCCACCCAACAACUCUGCUUGUGACUUGCAACACCUCUCGUACCCUCCACGCCCCUUGCGGCCCGUCAGACCACUCUGAUAUCCUGGAGGAGUGAAACGUGGUUACUAGAAGCAUACCUGUUUUCGUAUUAAUGCACGGUUGAAUCAGCUUUCAUUGUCUACAAGUCUGAAAUAUUUUAACUUCCAUUGAUUUCAGAUAACAAAGCAGAUUCAAGCUGUGAAUGAGGUGUAUAAGCUUCACAAUCUUCCUGAAUUUUACAAGGUUAGCUUUUUCGUGCUUUUCAAACUCGAAUCGCUUCCUGAAUAUAUGACAAUAUAUUGGAUCAAACGAUUUCUCAAAAAACUAAUUCACUUGAUGGGGUCUUGGUGAUCACAGGAUCCACGCCCUCACAUCUCGGUAGCUUGGGCAUUGGGUGACAUCAGCAAUUCCCUGAAGAAAGUGGUUGAAGAAGAAAGACGAAGAUCUACCAUCGGAGGAUCGUUACAGAAAUGUAUUUUUACCAGUAAAUUCAAUGGUAUCGAAUGUAGGAUUGGUAAUGAGACACACAAAAUAUGUAAAUUUUCUGAAGAAUAAUGUAGCCAUUUAACUGUAUUGUGAAAUUCCGAGAAUAUAUCGCUGAGCAUUGGAUGAGAAGACAUUUCUUCGUUGGUGUCGAACUUCUUGUCGAAGGGAUUGGCACCAGUGUAAACGUCAUCAUCCAUGUUGAUGGUAAUUACUUCCCAGCUACUAAGGGAUUGGUAAUUACGUCUUUCACAUGCCCGACAAAUAGAAGUAUCACCAAACAUGUGAAUAUAGAGCAUCUAAGCGGCAGGCACUAAAAGGAAUUUAGUAUGCAAUAAACAUUCAACGGACACAAUUAUAUGUCUAACCUUUCCCGCUCCUGAGCAAUUUGAACAUCGUUCAGUUUUUGGCAGAGAUAGGGGUUGGUUUCCGCCAUCAUCAGCUGUCGAUACUGGUUCAGUAAGAACAAGGGUUCCAGUGCUGGAGCAACGAGCACAAGCAAGAGAUCCUGCGUAAGUAUCAAAUACACAGGUAAGCUGACAUACGAAACCAAUCCGAACAUCUCCAUCGUAUAUAUUUAAAGCUACAGUACAUAAAACUAAAAGUCAGAAAUAUAGGACAUUAUCACACCAGUUCCAAGACAAUAUUUGCAUCGUUUAUGCUCCUGCUGUUUCACAUUGUUUAUUUCAACUACCAUCAAUGCUGAGAUCACUCCGACUGCUCCUCCAGAGAAUGACGCCACUAUGGGAUCAACUUGACUGCAGUUUGAAAGUAAAGGAGAUCAAUAAACGAAACUGGUAACAACAUAGUAUCAACAUUAUUUAGCUUCGUUUCAAGAAAGAUGACAUCCUAGGUUUUUCUGAUGUGUAAAAAUUGAGGAUCCUCGUAAAAUUUGACUAUAUCGGUUCCCAAAGCAUUUGAUUCCUACGUUACAGACGGAAAACAGCAACAAUCGAAUUUAAAGAUUCAUAACACGAUAGAUGGUACAAAAUUUCAAAACGAUAAUUACUAGAGAAGAAAAAUGAGAAGAGAUGAUAUGGGAUCUGCUAAAAGAGGUGACAGACAAUGUAAGCAAUCAGAGCUCCGGCUGAUUGUUCACAUUCUCCCUAUCUUGCAGGCAGCAUGAAGGAUAAAAAGAAGAAAAAUGAGAAGAGAUGAUAUGGGAUACUUUUGCUUUUGAAGAAGUAACUUUCCACAAGCUUAUUCUUGAACUGAGUUGGAGGGUUUUCUGGUUUCCUCCAGAGUAUAAGGCCGACUGAAGAAUUUAAGGGUCAAAACAAGUCCAUCAAAUCUAGAGUACGUUCGACCCUGCUGAUAUGAGAUACUUUUGCUUUUGACAGAGUAAUGGAUGUAUCGGCACGUGUGCUGUUACUUGUCUCCACAUGCUUCCUUGUAUCCUUCCCACUUGCCCUAUCUGUUCCUCAGGGAGAUGCGGUAUCUUCCCUGGGAGCAUAAGAUGUUGAAGAUCAACCCUCGUGGUCUCUAAGCAGCCCAGCUUUUGAGAAAGCAAACGCUUCUUCGAUUUCUGAGCAGGCGCCUCUUCGAUGUCUGAAGCUCCGUCGAGUGCAGCUUUUUAUAGGGGCUGGCAUUAAGUUCCAAAGCACACUUGAAUCUCCACCAGUAGAAGCCCCAUUCUUGCACUUCUAAGAUCUUGAUUUGUCCGACCUCUUCUCUUUUCAACACCUUUGAAAAUGUCUGGCCCCUCCGACCGUCGUUUUGACUUGAACCUUGUUGAAGAGGCAGCCCCGCCUUCUCCAGACAACAUAUGGCGGCCAUCCUUCGUUUCCCCUACUGGUCCUCUUACCGUUGGGGAUUCCGUGAUGAAGAAUGAUAUGACCGCUGCGGUGGUGGCCAGGAACCUUCUCACUCCCAAAGAUAACAGACUACUUUCCAAACGGUCUGAUGAGUUAGCCGUUAAGGAUUUGCUGGCUCUCAGUGUUCAGUGUGCAGGUUUUGUGUCUAAUAUGGCCCAACGCCUAUUUGCUCGAACCCGCCAAGUUGAAUCAUUGGCGGCCGAAGUGAUGAGUCUCAAACAGGAGAUUAGAGGGCUCAAGCAUGAGAAUAAACAGUUGCACCGGCUCGCACAUGACUAUGCUACAAACAUGAAGAGGAAGCUUGACCAGAUGAAGGAAACUGAUGGUCAGGUUUUACUUGAUCAUCAGAGAUUUGUGGGUUUGUUCCAGAGGCAUUUAUUGCCUUCGUCUUCUGGGGCUGUAACGCGUAAUGAAGCUCCAAAUGAUCAACCUCUGAUGCCUCCUCCUUCUAGGGUUCUGUCCAGUACUGAGGCUCCGAAUGAUCCCCCUCUGAUGCCUUCUCUUUCUGGGGCUCUACCGACUGCUGAGACUUCUCCUAAGCAACCUUUGUGAAGGCUCCAUCUUGUUUGUUUAUUUUGACUCAUGUAUAUGUACAUAUUUGUAGCUUAUCGGGGAUAUCAAUCUAUAUGUACAUCUUGUUUCCUUCAUUUCAACGUAUUGUGUUAAAUACACCAAAGCCUUCUUCGCUAAGUUCUUUGAAUUUUCUUUUGUUGAAGCUUUCUGAGUGGAGCAUGUAGGUUGGGGUAGUGUUCCCUUAAUUUUCCGAGUGAGGAAAACUUCUCGGUUGGAGACUUGGAAAAUCCAAGUCACUGAGUGGGAUCGGCUAUAUGAAUCUUAGAACGCCAUUGUGCUCGGUCCUGUGUCAUGUCCUUCGUUAGAUCCAAGUACUCUAAGUCUUUUCUUAGAGUCUCUUCCAAAGUUUUCCUAGGUCUUCCUCUACCCCUUCGGCCCUGAACCUCUGUCCCAUAGUCGCAUCUUCUAAUCGGAGCGUCAGUAGGCCUUCUUUGCACAUGUCCAAACCACCGUAACCGAUUUUCUCUCAUCUUUCCUUCAAUUUCGGCUACUCCUACUUUACCCCGGAUAUCCUCAUUCCUAAUCUUAUCCUUUCUCGUGUGCCCACACAUCCAACGAAGCAUCCUCAUCUCCGCUACACCCAUUUUGUGUACGUGUUGAUGCUUCACCGCCCAACAUUCUGUGCCAUACAGCAUCGCCGGCCUUAUUGACAUUUCUUCGUUGGUGUCGAACUUCUUCUUGUCGAAGGUAUUGGCACCAGUGUAAACGUCAUCAUCCAUGUUGAUGGUAAUUACUUCCCAGCUACUAAGGGUGUCGGAACAACCUUGCACGCAGCCUCCUGUGCAUUACUUGGUAUUGUCUCAGAUUCUCCAAACUUGAAUGCUAAUGUAAACCCACUCUUGACCUUCCCGUCAUCUGCCAUUACUGGAAAGCUGGCUAGGAUGUUGCCGUUAACCUACCUAACUGGCUAGGAUGUUGCCGUCAUCUCCAAACUUAAAAUACCGGAAAGCCGGCUCCAAACUUCAAUGUGCUACUAGUUUUUGUAUGCGAGAGCUCCACCUCCAUUGUUGUAACAGCAUCUGAUGCGGACUAGUCCUUCAUUCCCGUUACUCGUUGCUAUCUCCACUUCAAACUUGGCGUAAUGGCUCCCGGCCUCUUCUCCGGUGAAAUUGAGAAACCCUGGGAAACCCUUGAGCUGGCGUUUUCAUUCUGUUGUCCGUAUAUCUUGAUAUUACAAGUAUUUGUUGUGCAAAAUGCAUGCUAAGUUCAAGUUAUGUUUAUAUGUGUGUGUGUGUGCGUGUGUGUGUGUGUGUUGCCACUUUUCCAACGUUUUCUCCAAAAUUGUGAUUUUGGUGUUGUUCUAACUUUAUGUUGGUGUUGUUCUAACUUUGGUGAAUGCUAAUAACAAUUCCCUCGUUAACCAUUGGGACGAGCAACAAGGCAGUUUUGAUUCCGGGCACAACGACGAUACCUCGAAAGAAAUUGAUUCUUCCCCAGAAAGAUGUUUUAAAACAAAGUUGAACAAGGGAAGAAAACUUUUGAAUCGCAAUCAGAUGUCUGGUCAAAUUCUUUAACAGUUGAUGUAUACAGAAGUUCCUUGCUUAUGACACGACUUAUGAGAGGAUGUAUGUAUUGCAUUUGCAUCAAAAGAAAGAAAGAAGGUUGUAAGUGGUAAGGGAACGACUACCGAUGGCGCUCCACUUCUAAUCAAAGGGAUCGAUCCGAGGGUCGUGUUCACUUGCCAUCGCCAUUCCAGUGCAAAGGCAUGUCGGGCACAUUACCUGCCACAUUUACAGACGCAAUGUUAGAUAUAGCUGCCAUUUGGAAGUCACCUCUCAAAAUUUUGCUACUAAAUUAAUCUUAGACUUCAUUUCCAGUGCAAUUUUUUUCUUCCGAAAUGUCUUUCACAUGCCCGACAAAUACAAGUAUCGGUCACCAAGCUUGUGAAUAUAGUGCAUCUAAGCGGCAGGCACUAAAAGGAAUUUAGUAUGCAAUAAACAUUCAACGGACAUAAUUAUAUGUCUAACCUUUCCCGCUCCUGAGCAAUUUGAACAUCGUUCAGUUUUUGGCAGAGAUAGGGGUUGGUUUCCGCCAUCAGCUGUCGAUACUGGUUCAGUAAGAACAAGGGUUCCAGUGCUGGAGCAACGAGCACAAGCAAGAUAUCCUGCGUAAGUAUCAAAUACACAGGUAAGUUGACAUAUGAAACCAAUCCGAACAUCUCCAUCGUAUAUAUUUAAAGCUACAGUACAUAAAACUAAAAGUCAGAAAUAGAGGACAUUAUCACACCAGUUCCAAGACAGUAUUUGCAUCGUUUAUGCUCCUGCUGUUUCACAUUGUUUAUUUCAACUACCAUCAAUGCUGAGAUCACUCCAACUGCUCCUCCAGAGAACGACGCCACUAUGGGAUCAACUUGACUGCAGUUUGAAAGUAAAGGAGAUCAAUAAACGAAACUGGUAACAACAGAGUAUCAACAUUAUUUAGCUUCGUUUCAAGAAAGAUGACAUCCUAGGUUUUUCUAAUGUGUAAAAAUUGAGGAUCCACGUAAAAUUUGACUAUAUCGGUUCCCAAAGUAUUUGAUUCCUACGUUACAGAUGGAAAACAGUAACAAUCUAAUUUAAAGAUGCAUAACACGAUAGAUGGUACAAAAUUUCAAAACGAUAAUUACUAGAGAACAGGAGGGUUAAUAGCCUGAGAUAUGAGCCAUACCUCAACUGCAACGGCAGAUGCAUAUUUACUAUAAAGUCUUUAUAUGAUGUGCCUCCUAUUCCCAGCUUCAACUCCAACUGAAAUAUGUAAAGGUAAUUGUAGGCAAAGAGUUACAAACAUAACCGAAUCCAUGUUUUAUAAGCAACAACUAAACUUAUUUUGAUAUGUUUCCUCAUUUUUUACUUGCAAAUUCCGAACCAUAUUGUCGGACCAGUAAAAGAGAAUAAUGUUUAUGAUAACUGUUAAAACUAAUCACAACAGGUUAAUGCAUAAAGAACUUACGGAGGGUGCUAUGAGGCCACCGAAAAGGAUAAACCCCGCAAUAAUUGAAUAACAAACAGCAUAAUACUGCUUAAGGUUGUCUGAACUCUGGAAGCAAUGAAUUCACCUUGUGAUUAAUACUUUGCACAAACACUAGUUUUUGCAAAUUUUUAUGAAUCGACAAAAGGCUACAACAAAAUAUGGCUAAAACAUGUCGGGGAUAUGAAAAUACAUGUCUUCACAGGGGCACCAGCUUACCAGGGGAGGCAAAAAUGGAAUGAACGAUGGAAAACUAGGAAGUUCGUUUUCUUGAUCUUCAUUUACCGCUCCAAGCUCUGCACGUUUAAUCCGCUGUUGUAUCCUCAGCCUGCGAACCUACGCAUAUCGAAGCUCAUUCUUAAAGAACACAUUUCUAAUGGCAAUUGGAGAGUAAUUUAAAACAUGCUAAACUGAGAAAGUGGUAGUAACUAGCAAUUGCUCUCACCUCCUCCAUAUGCAAGAAAAUUUUGUUGCGACGACUCCGAAUAUUAUCUUGAAUUUCCUGCAGCUCCAUUGUGGCAAAAUCCUGCACUGUUUCAGGCCCCUCUAUGAUACAAAAUAUGCACCAUUAAGCAUGUAAAAACUAAAAAUUACAGGCUACAAAGCAAUUUCCGUAUAGUUGUUGGGUUAAAUAACAUCAACAGCAAAUAAAUCACAUGGGUUUUUCACAUAAAGUUACAAACUUUCAAGGACUAAUAAGCUGUCUGCAAUCUCAUAAAUUUCACAGUGCAAAGUAACAAUCCAAAGCUUGGAACUUUAAAUUUCCACCUUCUGUUAAUUUCCUAGAGAGAAGAGAGGGGGGGGGGGAAGUACCCGGCGGGGUUUGUAUCAGCGGCGGGAUUGGGAUCAGAAUCGACAGACGGAGCGAAAGAGGAGGAGUCGGGUUCCGAAGCCAUGGCAAGGGAUCGCCAUCUGGAGCUGCUUGUUGAUAUGGGGCUUCUGGGUAGCUGAAUUUGGAGCAGCCGGCGCUAUGCAGUUUGUACGGACGGCACCGAUUUACGGGGAAAGAAACGGCCAAAAGUCUGCCGGAGCAGAGCAUCUCUGUCUCUCUCUCUCAAACCAGAAGGUAGAGCUUUCUGUUUCUCUUGAGGUUUCUUUCACUGGUAAAUUCCAGAGAAGCAGAGAAGAAGGCUCUCUGAGAAAUGGCGAUGGUGCAAGUGGAGACAAAACAAAUGUAAAUCUUGAAGCACUGAACAUCUGCAGAACACUUGUCAACUGCCGAACUCUAGGAUUAGGAGAGAGACAGUGAGCGACCGGCCAAAAAAACAAAAUGGAGGUAAGUGGCUAAUUCUUCUCUCAUUUUUUUUUCCUUGUUUUUCAGGAAAAAAAAAAGACAGAGAGAGAUUUUUAGUGGACCUGGCGUCGAUAGAUUCGAGUAGUAUGUCACAUUUAAAAUUUGAGCAAAUUGUAACUAUAGUACUUUAAUUUUAAUUUAAUUGGAGGAAUGAUCCAUCAACUAAAAAUUCAUUACCAUUGAUCAUUUAAUUAAAAAUCUAUUACCGUUGGUCCCUCAACUUUAAUUCAACUAGAGAAAUGAUCUUUUAACUUUAACCCAAUUGUAGCAAUGGUCAUUCCAACAUAACUCGUUUUGACAAAAUUUUUGAUGUAGUUGACGAAAAUGACCAUAAUUACAUACUUUGAUAAGUUGAGGAACUCUAAUUGUAUAAAUGGUCAUUUCAACAUAAUUUAUUUUGACAAAAUUUUGACGAAAUUGAUGAAAAGGACUAUAGCUACACAUUUUGAUAAGUUGAGGGACCAAUAGUAAUUGAUUUUUAGUUGAAGGACCAUUGCUAUAAUUUACUCUUAAAAUUUUAUUAUAGGAUGACAAACGUCGAAAAUAAAAGGUUAAGUGCAGUGAUCGUCUUUGAGGUUUUGGAGGUUCUGUGUGGUCAAAUACUUUGUUCUCCCUAAAAUUGCCACUAUUGAGACGAUUACUUGCCUCAUACAAACAUUUUACGUUUACUUAGAACUAGAAAGACAAGAAUUGCAUGUGAUGAAUUGCUCUAAUCAUGGGGUUUAUUUUUUAACUCAUUGUGUUUUAAAUUUAAACUUUUUUCCCUCUCUUUGAUAUACUUAUAAAGUGUGAAAUUAAUAAUUUUAAUGAGUGACUCAAUUAACUAUUUUCAUUUCUUACGCGUUCAAAAUUACACAAAUUUGUUGCAUACAAUUUUUUAAAAAGAAAAUUUCUAUUAUUAUGGAGAAAGUUCGGUACAUUAUGGAAGGAGGAAUUUUGAACUCGAAACACAUGGUAGAAACCUAACGCCCAUCCACUAGGAUAUUAGAAACCCAACGCAUAUCCACUAGGAUAUUAGACCACCAGAGCUGGUCCUGAGAUAUUUGGUGCCUGUGUCAAAAUGUGUCUUUUUCCAGUACAACAACAGAAAUUGAAAAGAAAUAUUUAAAGAGGGCUGGAACCCAGUCGAAGCUGGGGGCUAGGCCCUCACACCCAUGUUAUAUUACUCGAAAAAAAAAAAAUAUACAACGGGAUGGAACAUAGUACCGAAACCCCGACAAUAAAAAACAAAAUCACAUACAACCACUCCAAGCAGUCAACAUGACCAUUACAUAUUGAAUCCAAAAGGUUGACGCCUAUUCUCUGCAUAUAAUGCACAGAAGAUAACAAGAUUACUAAUAUAAAAAGAACAUCUGAAAAGAUGAACAUAUGCAUCAACAUAUAAGUUAACCAUUCUAAGUGCAAAUUUAGAAGUGAUAUGCUCCAAGUAUAAUAUUGGACAGAAGAGCGGCAGCAUCAACCAGUUCUGCUAUAUCCGGCUGGAUGAGAGCUGCUAAAGACAUGAUUGUUCCCUAAUAACAUGAAUAAAUUGAGUAAACACCAAAAGUAGCAGCAAGGGAAGGAGAUGUUAAGAAGAUGAAGAGGUGUAACACCUGUGAAUGUCCAACAACAAAGACUUUGGUGCUUGUUGAAUAUAUGCAGCGCAUCAUUUCUGAUAGAUCAAAUCGAGCCAAUUCCUGCCAACUCCAAUCCUAAAAAUCCUACAGUAAAGCAUAAAUCUUAUUCUCUUCUGAUAAAGAUGUGUGUCCCUGUCUCCAACGUGUUUGACGCACAUUCCCUACCCAUACAUCGAAACCUUCAUCUGCAAGGACAAAUCCCAGUUAUUCUUCUGGAGAAUUUAAGAACCAUGAAUCACCUGGUCAAGAUCAAGAAAAGCCAGUAACCAAUUACAAUUGAGUUUGAAGCACAUAAGAGCCUAAUUUAAAAUGUAUCCCAUGGAUGUUCAUCAAUUUACACAAUAGUUAGUUUCAAGAAAGGAAAUUUCAACAGAACCUGAAAACUUCAGAUCAGGGGGCACCAAAUAGUGAGCUAUACAUUCAAAAUUUGAAAUAAUCAACUUAGUGGGACCAAUAUGUUGAAAAAAUUGGAAGGAGCUAUGAAAGUAAGGCUUUUCACUAAUCAGACGUCCAGAGAAUCAAUAUUUUACUCACGGAUCAGUUACGGGGAACACUCCCCACCAAAGCAAUCUCUUUCGUCUGAAUCUGGAAAACAAGCAGCAGUGGAUUUUAACAGUCUGGGUAUCUCAAAGUUACUUUAAUCAUAAAUUUAACACUAAAACAUAUAAAUGGGCAUUAUUUAGUGAAAUAUUAGUAUAGUACUCACUGUGUGCUCGGAACAAGAGUACCCAGAAAGCUCAAUGAGCUGCGCACAGAGGACUACAGCGGUGAACGACAGCGACCGAUUCUGUAAAAUUCAGUCAAGUUUUGGGUGAUUUCUGCAGUUAUUUCGGAGGUCAAGAGGCUGAUAGGGAAAGCUGCGACCGAAGGGCACUGGUCUGGAAGCAAAGGCUCAGGUCACCGCUGUCCCGAUUCGCGAAGGAAGUGCCCCAAAAACAAUUUCGGCCCUGGACAGGUGCACUGUUUGCACUGGACCAGGGCCGGCCGGCCCUGGCAAUAACGUCCCCCAAACAGUACAUAUACAGAUGCUAGAAAUAUAUUAAUGUAACCUGAAACUACUAGAACCAUUCAAUUCUAGCGUCUACAGCUAUAGCAUUAGUUGGUACAAUGGACAUUCUUCCAAAGAGGGGGAUGAACUCGUUGAGGCUCUUAUUUAUUCCUCCUCUUGUUGUGCCCUUUUCAGCUGCUAAUUCCAGACGAUCCAAUCUCAUACAUCUUCCCUGCAAAAGCAUGCGUGCCAGACUUCAAGAUCAAAUUUUUCCAACAAAAGAAACUUAAAGAUCAAACUCGCUAGCAGAUUAAAUGGUGCACAAGGGUGUUAAAAUCUUGACAUAGUAUAUUUUUGGCAGAUUUUAUGUGAGCAUGCAACUAAAACUGGCAUCACUAUCAAUGGUGCAAAAAGAUUGGUGGAAAACUUUAACAGUUUGAGUUGUAACUUCUCCAUUGUAUUUGUUAAGGCAAGACGGAUGUCAUCUAUGCAUUUUUCUGUAAAACUUAAAAGGCUGCAUAGCAGCUCUUGUUCGUACGACAAGCAAUUGAAAAUCCCAUCAUUAUGCCCCGCAUAUACCAGAAAAAAAAAGUCAUUUACACAAAUUCAGAGCGUUCAUCCACUGUAAUUUGCAGAUAUAGAAACGUUAAGAUAAAAGGAAAUGCAAAGUUAGCAACGGGAAUUGACAUACCAAUAUCUUCACAGUUUCUGCACAAGCACAAAUCAAAAGAAUCCGGCGGUGGAGUUAUGUACCUCUCCUUGGAAAAUGCCACCUCUUGGGAUUUCAAAAUAUGCGGCCGUGGCUAGCCGUCUGACCACGCCAAUUCCACCAAAGCCGCCGCAACGCGGCGCAGUGUCCGAUUGAUUGCUUCAAAACAGAGCUUCGUAUCCAUGUGUUUAUCAGCACAGAGUACCCAAAACCCCUGAAAAUUAUUUCUUUAUUCAGAUAAUAAAAUUUCCCAAAUUUCAAAUUUUAAUUCCGAACCAAAAAUAGGAUUUGAAUUUUGAUUACCUAGAAAUUGGGGGGUUGGCGAUAUGCGUCCUCGAGAGGGUACCAAUACAAAUUACAGAGCGUGUUGGGACGAUGUACAAGGCUUUUGCAGUCUCUCAGAUGUAAAUACCGAAGCUCCGUAAGGCGUUCAAUCCAGGGGGAAAGCUCUUUGAUAGAUGUUCCAUCCAAGACAAGAUUUCUUAAUCCUUCCAUAUUUUCUUCAAUGCUUGGAAACACCUCGAAUUUUGUACAACCGGAAAGAGAGAGAUAGACAAGGGACUUGAGCUGACAAAUGCUACUUGGAAGACUCUUAAGCUCCUUGCAAUUUUCUAGCUUCAAAUGAUUCAAUCCCGUGAGAUUAUUAAUUGACGAGGGCAUUUCUUUAAUUUUUGAUCCGGAUAAAUGAAGAACUUUUAACCCUUCAAUCACUUUUAAAAUCUCUGGAAACAUCUCAAGACUCUGACAAUCAUAAAGUACAAAGGUUUCGAGAGAUUUCAUAUGAAUGUUGCUUGGAAGACUCUUAAGUUUUUGGCAAUCUGAUAGGUUCAAAUGAAUCAACCCCGUGAAAUUAUUAAUUGACAUGGGCAGUUGUUUAAUUUUUGACCCGGAUAAAUUAAGCUCUUCUAACCCCUCAAUACCAUCUGAAAUCAAUGGAAACAUCUCAAGACUGGAGCAGCCACAAACAUUAAAGGUUUUCAGACAUUUCAAAUGAAUGCAACUUGGAAGACUCUCAAGUUCCUUGCAAUCUUUUAGGUUGAAAUGACUCAACCCCGUGAGAUUAUUAAUUGACUCGGGCAGUUCUUUAAUUUUGGACUCGGAUAAAUUAAGCUCUUCUAACUCCUCCAUACCUUCUGAAAUCUCUGGAAACAUCUCAAAAUUGGAGCAGCCAAAAAGAUUAAAGGUUUUGAGAGAUCUCAUACGAAUUUUAUUGGGUAGAAUCUUAAGUUCCUUGCAAUAUGAUAGGUUCAAAUGACUCAACCCCGUGAGAUUAUUAAUUGACUCAGGCAGUUCUUUAAUUUUGGACUCGGAUAAAUUAAGCUCUUGUAACUCCUCCAUACCUUCUGAAAUCUCUGGAAACAUCUCAAGACUGGAGCAUCCAUAAAGAUUAAAGGUUUUCAGACAUUUCAUAUGAAUGCAGCUUGGAAGACUCUUAAGUUCCUUGCAAUCUCUUAGGUUUAAAUGAAUCAACCCCGUGAGAUUAUUAAUUGACUCGGACAGUUCUUUAAUUUUGGACUUGGAUAAAUUAAGCUCUUGUAACUCCUCCAUACCUUCUGAAAUCUCUGGAAACAUCUCAAGGCUCACGCAGCCAAAAAGAUCAAGAGUUUUGAGAGAUUGCAUACGAAUUUUGCAGGGUAGAAUCUUAAGUUUUUCGCACCCUUUCAGAUCCAAUAAAACAAGUUUUGUAAGAUUCGAAAUAGAUGGGUGAACCUUAACUAACCCUCCACAACCAUGAAGAAUUAGCCUCUCAAGAUUUGGCACAUUUGUGAAGUCAGGGGUUUCCUUAAGGUAUGAACAAUAACUUAAAUUGAUGAAUUUCAACUUUUCCUGCGUCUGUUAAAACAUUCAGGAAAACAUGCAUUACUUAAUAAGACAUCUCACUCAAAGCCCAAACAUUUAAAAGAAACAAAUACAUGUAAAUGAUUGCACAUACCUGGGUUCCUUCCCAAAGUCGGUCAAUGUGGCUAUAUUGCAUGUCAAGUCCAACAAGAUUUUCGAAUUGAAAGUUGGAUGGCAAAGACUUGAGCGGGAAACAAGACCAGGAAAGAAACCUCAACUCACUAGAAACAAACUUUAAGGACCCAGUCAGGUGUUGUAUGCUGAAAGUACCGAUCUUGAGAAGUCUUAGUUUAGUCAUCCUAUCAAAAGCUUUAACAAUUAAGCAUCCCUCAUAUGAGUGCCCCAAAUCUAGGAUUAUGCUUUUAACUGUUUCUGUACCCUGUGCAAAUCAAAGGGAAGGAAAAAGCAGAGAACCUUAGUUUAGAUUAUGAAGUUAAUGGUUGUUUCUUAAGGAGUUGUUUGAUAAUAAUUUUGUUUUCACUUUUCACUUUUGUUUUGAUUAUUUAUUUAGAAAUCUGAAAAUUGAAAACAUAUAACUUGUUUGUAAUUGUUUUCAAUUUUCAAUUAUUAAAAAAAUGAAAAUUAAAAAUUAAAAAUGGAAACAAAAGUGGUUAUCAAACGAGCUUAAGAAAUUGAUUUUGGUCAAAAGUUGAAGCUUUCUACUAAACAUUGCAUAAGAAGAGAAAUUAUCACCGUAUUUUUAGUUAUCACAUGAAGAACAUCUUCAUAACUCCACAACCUACUUCGUUUCCCAGGCUCUUCGAUAGAUUCUUGCUGGACGAUUUUCCGACCCAUUUCCUCUAGUAAAUCAUGCAUCUCCAGUUCCCCCUUCCAUGAGACAGUUACUAGAGCUCGAUCGAUUAAAACUUUUAUUCCAAUAUCAGGAUAGGAACCACAGCUGUGCAGAACUUCGGUUGCAUAGUCUUUUCUCAUUCCUUUAAAGAAACAUGCAAUAUCUAGAAAGAUAUCCUUCUCCGUGUCAUCUAGUCCAUCGAAGCUUGUUUUAAGCACAUCAUGAAUUCCCUUUUGCGGGAUUUUCUUUAUUUUUUCUAACUCAUUUUCCCACUGGCGUACAUUUUUGUUAUCAAGAAAAGCUCCCAAGACUUUGAGUGCUAAAGGCAGACCUUGAGCAUAUUUUACAGCACGCCUCGAGAGAUCAUCAUAAUCUCUGUUGGGUUGGUUUUUUCUAAAGGCGUACCGCCUAAAGAGUUCCAGAGCUCCAUUAUCACUUAAAAUCUUGGGAUUAUAUAUCUCAUCAGCUAUGCUUAGUAAUUGCGAAUCUCUGGUUGUUAUAAUAAUUCUGCUUCCACCACCAAAGGAAUGUGGUUCUUUAAGUAAAGCUUCAAUUUGUUCUAAUUCUUCCACAUCAUCAACAACAAUAAGAACUUUUCUCCGACCUAGGCUAUUUAACACCACCUGGAAACCUUUAUUCGAAACGUCGGAACUCCCCACCUUGUUGUUCGAGAUACUCGAUAGAAGUUCUGCCUGCAUAUAUAGUUUGCCAUGCUUUAUGAAACCUUCCUUGAAAUUUUCAAGAAAGCAACAAGCUUUAAAUCCACCAGAGAUUUCAUCAUAAACAGCUCUAGCGAUGGUUGUUUUGCCUAAACCACCCAUACCCCAUAUUCCAACAAUGCGAACAUCAUUAGUUUCAACUCCAGGAGGAUACAAUAAUGAAUGCAUGUUAUGCAUAUGAGAGUCCAUUUCAACCAAGCCAUUAUCUUUGCUUGAUGAUGAUGAGAUGUGGAUCAAUUUCUUAAAAACAUCUUCUACAAUUUUCUCAAUAAGCUCUGCAUCAUCCCUGUCAAAUUUAAAAAACAAUAUAAUAACACCACCAAAUAAUACUUAAUGGGUCUUUUUCAUCUGUUAGUUUAAAAAAAAUAGAAAUUAAAACUAAAACUAAAAUCUAAACGUUAUAAAAAUCCCAAAAAUUAAUAGGAAACUAAAACAAAUUAGAAUUUACUCAUAUUUCGCGAAUCCCAGCCGGAUAAACUGGUGGCAAUUGUAAGAGCGGAUCUCCAGCUCUGAACCUCUUCCAUUUCAGCGUUAGAAUCACGAUCGUGCUGAGCAAAAGCUUCCUCGAAUUUUCUCUUGAGUUUACGAACGUCAGACGGAUCAACUUCAUAGAAAAUGGGGAGUACAAUCUGGUUAUUGGUAUCCUUGCAUUUCAAGAUUUGCACGAGUUCUUUCAAGCACCAAGUGGAAGAAGCAUAGUCUUGAGAGAAAACUACAAUCGAAAGCCUUGACUCUCGAAUCGCUGUCAGGAGCUCAGAAAGGUGGUCGCCUUUUCUGAGCUUCUCGGCAUCAAUGAAGGCGUUGAUUGGUUUCUUAACCAGAGCGUUGUAGAGAUGGCUGACGAAGCCCCUGCGAGUGUCUUCCCCUCUGAAAUUGAUGAACACAUCGUAUUUGCAACCAAGGCCAGAAGAAGAUGAAGAAGAAGAAGCAGCCAUUAUUAAUCGAUCGCACCUGGUCAGCGACGAUCGAGCAGCUAAGACUAAGAGAAUUGUAAGUACAGAGAUACUCAAUAGAUCUACAAAUUGGAUCACCGGAAAUUAGUCUGAUCGAUACCAAGUCAAUGAGUCAAUGCAAAAGUAAAAAGGGGAAAGGGAAAUUAUGCUUUAUGUUUUUUCACAUCUUCUUCGGGGAAAUUUCGGUGUGAAAGGAAUCUUAUCCUUUUGAUUUUUUAACCGAAGCAAAUGCGAAGAAAAGGGUCAAAGUGGUAAAUUGAAUAUACACUUGCCUAUCCAACAACCUCUUAAUUUAAUAUAUUUAAUUGAGAAAAGUAGUUUAGAGGAAGAGGUAUUCAUCAAUUCCCCAUAAACUUGUGACCAUUGGCCAAUUUUCCCCCUCAACUUUAAUUUUGGCCAAUUUCUUCCCUAAACUCUCAUAAUUAGUUAAUUUCCCCCAUCAACUUUAAUUUGGUCAAUUUCCCCCCUCAACUCUCAUAAUUAGUCAAUUUGCACCCUACUGUUAAUUUUUUAUUUAUUUUUCAUCUAUUCUUUUUUUUUUCUUUCAAUCUUUCUAAUAACUUCCAACAAAAUACUAAAAUUAAUAUAAACUCACCUGCAUAAUAUAGGGUAAAAUGUACAAAAACAUAAUACCAUUAGUAUGUGAUAUGGGUUGAUUAUAAGAAAAAGUUAUGAAUCGGGUUUAAAUCAUGUAGAAGAAGAAACAAUAAUCCUAAACUCAUGGAUCAGACCUAUUUCAAUAAAAUGGGUUAUUCUUAAUAAGGAGUCGAAAAUUAUGAAUUGACUAGCCAUUUUUGCACUAAACCUCGAUUCUCCGCAAUUUACUUGAACUUAGCUUUCACUUUUAUAAAGAAAAUUGUAUUCACAUACAAAAAUGUACACAUCAAUCCUUUUCGUUAUCAAUUUUGUAUAGUAAAAAAUCAAAUAAAAUUACUCCAUACUAAUUUAUUAUGACUAAUAAUACUAUUUAUGAUAAAUUGUAAAAUUCUAAAUUUUAAUCUAUUUGUAAUAGGAUAAAGACAUAGGAAAAUGAUUAACAUACAUCUUAUUUAGUUUCUUACACACACUUGUUUAAUUAUGAUCAAAUUAAAAAAUUAACAGUAGGGUGCAAAUUGACUAAUUAUAAGAGUUGAGGGGGGAAAUUGGCCAAAUUAAAGUUGAGGGGGGAAAUUGACUAAUUAUGAGAGUUGAGGGGGGAAAUUGGCCAAAAUUAAAGUUGAGGGGGGAAUUGGCCAAUAGUCACAAGUUCAUGGGGGAAAUUGAUGAAUACCUCUUAGAGGAAUGAUGGUAUCUCUUUUUCUUCUCACUCAAUCUUCCAGCAUGCGAUUUAAUCAUGAUUAAAGCCAAGCUUAAUAAUAGGUCGUAUUAUUUAGGUCGUUUUGGAUUAUAAGUUUUUGUUGUGAACUUGUGAUACGAUAGUUAGAAAAUUAAAAAAAUUAUAAUUUAAAUAUAUGUGGUGAAAUCUGUUAAGAUUUAGAUUCAAAAUUGAAAAUUUCAUUAACUUCAUUAAUUAUUAGCACACGAAGCUUACAAAUGAAAUAAAAAUAAUAAAAUUAGUCUCACAUGUAAUCUCUAUGCGCUAACAAUUAAUAGAGAGAUUCAUUUUAACCUAAAAUGUGUGACUUACGUACUAAUAAUUAACAAAAUAUUGACAAAAUUUUCAAUUUUAAGCAUAAAUCUUAAUAAACUUCAUCUCAUAAACUUAAAUCCUAAUUCAACAAUCUUCUCAUUACCUUACCACUGCAAACUACCUUGCCACUACAAAAAUUAUUAAUCAAAUUAAACUUAUUAUUUACUUACAAAUACGUAACUCAAUCACCGAAAGCUAUCUCCGUUGCUAUCUCCGUUUCUUUGCUGAGUGGACAGCUGUCUCUUUGUCUUCUUUUGGCAGAUAGCUACUAGACUCCUAGUGGCCGGCCUAUUUUCCACAGCUGGUUAUAGGACUCAGUUGCUAUUCAAGAAGUGUUAUGUUGUAAUUCAAUAUUGAUGGAAAUCCAACAGAAUCUUCUUCGAAUUGUUGUGAGCAUUUUGGGAUAUUUUUUAAUCAUAUUCAUUUAUCGUUGUGGGAUCAAUUUUAUUAAAUAUUAUUUAUGUUUAAUUUUAAAUAAAUAAAUUUAAAAUAAAUUUUUAUCGCACGAUAUACUAUGAACGAAUACGAUUCAUAGAUCUCCAAUAUCUUCACAAGAAGAAUCCAAAAGGAUCCGGAUUCAAUGGAAAUAAGCUAAUUUUGAAUCAAAUAACAUUACUUUAUUUUGUAAGUAAAUUAAUUUUAAAUCAAACAACAUUCAUUUAUUAUGUAGCUAAUUAAUUUUGUAUGUGUCAUCAUAUAUAUUAGGCACAUUUUAUUAUAGGUGAUUUUGUGGUAUUCAUUUUCAUUUGUAAGUAAGAGGUCUUAAGUUCGAUUUUCAUCAAAAACGAAUUUAAACUAUAUUAUUGCUAGUCCAUUAUGAGGCCUAACCCACCCUCCUCCCCCUUAGUGUAGAUAGAUCGUUUGUUCAAAAAAAUAUAUAAUCAAAAUAGAAUGUGAAGCGAAACAAUAGAUCAACAUUAUUUAUGUUAAUUAUAAAUAGGUCAACCAUGUAUGUGAUACUUAAAUCAUUUAAAAUAAAAUAAAAAUUACAAAAUCUGCCAUUACAGCUGGCACACACUUUAAUUAACACUUUCUUUCUCAUAAUUUUUAUAUUUGGAAUAAGUCAUACGAAUCAAAUACUACAAUGUAUUAUCUGUUUUUUAAUUCUAUUUUUUACAUUUGGAUUCAGACACUGCGUUGUAGUGUCCAUUUACUGAUUUUGUUUUUUCCAUCACUCACAUGCCUCCUAUAUGUUCCUUUGUACAUUUGGAUUUAGACAAUGCAAUGCAGUGUCUGUUUCUUGGUUCUGGUUUUCUCUUUUGGAUUCAAACGCUGCAUUGCAAUGUAUGUUUCCUAGUCCUAUUUCUUUCAUCAUCCACACGUCUCCUACACUUCACACUUUCAUGCGACUCCUGAUUUUUACAUUUAGAUUCAGACAUUGUAAUGCAAUGUUCAUUUCCUACCUUUGAUUUUUACAUUUAAAUCUAGGGUUAAACUCUGUUUACUACCCUAAUGUUUCGUGGUUUUCUACAUUUAGUACAUCAAAUUUUUUUCAUCCCAGAGUCAUACCUAAAGUGUUAAUUUUGGGACAGUCUCAUACAUCCAUUAGUCAAACUGUUAGUUCUCACGUUAAGUGAUGAUGUGGCGCCCAUGUGGACAAUGACUGGGCCCCACGUGUCAUUAAAAAAUAUUAAAAUAAUUAAUUAUGUAACACCCGCCCCCACUUAUAAAAUUAUAUGUGUGUAAUAUUCCCUAAAUAUUCUGAAUCUAUCAAUUUUACCCUUUUUGGACUACCCUAUCAGGAUCUAAACAUUGGAUCCUUCUUUCUUUUCAAACUGCCACGUGGCAGCUCCCUAGCAAUUUCCCUGUCUUCUCUCUCUGUCCCCCCCCCGUGACUCCUUCUUUCUCUUCUUCUUUUUCUGUUUUCUUUUCUUUCUUCUGUCUGUCUCUCUGUCCCUCCCGACUCUAUCUCUUUCUCUCGUCUCUCUCUCAUAGCUCCCUCAUCUCUCUUCUCUGCAGCAACCCGCACGCACGCACCCAUCUCCCCCGCGCGAAGAAGACCCAUCUCCUUCUUCUCUCUCCCUCUGUCCCGUGCUGCGAGCCCAGAAACCGGAGAGGAACUCCGGCGAAACCUUUAUUUUCCCGGUUGGGACGAAUCGAAGCCGGGUGUAAGCACACCCAACUCCGGCGAUCCCGAGGGUGUCGGGGCUUUUUCCGGCCAUCUCCGAUCGUUCCACGACGAAAGGAAGGUGCAAUUAUUAACGGUGAUUCUGUUAUACCUUCUUGGUAUAGCUUUGCACCGUUGGUGUACGGUGAGUGGACCCCUUCAAAAUCAUGUUUUAACAAUAGAAAUGCAUACAUGAAAAGCAUGAUUUAAUACUUAUGUUUUACGAAGUACUUUAUGAGAUAUAUGCUUACUGAGGCUAGAUUGAAUUAUUACUAUUUUUCCUAUAACCCAUGUUCUUAUAGAAUAUCCGAUGGAUGACGAUAUGAUAUUAGAACAUGUUUAGAACACCUCUUUGUAGUAUAGAUGAUGGAUGACUUUAUACUACGAAGUUGUUUUUCAAUAUGUUAUGCUCAAUGGUUUUGUACUUACCUAGUGGUCCUUUCCGCUACGGGACGUAGGGAUAGAUUCCGGUCCGUCCCGAGCGACGGUUUGGUGUUGGCAUAGGGCCUGGAGUGUGUUUCCUCUGGCUAUUUAGCACAGGGACGGGGAGCCGGCAUGGGGUCUGUAGUGUAUUUUCCUCUGACUGUCUGCUCAGAGACGGGGAGCUGGCAUGGGGCCUGUAGAGUAUCGGACAAUUCACUAGUGUUUAUUACUUAUACAAGUUAUGAAUUUGAGAUAUUGCACGGCAUGCUAGGUUUCGGAAAAUCUAUUUUGAUCAUGAUAUAUGUGUUUUCAUUAAACCUGGGGGUUAGUAUGUUGAUAACUGUUUUAUUAUAUUUAUAUCAAACUGGUCCACUCAUGUUUGUUUUGCGCCCCCUUCAGGACCUACGAACGAGGAUUACGAUAUAAGCUACGAGGCUUUUCCCUAUCAGUGAUCCAGUGCUAUACUUCUUCUGCUUCGAUAUCUUUUGUAAUAUAGCACAUCUCUAUUUUAAAUUCUGUUUGUACUCUGUAAUAGAUGUAUGCUUUGACAUUAUGCGUGGAUCCUAAUGUUGUAAUUAGAAGUUGAAUUUGUAGUAUUAUUGUGGCUAGUCUUGCUGCCUGUUUUAGCUUAUUUGUGAGUUUUUACUUAAAUUAAUGGCUUUCGUCACCCUUUGGGUGUCGGCCAGCACGUGAUAAUCCCGAUGUCACGAGGACAUCGGGAUCGGGGCGUGUCAGAUUGGUAUCAGAGCAUGAUUCAUUCAGAGCAUACUUAGGAUUCUUUUCCACCAUUUGGUAAUUAUAAUUCCCCUUAUAUCCUUAAUUUUCUGUUGUUCUAAAUCUUUCUUGUUUCUUAUCAGAAUUAUGGAUCCCGCUGGUGGGCAUGUACCUCGUCGAGCUCGUUUUGGUAUAGGGGGAGGACUUGAGCAAUUGGCUAAUGUUUUGCGAACUGCCCUUACUGGUAGAUCAUCGAAUCGCACCUAUAUUGAGAUUGCUACCAGUCAUGGUAUUCCAGAGCUUAAGGUAGUGGGAGCCUGUCCGGAGGCUGAGGAAUGGUUAGAGCAGGUGGAAGAUACUCUGGAGGGUAUGAGAUGUCCACCAGGUGAGUGGGCGGAGACUGCUGGGUUUUUUCUUAAGGGUCCUGCAAAGAUUUGGUGGAAAGGAGUGAAGCAUUCUCGUCCACGAGGCACUUCGAUGACUUGGGUGGCAUUCCGGAAAGCUUUCAGUGCACAUUUUCUGAGUCCCAGUUAUCAGUUGAGGAUGAGACAACAAUUUCUGGAGUUUCGUCAAGGCGAUCUGAGUAUCACAGAGAUGGAUAAUACUUUUCGACGCCUGUCGAGACACCAUCCGGUGACUUAUGAUAACCCGAGUGAGAAGAUGGUUCAGUUGCUGGUUUGUUUGAACCCUGAUUAUCGUGAACGAGUGGCAGCUAUAAGGCACAGAAGUUAUGAGGAAAUGAUUGAGACUUGUUUGAGGAUUGAACAAUCUAGGUGGGAGACUCAGCACCAGGAGGAGCAGGCGCAGUAUCAGGAACCACCCAGAUAUCAGGAACAACCUCGGAACCAGAACCAGAGAGGUCAUGGUUUUAGAUCUCGGAGUGUGAGGAAAUCUGGUAGCUCUUCUAACUUUGUUGGCCCUAGACACUCUCAUUCCUUCAAACGUCAGGGUCAAGGUUCAGGUUCUUCCAGCGAGGGUUCGGGUAAUGAAUCAGGGAGGCGAUAUUUCAGUCAUUUUCGAUCGCAGGUUACGUGCCACAGGUGUGGAGGCAUGGGACAUAUUGCCAGAUUUUGCCCUUCAGGACAGCCUGCUGAGAGUUAUGCAUCGGUGCCGAGUUAUGGUGGAGGGAGUAAUCCGAGUUCUAGCUAUGGAGGUAAUUACACUCAGAGUUAUGGUGGAAGUGGAAGUGGAAGUCAGAAUACCCAAUUUUCCACUCAGAGACAGCCGCAACAGUUUGGUGCAGCUUCGAGUAGCCGCUCUCAGGGGAAUCGAGCAGGCCGUAAUAAUCAAGGUUUCAGAGCUCGUGGUAACCGUAACAGUGGUGGAGGACGUCAGUUUCAUGGACGUAUCAACGCCAUGACACAGCAGGAGGCUGAUCAGGAUCCUCAAGUCAUUACCGGUAUGUUACUUAUUUGUGGUAACUGGGCGAGGGUUCUAAUCGAUCCGAGUGCUACUUUUUCUUUUGUGUCUUCAUCUUUUGCACCGAAUUUAAAUGCACCACCUACACCUCUUGGUUAUGAUAUGCUUGUGCAAAUGCCGCAAGGGGAUCUGUUUUGUGCUCAGUGGGAGUAUAAAAGUUGCCCAGUGGUAGUGGAAGGGGAAAUGAUGGAGGCUAAUCUGGUCCCUUUUCAUUUGGCGGAGUUCGAUGUGAUUUUGGGGAUGGAUUGGCUAUCCAGGCACCGGGCCUAUGUCGCAUGUUGGGAGAAAUCUGUGACGUUCAAUCGACCUGGACGACCGUCAAUCACAUUUCAGGGUGAGCGACGAAUCCUUCCUAGUAGUAUUAUUUCCGCUAUUCAGGCUACUAGAUUGUUGAGUAGGGGAUGUGUGGGAUUCUUAGCUCAUGUAGUAACGAGGGAUAAAUCUUCGUUACGUCCUAAGGAUGUGCCAGUGGUGAAGCAUUACACCGAUGUUUUCCCGGAGGAUUUACCAGGGUUACCGCCUGCGAGGGAAAUUGAAUUUACCAUCGAUUUACUUCCAGGAACAGACCCUAUCUCUUUAGCACCUUAUCGCAUGGCACCGGCGGAGUUGAGGGAAUUGAAGGUUCAACUUCAGGAAUUGGUGGAUAAAGGUUACAUCCAACCCAGUAUGUCUCCCUGGGGUGCUCCUGUUUUAUUUGUUAAAAAGAAGGAUGGAUCGAUGAGACUUUGCAUCGACUAUCGGCAGUUAAACCGGGUGACGGUGAAGAAUCGAUAUCCUUUGCCUCGGAUCGACGAUCUGUUCGACCAGCUGAAGGGUGCUCAGAUAUUCUCUAAGAUAGAUCUUCGCUCAGGUUAUCACCAGUUGUUAAUUCGGGAGGGAGAUGUACCGAAGACUGCUUUCCGCACUAGGUAUGGACACUUUGAAUUUCGUGUCAUGCCUUUCGGACUGACGAAUGCACCUGCAGCAUUCAUGGAUUUGAUGAACAGAGUUUUCAGACCGUAUUUGGAUCGGUUUGUGAUUGUGUUCAUUGAUGAUAUUCUGAUCUUUUCCAAGAGUGUCAGCGAGCACAAGAAGCAUUUGAGGUUGGUGUUGGAAAGGUUGAGCAGUGAGCAGUUGUAUGCUAAGUUUAGCAAGUGUCAGUUCUGGCUAACCCAAAUUAGCUUUCUCGGUCAUGUAGUAUCUGCUGAGGGGAUUAGUGUGGAUCCUCAGAAGGUGUCAGCAAUAACUACGUGGGAGCAACCGAGGAAUGUUACUGAAGUGAGGAGUUUUCUAGGUCUGGCUGGCUAUUACCGAAGAUUUGUUAAAGGUUUCUCAGCCAUUGCCUUACCUCUGAAUAAGUUGACUCGAAAGGAAGUGGAGUUUAAGUGGGAUGAAGAUUGUGAGCGGAGUUUUCAGGAACUGAAGCGAUGUCUUACUCAAGCUCCCGUUCUUACUCUUCCAGACGAUAGCGGUGAGUUUGAUAUCUACACGGAUGCAUCAUUAUCAGGUUUGGGUUGUGUACUGAUGCAGCAUGAUAAAGUCAUUGAUUAUGCUUCCAGACAGCUCAAAAUUCACGAGAGAAACUAUCCCACUCAUGAUUUGGAACUUGGUGCAGUAGUGUUUGCUUUGAAGAUCUGGAGACAUUACUUGUACGGUGAGAAGUGUCGUAUCUUUACUGAUCAUAAGAGCCUCAAGUAUAUCUUUACUCAGAGGGAUUUGAAUUUGAGGCAGAGAAGAUGGAUGGAACUUAUCACUGAUUAUAACUGCACGAUCGAGUAUCAUCCCGGACAUGCCAAUGUAGUGGCAGAUGCACUUAGUCGGAAAUAUCAUGGAUAGCUUGCAUCUCUCCAAGCUAUUCAUGUUCCACUACUAUUUUCUCUUCGAGAAACAGGCUUGUCGGUGAGACCGGGUGAGCAAUGAGCGUGGUUGGCAAAUUUCCAAGUUAGACCUGUUUUGGUGGAUAUAGUCAUAGAAGCUCAGGAGCUUGAUCAGGAGAGUGCCAACAUUAAGGUCUCGGUGGAAAAAGGAGAAGAGAAGCAUUUUAUCAUCCGAAGUGAUGGAGCCUUGAUGUGGGAAAACAGAUUGUAUGUUCCUCAUGAUAACGAAGCAGUGAAAAGAGCAAUUCUGGAUGAAGCACAUUUGUCAGCUUAUGCCAUGCAUCCGGGAAGUACUAAACUGUAUCGCACUAUCCGUCUGUUCUAUUAUUGGUUGGGAAUGAAGCGGGAUGUGGCGGAUUAUGUGAGUAGAUGCAUCAUUUGUCAACAAGUAAAGGCAGAGAGGCAAAGACCUGGAGGAUUGAUGCAGAAUCUUCCGAUACCAGCAUGGAAAUGGGAAGACAUCACCAUGGAUUUUGUGUAUGGUCUGCCGAGGACGCGGUCGAGAUUGGACGGCAUAUGGGUAAUUGUUGAUCGACUGACUAAGACCGCUCAUUUCUUACCUGUUCGACAGACCUAUUCAAUGGAGAAAUUAUCGAAGUUGUUCAUCGAUAAUAUUGUUAGACUUCAUGGUGUACCUGUCUCUAUUGUUUCAGACAGAGAUCCCAGAUUUACUUCCAAAUUUUGGAAAGCUUUUAAUACUGCCAUGGGUACUCAGUUGCUGUUUAGUACUGCUUAUCAUCCACAGACUGACGGUCAGUCCGAGAGGACAAUACAAACAUUGGAGGACAUGUUGAGAGUGUCUGUUCUUCAGUGGAAGGGUAGUUGGGAUAACUAUCUGCCGUUGGUUGAAUUUGCAUACAACAACAGCUACCAUUCGAGUAUUGGUGUGGCACCUUAUGAAGCCUUGUAUGGGAGAGUGUGUCGAACGCCGUUGUGUUGGGCAGAGGUCGGCGAGCGAGUAUUGUUGGGACCGGAGAUUGUAGACACUACCAAUGAGAACAUCCAGCUGAUAAAGAGAAAUCUCAAGGCAGCUCAAGACCGACAGAAAAGCAUAGCGGACAAACAUUCCAAAGAUCGUGAGUACAAGAUUGGUGACUUUGUAUUCUUGAAGUUGUCUCCCUGGAAGGGUGUGGUUCGUUUUGGUAAACGAGGAAAGUUGAGUCCUCGAUAUGUUGGUCCUUAUCAGAUUACGGAGAGAAUUGGUGCAGUUGCCUAUAGAUUGGAGUUGCCACCGGAGUUGUCUCAGAUUCACAAUGUUUUCCAUAUUUCUAUGCUUCGGAAAUAUGUAUCAGAUCCCUCUCAUGUUAUUCAGCUAGAGCCGCUGGAAGUAAGUCCGGAUGUUAGUUAUGUUGAAGAACCAGUGGCUAUUCUUGACCAGCAGAAUAAAGUGUUGAGGAACAAGGUCAUUCCGUUGGUGAAAGUGUUGUGGAGGAACCACGCUACUGAAGAAGCGACGUGGGAAACGGAAGACCUGAUGAGGAGUCAGUAUCCGUAUUUAUUUGCUUGAAGUUGUAAUUUCGGGGACGAAAUUUUUAUAAGGGGGGUAGAUUGUAACACCCGCCCCCACUUAUAAAAUUAUAUGUGUGUAAUAUUCCCUAAAUAUUCUGAAUCUAUCAAUUUUACCCUUUUUGGACUACCCUAUCAGGAUCUAAACAUUGGAUCAUUCUUUCUUUUCAAACUGCCACGUGGCAGCUCCCUAGCAAUUUCCCUGUCUUCUCUCUUUGUCCCCCCCCCCGUGACUCCUUCUUUCUCUUCUUCUUUUUCUGUUUUCUUUUCUUUCUUCUGUCUGUCUCUCUGUCCCUCCCGACUCUAUCUCUUUCUCUCGUCUCUCUCUCAUAGCUCCCUCAUCUCUCUUCUCUGCAGCAACCCGCACGCACGCACCCGUCUCCCCCGCGCGAAGAAAACCCAUCUCCUUCUUCUCUCUCCCUCUGUCCCGUGCUGCGAGCCCGGAAACCGGAGAGGAACUCCGGCGAAACCUUUAUUUUCCCGGUUGGGACGAAUCGAAGCCGGGUGUAAGCACACCCAACUCCGGCGAUCCCGAGGGUGUCGGGGCUUUUUCCGGCCAUCUCCGAUCGUUCCACGACGAAAGGAAGGUGCAAUUAUUAACGGUGAUUCUGUUAUACCUUCUUGGUAUAGCUUUGCACCGUUGGUGUACGGUGAGUGGACCCCUUCAAAAUCAUGUUUAACAAUAGAAAUGCAUACAUGAAAAGCAUGAUUUAAUACUUAUGUUUUACGAAGUACUUUAUGAGAUAUAUGCUUACUGAGGCUAGAUUGAAUUAUUACUAUUUUUCCUAUAACCCAUGUUCUUAUAGAAUAUCCGAUGGAUGACGAUAUGAUAUUAGAACAUGUUUAGAACACCUCUUUGUAGUAUAGAUGAUGGAUGACUUUAUACUACGAAGUUGUUUUUCAAUAUGUUAUGCUCAAUGGUUUUGUACUUACCUAGUGGUCCUUUCCGCUACGGGACGUAGGGAUAGAUUCCGGUCCGUCCCGAGCGACGGUUUGGUGUUGGCAUAGGGCCUGGAGUGUGUUUCCUCUGGCUAUUUAGCACAGGGACGGGGAGCCGGCAUGGGGCCUGUAGUGUAUUUUCCUCUGACUGUCUGCUCAGAGACGGGGAGCUGGCAUGGGGCAUGUAGAGUAUCGGACAAUUCACUAAUGUUUAUUACUUAUACAAGUUAUGAAUUUGAGAUAUUGCACGGCAUGCUAGGUUUCGGAAAAUCUAUUUUGAUCAUGAUAUAUGUGUUUUCAUUAAACCUGGGGGUUAGUAUGUUGAUAACUGUUUUAUUAUAUUUAUAUCAAACUGGUCCACUCAUGUUUGUUUUGCGCCCCCUUCAGGACCUACGAACGAGGAUUACGAUAUAAGCUACGAGGCUUUUCCCUAUCAGUGAUCCAGUGCUAUACUUCUUCUGCUUCGAUAUCUUUUGUAAUAUAGCACAUCUCUAUUUUAAAUUCUGUUUGUACUCUGUAAUAGAUGUAUGCUCUGACAUUAUGCGUGGAUCCUAAUGUUGUAAUUAGAAGUUGAAUUUGUAGUAUUAUUGUGGCUAGUCUUGCUGCCUGUUUUAGCUUAUUUGUGAGUUUUUACUUAAAUUAAUGGCUUUCGUCACCCUUUGGGUGUCGGCCAGCACGUGAUCAUCCCGAUGUCACGAGGACAUCGGGAUCGGGGCGUGUCAAAUUAAAUAAAAGUUAUAAAAAAAAAACCGAAUCUGCAACCCAGAAGAAGAACCUUCUGGGUACGUGUUUGCAGUUGCGGGGCGAAUUCUAGAUCUUAAUUGGAUUAUUAGUUUCUGUUGUAAUAUGGUAGUUAGAAGAUUAAAAAAAACUAUGAUUUAUGCUUCAUAUGCUAACAAUUAACAGAUAAUUAAUGAAAUUUUUAAUUUUAAAUCUAAAUCCUAACAUAUUUUACAAUAGAAGCUUAAAUCUUAAUUUACUCAAUCACAUGGAUUAUUUUAUAACUACCUUACUAUUAAUUCAAUUAAACCUAUUAUUUCUACGAAAACUAACAAAAAUUUCAAAAAAAACUUUAGUUUUAAUGAAAAAAGAAAAAUGAAGAUUUGGUAAAUAAUACCAAAAAAAAAAUAAAAAUAUAAAUUUUCAUUAAAAAUGAACAGCAUCAAAAGUGUUUUAUUAAUACUCCAAUUAUUUAUUUACAAAUACGUGACUAAAUGAAAGGGAGCACUCAAAAUGAUGAAAAGCAGGAGCACCGAAGGCUAUCUCCGUUUCUUUGUUGAGUGGACAGCUGUCUCUUCGUCUUCUUUUGGCAGAUAGCUCCUAGUGGCCAGCCUAUAUUCCACAGCUGGUUAUAGGAUUCGGUUGCUAUAUAAGAAGUGUUUUGUUGUAAUUCAAUAUCGAUAGAAAUCCAAUAGGAUCUUUUUCAAAAUUUUGUGCGGAUUUUGGUAUGUUCGUAAAUCGUAUUUGUUCAUAUUAUACGCUCAUUUUUCAUGGAAUAUUAUUUUUGUUUAAUUUUAAAUAAAAUAAUUUAAAAUAAUUUUUUAUUGUAACAUGUACAAUGAACGGAUAUGAAUUGAUUCACAGAUCUUCAAAAUCCUUACAAAGAAAAUCCAAAAAUAAUCCGAAUUCAAUGGAGAUAAGUUAAUUUUGAAUCAAAUAACAUUAGGAAAAAAAAUUAACAUUAGACGGUUUUAAAUAAUUUAUUGUAUAUUUUUAGGGAAUUGUUAUUAGCACUUUAAAAAUCUCAUUUUACACUCCAAACUUUUUAUAUUAGAAAAGAAAAAUACACUUAUGAGGAAUGUAGAAUAAGAUUUUUGAAUUAACCAUGCAAAAAUGUAAUGUUAAAGCAUCAUGUCAUACAGACCUCUUCAAGGUACCAGAAAUUUUUGCACUAAAGAUGUCACAAGCAGCUGAUAUGAAGCUGCAUUUUCUGUGAGUUGAAAUUUUGUCAAUAUAAUCGAUCACCUGAAGAGAGAGAGAGAGAGAAAGACAGUGAUGUCCAGAGAUGUGAGCCUAAAUGCUGAGUGUGUAAAAAAAGAAGAUUAAAUGGAUAGCAAGAAUAUACAACUUUAAUGCUGAAAAGAACAUUGAAUAUGAUGCUCAUUCAUCAUUGCCAUUGAACGUGUACCUUCUUCUUUUCCUCUUUCUCAAAAGCAAGUAGAGCCUUGAAGACUUGCCUAUAUGAUCCAUCAUCACAACCAGGCAAAGUUGUUUUAAUCAUAGCAACAAUGGCUCUAACUAACUACCUGCCAUAAGAAACAUGCUACAUCAACAAGAUCACAGAGUGUACCAGAAACCGUAAUGUAGCAAAAUCUUAGAUAAAAUAGCUGGCCAAAAGGGAAUGGAAAAGCAAGCACAAAAAACAAUGAAAAGGACCAGUGAUGCCAAAAUUCUGGUGGAAAAGGUGAAAAGCUUAUGUCUAUUACAGUUCUUGUAUGCAUUCUUUAUAACUUAAGUUCUACGUAGCAAAAACCACCUUAUGCACAACAAUAUUGGAAAAAUUAGAUACAUACAACUGAGAAGAUAGGUUUUCAUAAUCUGGACAAGUGCUAACUACCUUCUUCCUAUAAACUGCCACUCCAUGAACAUUAAAUGGUAUUUUCCUUUCACGCAAGGCUGUCUGGAAGACUUUUCCUGAUACCUGUAGAAUAAAUUACAAAAGAAAAUGUGACCAAAAUGUCUUAUAUGAUUCACCUCAUUCACAUUAGCACUAAGGCAAGUAAGCUUGACCUGCCUCCGGUAAAGGAUUGCUAUAUUUCCAUAGGAGCACCCUGCUUCUGACCGUUUAGAUGCAGUCUCCAGGAUCUUGUCGACAACAAAGGCGCAUUGUGCAUCCUCAUUGUGACUUUCCUUGAUAAUUACCUACAUUUUGCCAGUAAAACCAGUGUCACUAACUAAAAGGACUGAAAAAUGACAUCAAAUUGUACUUGUUGGAGCAAGGAAAGAUUAAGUACCUUAGACCCAGAAGAAUUGUCCGUGUCAACAUUCUUUAGUUGGCAUCACUUCUUAUUGUUUUUUAUAACAGAAGAUGCAGCUUCCACACAAUAUAGCGUGUGGACCGAAAGUUCUUAUUAAGCCUAAUCUGAACCAUAAAGUUAUGUCAAAUCCCACAGAACCCCAUAAAAUAAAACUUACUUUCCUGUAAUUGUACAAUAUAUUUGUUCUAUACUAUAUAUAACGAAAAAAGACACCGUGAAUGACAUAAGAUAACAUAGCAGUCAAGUGCGAAGCGAACCUCUUUGUAAUUUGAAAAAUCUUUACGAAAAGAAUCAAAUCCAGAAAUGUCCGCCCCAUUGAAACUGAAAAUGGACUGCAGCAGGAUAUAUGUUAUUUGAUUUAGAACAGAUAAGGGCUGGAUUAGAAUGAGCUGAGAGAGGGAGAGAGGGAGAGACGGAGCAAUAACAUUGGAUUUCCAUAAUAAAUCAACAACAUGCCUGAUCAUCAUCACCAACAAUGGUUAUGUGGUUAUGAGAGGCGAGAAUCCGCAAAAGUCUAUAUUGCAUAGCACUUGUGUCUUGAAACUCGUCUAUUACAAUAGCUUUCCAUGACUCCUGGCACUCCUUCAACACUAAUUAAGAGAACACCAUGUAUCAACAUUUAGCAUUACUUGUAAAACUAGAUAAAUCAAUGAAAUAUACUUAGAUGAUAGAGACCUUCAGGAAAAUCACUUAGCAGCUUCACAGAGCAGCUAAUUAAGUCGUGGUAGUCCAAAGCGUUGCACGAUUUCAAGAUAUCAUUGUAAUUCCUAAGAAUUUCACCCUGAUUCAGAUUGAGAGCUAAAACUCAUAAGCAAUAGUUUCAAAGAACUGAAAUGAUAUCUGAAAUUCUAGUUCUGAGCGUACUCCUGUCACAUCACCCAUUCUUUGGCAUUCAGCGGGAGUUCUUUCCAGAAGCUUUUGCCUGAAACAUAAAUAAAUUUAUUGCCUAAUGCCACAUAUUGUAAGACACACCAUUGUAUUGGUCACUCUAGCUAAGCACAAUGAGCUUCAGUGGCAUACGGCGGUCACACAACACGCCGGAUGCACUCUUCCACUUCAUCCAUCCAGCUUGUAUUCUAUGGUUGAGAUCUCCAUCUAAUUCUCCGUUCUUUUGCAAAAUAGAUCCUAGGUAACGAAAACGGUCGCUCUUUGAUAUUUCUUGAUCUCCGAUCCUCACCCCUAAAUCGUUUUGGCCUCCAUUUGCACUGAACUUGCACUCCAUAUAUUCUGUCUUUGAUCGGCUUAGGCGAAAACCUUUAGAUUCCAACACUUCUCUCCAAAGGUUAAGCUUUGCAUUUACCCCUUCCUGAGUUUCAUCUAUCAACACUAUAUCGUCUGCGAAAAGCAUACACCAAGGAAUAUCACCUUGAAUAUGUCCUGUUAACUCAUCCAUUACCAACGCAAAAAAGGUAAGGACUUAAGGAUGAGCCUUGAUGUAAUCCUACAGUUAUGGGAAAGCUUUCGGUUUGUCCUUCAUGAGUUCUUACGGCAGUCUUUGCUCCUUCAUACAUAUCUUGUAUAGCUUGGAUAUAUGCUACUCGUACUCCUUUCUUCUCUAAAAUCCUCCAAAGAAUGUCUCUUGGGACCCUAUCAUACGCUUUUUCCAAAUCUAUAAAGACCAUGUGUAAAUCCUUUUUCCCAUCUCUAUAUCUUUCCAUCAAUCUUCGUAAGAGAUAGAUUGCCUCCAUGGUUGAGCGCCCUGGCAUGAACCCGAAUUGGUUGUCCGAAACCCGUCUCUUGCCUCAAUCUAUGCUCAAUGACUCUCUCCCAGAGCUUCAUUGUAUGACUCAUUAGCUUAAUACCACUAUAGUUCAUGCAAUUUUGUACAUCGCCCUUAUUCUUGUAGAUAGGCACCAAAGUGCUAAUUCGCCACUCAUUCGGCAUCUUCUUCGUUUUCAAAAUCCUAUUGAAAAGGUCAGUGAGCCAUGUUAUACCUGUCUCUCCCAAAACUUUCCACACUUCGAUUGGUAUAUUGUCUGGGCCUACUGCUUUUCUAUGUUUCAUCUUCUUCAAAGCUACAACCACUUAUUCCUUCCGGAUUCCACGAUAAAAAAAGUAGUUUCUACACUCUUCUGAGUUACUCAACUCCCCUAAAGAAGCACUCAUUUCAUGUCCUUCAUUGAAAAGAUUAUGAAAAUAACCUUUCCAUCUGUCUUUAACCGCGUUCUCUGUAGCAAGAACCUUUCCAUCCUCAUCCUUAAUGCACCUCACUUGGUUUAGGUCCCUUGUCUUCUUUUCCCUUACUCUAGCUAGUUUAUAGAUAUCCAACUCUCCUUCUUUGGUAUCUAGUCGCUUAUACAUAUCGUCAUAAGCCGCUAACUUAGCUUCUCUCACAGCUUUCUUCGCCUCUUGCUUCGCAUUUCUAUACCUUUCACCAUUUUCAUCGGUCCUAUCCUUGUAUAAGGUUUUACAACAUUCCUUCUUAGCCUUCACCUUUGCUUGUACCUCCUCAUUCCACCACCAAGAUUCCUUUUGGUGUGGGGCAAAGCCCUUGGACUCUCCUAAUACCUCUUUUGCUACUUUUCGGAUACAACUAGCCAUGGAAUCCCACAUUUGAUUAACUUCCCCCUCUCUAUCCCACACACACUGGGUGAUUACUUUCUCUUUGAAAAUGGCUUAUUUUUCUUCUUUUAGAUUCCACCAUCUAGUCCUUGGGCACUUCCAAGUCUUGUUCUUUUUUCUCACUCUUUUGAUAUGUACAUCCAUCACCAACAAGCGAUGUUGAUUAGCCACGCUCUCUCCUGGUAUAACUUUGCAAUCUUUACAAGUUAUACGAUCCCCUUUCCUCAUUAGAAGAAAAUAUAUUUGUGUUUUUGACGACCCACUCUUGUAGGUGAUCACAUGUUCUUCUCUCUUCUUAAAGAAGGUGUUGGCUAAGAAGAGAUCAUAUGCCAUUGCAAAAUCCAAGAUAGCUUCCCCAUCCUCGUUUCUCUCCCCAAAACCAUGGCCACCAUGAAAACCUCCAUAGUUGCCUGUCUCCCUGCCCACGUGUCCAUUUAAAUCUCCUCCUAUAAAUAACUUCUCCGUCUGAGCAAUUCCUUGCACCAAGUCUCCAAGGUCUUCCCAAAAUUUCUCCUUCGAACUCGUAUCCAACCCUACUUGAGGUGCGUACGCACUAAUCACAUUGAUAAGUUAUUGUCCUAUUACAAUCUUGAUUGCCAUGAUUCUAUCUCCUACCCUCUUGACAUCUACAACAUCUUGUGUCAAGGUCUUGUCCACGAUGAUGCCAACACCGUUUCUCGUUCUAUUUGUGCCCGAAUACCAUAGUUUAAACCCUGAGUUUCUAGAUAUAUAUAUAUAUAUAUAUAUAUAUCAAAUGGCCCCUAAAUGCUAUUAAAAAUCUCAAAAAUUAACAGGAAACUAAAACAAAUUAGAAUUUAUUCAUGGUUUCGCAAUUCCCAGCCGGGUAAACUGGUGGCCGUUGUAAGAGAGGGCCUCCAGCCGGAUAAACAUUUUCGAGUUAUAUGAUAUUUGUAUAGCAAAAAUACUUUAAUAGCAAGUGCGCGUGAGUGAAGAAAUUGAACUUACUUAUAUUCUUUCGAAUCCCAACCGGAAAAAUUGCAGGCUCUGGGAAGAGCGGACCUCCAGCUCUGCACCUCCUUCACGUCAACGUUAGAACGACCUUCAUGUUUAGCAAAAGCUUCUGCAAAACUUCCCUCGAGUUUACGAAUAUUGGACGGAUCGACUUGGUAGAAAAUGGGGAAUACAAUCUGGUUCUUGGAAUGGUUGCAUUCCAAGAUUUCCACGAGUUCUUUCAAGCACCAUGUGGAUGAAGCAUAGUUUUCAGAGAAAACUACAAUCGAAAUCCUUGACUCUCGAAUCGCUGUCAGGAGCUCGGAAAGGCGGUCGCCUUUUCUGAGGUCUUCGGCAUCAAUGAACGUGUUGAUUGGUUUCUGACGCAGAGCUUUGUAGAGAUGGCUGACGAAGCCCGUGCGAGUGUCUUCCCCUCUAAAAUUGAUGAACACAUCGUAUUCCCAACCAAGGCAAGAAGAAGAAGAAGAAGCAGCAAUUAAUCGAUCGCACCUGGGCAGCGAUGAUCGAGCAGCUUAAGACUAAGAGAAUUGUAAGUACAGAAACACUCAAUAGAUCUACAAAUUGGAUCACCAGAAAUUAGUCAAUGAGUCAAUGCAAAAGGGAAAAGGGCAAUUAUGCUUUUUGCGUUUUCACAUCUUCUUCAGGAAAUUUCGGUGUGAAAGGAAUCCGCAUACUUUUGAUUUUUCAACCCAAGAAAAUGCGAAGAAAGGGGACAAAGUAGUAAAUUUAAUCUACAGUUGCCUACCCAACAACCUCUUGAUUUAAUAUAUAUUUAAUUAGGAAAAGUAGUUUAGAGGAAGGAUGGUAUCUCCUUUUCUUCUCUCUCGAUCAGUCAAUCUUCCCGCGUGCGAUUUAAUCAUGAUUAAAGCUAAGCUUAAUCUUAGAUCGUAUUAUUUAGGUCUAAUUGGAUUCUUAAUUCUUGUUGUGAUAUAGUAGUUGGAAGAUUAAAAAAAAUUAUGAUUUAAAUGUUUGUGGUGAAGUCUGUUACGAUUUAGUUUCAAACUUGAAAAUUUCGUUAACUCCGUUAAUUAUUAGCACAUGAGACUCACAAAUGAAACUAAAAAUAUAAAGUUAGCCUCACAUGUAAUCUUCACGUGCUAACAAUUAAAAGAGAGUUCCGUUUUAGCUUAAUAUAUGUGACUCACGUGUUAAUAAUUAACGGAAUAUUAACAAAAAUUUUAAUUUUAAGCAUAAAUUCAAAUAAACUUCACCACAUAAGCUUAAAUUCUAAUUUAGAUAUCUUCUAACUAUCUUAUCACCAUAAAAAUUAUAAUCAAAUUAAACUUAUUAUUUAUUUAUAAAUGCGUAAUUAAAUCACAAAGUGUUGAAUGAAAGGGAGCACUCCAAAUGAUGAAAGAUGUGUGAUAUCCACACAUCUUUUUUUUUACUUUUUACACAUCGUUUUAAUUUUCGACUGUCGGAUCGAAUUAAUUGAAGAAAAUCAAAGGAUAAAAAUCAACAAAGGGUGUGCAAGAAGUAAAAAUGAGUGUGUGGAUAGUCAUCCCAUGAAAAGCGGGAGCAUCGAAAGCUAUCUCCGUUUCUUGUUGUCUAUUUGUCUUCUUUUGGCAGAUAGCUCCUAGGGACCGGCCUAUUUUCCACAGCUGGUUAUAGGACUCAGUUACUAUAGAAGGAGUGUUUUGUUGUAAUUCAAUAUCGAUGGAAAUCCAACAUAAUCUUUUUCAAAUUUUUGUGAGGAUUUUGGGGUGUACGUAAAUUGAUUAUGUUCAUCGUAUAUUAUGUGACCAUUUUUUAUCAAAUACUAUUUGUGUUUCAUUUUAAAUAAAAUAAUUUAAAAUAAUUUUUAACUGCAAGAUGUACAAUGAACGGAUAUAAUUCACAAAUCUCCAAAAUCCUUACAAAAAAAUCCGAAAAAGAUCCAAAUUCAAUGGAAAUAAGCUAAUUUUGAAUCAAAUUACAUUACUUUAUUUUGUAAAUAAAUUAAUUUUGAAUCGAACAACAUUCAUUUAUUAUGUAAGUAAUUCAUUUUGUAUGUAUCAUCAUAUAUAUUAGGCACAUUUUAUCAUAGGUGAUUUUGUGAAAAAUUAAUAAAAAGUUACAAUAUUAACAAUAGAUCAAUAAUAUUUAUGUUAAUUAUAAAUAGGUUAACCAUAUGUUGUGAUACUUAAAUACAUUUAAAAUAAAUAAAAAUUACAAAAUCUGACAUCCACUGCGACGUAGGAGCCACGGUGCAGCCCAAACUUUGCAGAUAAGAAAUCUGGUAAUUCACAGCAUGACAAACAAAUUACUGGGUCUCCUGACCAUCGUUGAUGCCAAUGUGUGCACAAGGAAAGGAGUAAGGUAAUCAAAUGCGUUAGUCUUGUGUACCUGUUUCGGUGUUGGUUUGGAUGAACCCAUUGAGUUCUCGAUCCUUAACUUCUGGAAAUGCUCCUGAAAGCAUAAAUAUAUGUACGGAUUUAAACCAAUGACAAAUGGACAUAAUUUACGGACAAUGAUUGAAGAAAAUACAGAUAUAAACGCCUCAGUAUUCCAUUGACGAAAGUUCUAGAUUUGAUGAAUCAAAAGUCCCACGUUGAGACUGCGUUAAGGCAAAUGGUUCUCAAAACCUGUUUUUCCCUCAUCAAAUGAGCGCGUUGAUCUGCAGGUAUUUUCUGCCAUCUCAAAACCUGUUACAAAGAAAUAUAACGUUGAUGUCGAGCUGGAUAGCAUAUUAUACCAAUUAUGUGUACAAACCUAUUGAAAUAAAGUAGCUGUAGUUGCAUAUUACGACAGAUAUUAACGAAAACAAAAGAAGGCUCGCCUAUUCAAGAUCCUAAAUCCCGUGAUUCUUUUGUUUUUAGUUUCAGAAAUUUUCAGAGCAAACUGGAAAGUACCAAGAUACUUACAUAUUGGGCAUAAUGAAAUGCAUCUUCAUCUUUCAAGCAAGAUUUGAGUGAGCGCAAACCGUCCUGAGAGUUACAUAAGUCAAUCAGUAAUAUAAAAACGUAGACGCAUCACAUCCAAACACAAGUAUUCAAACACCAACAACUUCUUCAUGCGGUGAGGCAUGUUAAAAAAUAGGGAAGAACAGUUAUUGAAUAGGAAGUUAAAGGACUAAAUUUAUGACCUUGUGUUUGUAGUUCUUGGCUCGUAUGCGUUCAUCUAUUACAAAACCAAUCUGUAACAGGUACAACAGAAAAUAUAAGCAGUAGUCAGAACAUUAAUCUUCGGCAUUCACAUUGCCACCAAUCCAAAGUUAAAAGUCUGAAGGCAAAACAGUAUGAUUCUUAUCUCUCAAACAAAAAUGAAACUAUACCCCGGUCUCAGACAUAAAUGAAAUAAGUUCUACUGCCUCAACUGAGUACUGUGAUUAUAUAUAAAUCCAAUUCACCUUGUCAAGUAAUCUCUUAGGAUCUUGAAAUGCUUCCUUCUUAGCCCAGUCAUUAAAUACAUGCGAGAAAAUUGAUCUCUCAUCCACACUGAAUCUAUUGCACAGUGACAGAAGAAUAAAGUUAAACAUGAACAUAACCAACCAAAAUGCUAGUUAUAAUAGUACACCCAUAAUUGCAAGCAAAACCUUUUUAAGAAGCCAUUUCCAUGGUUUUCCUCCCAAAUUCCAUCAAUUCUGCAGAGGCAACGUCAAAUUUACUAUGAUGGAGAUCAUUUUGCACUGUAAUAACUUCAGAAGGUAGGAGAUUUGGUUUCAGAUCAUCUGUUGACGGAGUAGUUUCUUUUGAAGUGUCAUGAUGCUUUUGAUUGCAAGCCUUCUGUACUUACGUCAGCCUACAAAACAAAAAUUGCAUUCAUCCACACUAGACUUAAUAAGAUUAGAAACACUUCAGAUUCUUCAUUAUUUGUAUUUUUGACUAAACAGCAGAACAACUGAGGAUAAUGAACAGUAAUACACACCUGGACUUCUCGUAGAUGAUUUGGAAUUUCUUUCAGAAAUCGCGAAGGUUGAAGCAUCUGAAGGAGUCACCUUCUCAGUCAGAGCAACAACAACAAAUAAGGAGGACAGGAAUUCAAGCUAAAACGAACCUGCCAACUGGAAUCCAUCGUAACAUAAAGAAUGAAAAGCUUUUUUCGAGCACGAGUCAUUGCAACAUAUAAUAGGCGUCUCUCCUCCUAUGAUUAGAGUGGGAUUAUUGAGUUAUUGACCAAAAGAAAAAAGAGUGGGAUUAUUGUGAAAAACAUGUCAAAGCUCUGCAUAUAACUGAAAAAUGUUGAACAAUUUACCACACACCUCAAUGGAGGUCCCAUUUUCUUUUGCAACCCCAUUGAAUUCAUGCAACAACGGGAUCUCAGAUUCAUUUACCUGUGUUAUUGGCAUGAGCAUUAAAGCAAGCUAAGAUGAUUUGAAGAGGUUGAUAUCGUCAUGAAUAUAGUAGAACAGAAUACCAAUUUCAAGCCAUCAAUUAGGUAUAGCAUUGGCAUGUUUAAUCCGUAAAUCUAAUGACAGAACACCUCAACUCUACACAUAAAUAAAUAAACAACCUGAAAAAUAUUACAGCCACAUGUUAAGGCAAAUACCUUAAUUAUGAAAACUAUAUCCCACUCUAAACCUUUUGACUGCAAGAGAAUGAAAAAGAAAGACAGUAAGCCAAGAAUGUUUUGUAGAACUCCAAAGGAAGUCCAAUAGGGAAAUCAUCGCAAGUAUAAGAGUUAGCGAGGUUCGCAUAAGAGGAUAUCAAAAAGAUCUAGAACCUGAUGAAUAGUAGUCAAAGUGACAGAACUUUGGUUGUCAUGUCUUCGGGAGUGAAAAUUUUCACUCUCCUGCUCAGAUAUGUAGUCGAUGAAAGCUUUGAGUAAAUUAACGCAGCCUUUUUCUUCUGCUACGACUUCUCUCUCCCCUUUUCCCGCAACAAAAUGAGUUGAUAAGAAAUCAGAUACGUCGUCUAGUAGGUACUGAAGAACCUGCAAUGAGAAUAAUCGCAUCACAGCAACAGGGUUGGACCAAGAUUUAAGUGACAACAAUGAUUAACUAACUAAAAUAGAGAAAUUAUUCAUUUAAGACCUUGUUGACGGAAAAAAGGGUUUUCCAAGCAGCGGGUCAUUUAAGCUUAUUGUAUAAAUGACAAUCAUCACAAACGGCAAACUUACAGAUCUCACGUCAUUGUCUUCAUUCAGCAGUUUUCCUCCAUCUACAUCAACGACUGCACGUUGCUCAAGACGGUACUUCUAAAAAUUGAAAGUCAACAACAACAACAACAACAACAACAAAGCCUUUUCCCACUAAGUGGGGUCGGCUAUAUGAAUCCUAGAACGCCAUUGCGCUCGGUUUUGUGUCAUGUCCUCCGUUAGAUCCAAGUACUCUAAGUCUUUUCUUAGAGUCUCUUCCAAAGUUGUCCUAGGUCUUCCUCUACCCCUUCGGCCCUGAACCUCUGUCCCGUAGUCACAUCUUCGAACCGGAGCGUUAGUCGGCCUUCUUUGCACAUGUUCAAAAUCACCGGAGCCGAUUUUCUCUCAUAUUUCCUACAAUUUCGGCUACUCCUACUUUACCUCGGAUAUCCUCAUUCCCAAUCUUAUCCUUUCUCGUGUGCCCACACAUCCCACGAAGCAUCCUCAUCUCCGCUACACCCAUUUUGUGUACGUGUUGAUGCUUCACCACCCAACAUUCUGUGCCAUACAACAUCGCUAGCCUUAUUGCCGUCCUAUAAAAUUUUCCCUUGAGCUUCAGUGGCCUACGACGGUCACACAACACGCCGGAUGCACUCUUUCCAUCCAGCUCGUAUUCUAUGGUUGAGAUCUCCAUCUAAUUCUCCGUUCUCUUGCAAGAUAGAUCCUAGGUAGCGAAAACGAUCGCUUUUUGUGAUCUUCGCUAGAUUUCUCCGGUCAUUAGUGUGGAUAAGUAUAUAAAUGGAUAGAGAUAGGAAAGCAAACACAAGAUGUACGUGGUUCACCCAGAUUGGCUACGUCCACGGAAUAGAAGAGUUCUCAUUAAUUGUGAAGGGUUUACACAAGUACAUAGGUUCAAGCUUUCAUUUAGUGAGUACAAGUGAAUGAUUUUAGUACAAAUGACAUUAGGAAAUAUUGUGGGAGAAUGAUCUCGUAAUCACGAAACUUCUAAGUAUCGGAGUGUGGUGUCGUCUUGACUUGCCUUAUCUGUCUCAUAGGUAGAUGUGGCAUCUUCUCUGGAAGUACUCUUCCUCAAACGAUAAAUUAUUAAGAAGCAUUGAAUAUAAGCAUGAAACGAAGAAAAUGUUAUGGAAUGGUGAUCCUCAUCCUCAAAGAUGAUUAAAAGCAAUUUGAUUCAAAAAUGACAUAUCAACUCUGGAGAAAUGGAAGACAAACCUGUGGUACCAUAUUCGCAACUGAGGUUAUGACAGCUGAAAUCGAUUGUUCCUGUGUGCAUUGAUAAGUGAGACUACCAUAGAGAUUCACAACUAAAUAAAGACAGGUAUUCCACAGAACAACCUUUACCUCUUUGGAAACACAGAUCUAACAAAAACUAUAACAUUUUGGAUUAAUAUUGACAAAUCAAGAAUAAUGCAAGGGAGCAAGAGAUACUCUUCCUUCUAAUAACAAGGAGGCGUGAAAAGUAUACAGAGUUCCAACAAUUAGAGAACUAAAAUCAAACUAAAAAAAUCACCAAAGUAGACAGAAUCUCACUUCGCCAAAAAUUUGAAAAUAUACCUUUUUAUCCAUUGAGAUUCAUGAACUACUACUACUACAUCAUGCCAAUAAGCAAUGCGUAAGAGGAGCUACAAUUUACCGAAUAUAUUUACCCUGAGAACAAGUUUUGAAAUCAUCUCUAGUGUUAACAGCACCUUGCGUCCUUGGGUAAGCUGAGUCCUAUUAUCAAGUAAAGAGACCAAUCAGUACAUAUCCAAAAGAUCUUAAAUGCUUGUAAUACCAAAUAAGAAAGAAACAUGAGUAUAUCUUGAAUUAACCAUGCAAAAAUGUAAUGUUAAAGCAUCUUGUCAUACAGACCUCUUCAAGGUACCAGAAAUUUUUGCACUAAAGAUGUCACAAGCAGCUGAUAUGAAGCUGCAUUUUCUGUGAGUUGAAAUUUUGUCAAUAUAAUCGAUCACCUGAAGAGAGAGAGAGAGAAAAAGACAGUGAUAUCCAGAGAUGUGAGCCUAAAUGCUGAGUGUGUAAAAAAAGAAGAUUAAAUGGAUAGCAAGAAUAUACAACUUUAAUGCUGAAAAGAACAUUGAAUAUGAUGCUCAUUCAUCAUUCCCAUUGAACGUGUACCUUCUUCUUUUCCUCUUUCUCAAAAGCAAGUAGAGCCUUGAAGACUUGCCUAUAUGAUCCAUCAUCACAACCAGGCAAAGUUGUUUUAAUCAUAGCAACAAUGGCUCUAACUACCUGCCAUAAGAAACAUGCUACAUCAACAAGAUCACAGAGUGUACCAGAAACCGUAAUGUAGCAAAAUCUUGGAUAAAAUAGCUGGCCAAAAGGGAAUGGAAAAGCAAGCAUGAAAAACAAUGAAAAGGACCAGUGAUGCCAAAAUUCUGGUGGAAAAGGUGAAAAGCUUCUGUCUAUUACAGUUCUUGUAUGCAUUCUUUAUAACUUAAGUUCUACGUAGCAAAAACCACCUUAUGCACAACAAUAUUGGAAAAAUUAGAUACAUACAACUGAGAAGAUAGGUUUUCAUAAUCUGGACAAGUGCUAACUACUUUCUUCCUAUAAACUGCCACUCCAUGAACAUUAAAUGGUAUUUUCCUUUCACGCAAGGCUGUCUGGAAGACUUUUCCUGAUACCUGUAGCAUAAAAUACAAAAGAAAAUGUGACCAAAAUGUCUUAUAUGAUUCACCUCAUUCACAUUAGCACUAAGGCAAGUAAGCUUGACCUGCCUCCGGUAAAGGAUUGCUAUAUUUCCAUAGGAGCACCCUGCUUCUGACCGUUUAGAUGCAGUCUCCAGGAUCUUGUCGACAACAAAGGCGCAUUGUGCAUCCUCAUUGUGACUUUCCUUGAUAAUUACCUACAUUUUGCCAGUAAAACCAGUGUCACUAACUAUAAGGACUGAAAAAUGACAUCAAAUUGUACUUGUUGGAGCAAGGAAAGAUUAAGUACCUUAGACCCAGAAGAAUUGUCCAUGUCAACAUUCUUUAGUUGGCAUUGCUUCUUAUUGUUUUUUAUAACAGAAGUUGCAGCUUCCACAAUAUAGCGUGUGGACCGAAAGUUUUUAUUAAGCCUAAUCUGAACCAUAAAGUUAUGUCAAAUCCCACAGAACCUCGUAAAAUAAAACUUACUUUCCUGUAAUUGUACAAUAUAUUUUUUCUGUACUAUAUAUAAUGAAAAAAGACACUGAAUGACAUAAGAUAACAUAGCAGUCAAGUGCGAAGCGAACCUCUUUGUAAUUUGAAAAAUCUUUACGAAAAGAAUCAAAUCCAGAAAUGUCCGCCCCAUUGAAACUGAAAAUGGACUGCAGCAGGAUAUAUGUUAUUUGAUUUAAAACAGAUAAGGGCUGGAUUAGAAUGAGCUGAGAGAGAGAGAGAGAGAGGGAGAGAGGGAGAGAGGGAGAGAGGGAGAGAGGGAGCAAUAACAUUGGAUUUCCAUAACAAAUCAACAACAUGCCUGAUCAUCAUCACCAACAAUGGUUAUGUGGUUAUGAGAGGCGAGAAUCCGCAAAAGACUAUAUUGCAUAGCACUUGUGUCUUGAAACUCGUCUAUUACAGUAGCUUUCCAUGACUCCUGGCACUCCUUCAACACUAAUUAAGAGAACACCAUGUAUCAACAUUUAGCAUUACUUGUAAAACUAGAUAAAUCAAUGAAAUAUACUUAGAUGAUAGAGACCUUCAGGAAAAUCACUUAGCAGCUUCACAGAGCAGCUAAUUAAGUCGUGGUAGUCCAAAGCAUUGCACGAUUUCAAGAUAUCAUUGUAAUUCCUAAGAAUUUCACCCUGAUUCAGAUUGAGAGCUAAAACUCAUAAGCAAUAGUUUCAAAGAACUGAAAUGAUAUCUGAAAUUCUAGUUCUGAGCGUACUCCUGUCACAUCACCCAUUCUUCGGCAUUCAGCCGGAGUCUUUCCAGAAGCCUUUGCCUGAAACAUAAAUAAAUUUAUUGCCUAAUGCCACAUAUUGUAAGACACACCAUUGUAUUGGUCAUUCUAGCUUGAUUGUAGCUAAUAUUUUUUAAAUCGAAUGAUUAGAGUUCUUAAUCCACAAUAAUCUGAACAUUAAAUUUGGUAUUCAAGACUAACCUGUGUCACCAACUACAGCCAUUUCCUUGAUGCAUCCUUAAAAUGAUGUGGAGAUGUUACGCCGUUAGACUCUUCCCCAUCUAUAGCAACAUUAAGAUUCGUUUACUCUUUUCAUCUUCUGAUAACCGCACAGCUUCAAUGAUUGCUCUUCUCUGUUGCCCAUGUCCAUAUAUCAAAAAUUCUGGUCUGCGCUCGAGUCUAAAACACAAGCCAACAUAACAGACUCAGCUAUACCACCAAAUGUAUGGUGUUCAAAAUCAAGGGAGGUGAAUCAAUAGCUUACUUCUCAGCAUGUGAUCGGCAAAGUUGCAAUGAAAAUGAAUGAAAUGUACUGAUUGUUAGUAGUUUUGCCGUUGCUUUCCCAGUCACAGAUCCAAUUCGAUCUCUCAUCUCGGAAGCUGCUGCUGUAGUGAAAGUCAUUGCUAGAAUGUUCGACGUGCUAAUGCCCUAAGAACACAAAAAAAAAAAAAAAAACGUAUAAGAUUUCGAUCAUAAACAAGAAAUGUAGAGAAACACACAAUUACGAAAGAAAAAGUUAGAGGGAAAGUAGCAACACCUCAUUGAGCAGCAUUAGAACGCGCCCAACUAUCGUUGAAGUCUUUCCACUUCCAGGGCCGGCAACAAUCAUCAAAGGUACUGAAAUAUCGCUGCAAGCUGCCUCGCGCUGCCUUUCGUUGAGAGAAAGCAAAUACUUCAAUACUCAUCCGGCAUGUUAGGCAAUCCAUGGUUAACAGAAUCUUUUUGGUUUUCACUACUCAAAGGUGGCGCUGAUGCGGCACUAACGUCACUACCACAACUCCCAAUAUCAUCACGCUGAAUGUCCACACUCGGUUUCUGCUCGAUUAAAGCGUCAAUUUCCUGCAAAAUACUCUCGUCGAAAUCAUCAUCGUUAAGAAUUCCAGAUGCAGAGAAAGAAUCAAAUGAAGUCAGAAACUGCGGUUGUCUGAUUGGAGUUGUGAAAGAAUCCGAUUUUGACACGCUUGAUUCGGUCCGGCUAACGCUUAAGCUCCCGGAACACGAAGCACUGCCAUAUUCACCACGCGUUGAAUUGUACCGGCUUGCGGAAAUCGGAGGCGGUGUUCUUUGAACUCUAUUGAGCUGAGUUGGCGUUUGGAUUCCAUUUCCGCCACAGAUUCUGGAAUUUGAAAAACACAAUUGAAUUGAUUUAAAUUGAAGCAAGAAAACAGCCGAGUAGCAAAAAAAUAGUAAGAAGAUGAAACCUUUGAUUCCUGAACGACUUACUUGGUAUGAGGGAGGUGAUGAUCAGGUGAAACGGCGUCGUUGCGGGGGCGUUUGCGAUCAAUGAGGGCCUUGGCGGCUCUGAAAUUCCGAGAGAUGCGGUUUCUUUGUUCCGCCGUGAGCCCUCCGCCGUACGCCUGAACGUUUUCCUUGGACAUUGCUUCGAAGAUUCCAACGGAGGAUUUGGCCUGACGGCCUGACCAGGCUGAUAACAGUGUAAAACCUUAGGAGCUAAGGAAAACUAAGAGAUAGAUCGUAGAGAGGGAAAGUUUUUUCUUUUUGGAAACUAGUAGGGAGGGAAAGUUUGUUAAACCUGAAUAAUAUUCUUUUCAUUCAACUUGUCUACAAUAAUUACCACUCUUGGUAUUUAUACAUUUCUAACACACCUCACUAACUAACUAAGACCACUACCAAUCAUACAAAAAUAAUUGUCCUUUGAUGAACUCUUUCACGAACAAAGUGGCAAUCAAUCUCUACAUGUUUGGCUUUAGAGUGCAAUACAGGUUUAGUGGCAAGAGCCAUUGCUUAAAUGUUAUCACAAUGCAAAACUGGAACAGAAGGAGAACCAACAUGCAAAUCUCGAAGAAGAUGUUGUAUCCAGAUAACCUUAGCAGUGGUUGUAGCCAUUGCUCUAUAUUCAGCUUCAGUGGAAGACCCACUCACUGUAUGCUGCUUUUUAGAACUCAAAGAGAUAGGAGUGACAAAACCCAUGGUUGAACGACGAUCAUUGUGAUCCCCUGCCCAAUCAGCAUAUGUAUGAGCUUUCAACUAAGAUGAACCUGAUUUAAAACACAAUCCCAGAGACAUAGUGCCUCUGAGAUAUCGCAGAAUACGUUUCACAGCAGCAAAUGAGUGGCUAAUGGUGAAUGCAUAAACUGACAUACUUGAUUGACGGAAAAAGAAAUAUCUGGUCUUGUAAAUGUUACGUAUUGUAGUGCCCCAACAAUACUUUUGUAAGUGGUAGGAUCAGAAACAGGUUCACUACCAUGAUUCAGAAGCUUUUGAUUAGGAUGACAAGGUGUGGAAAAAGGUUUACAGUCCAGCAUAUGCAUCUUUUGAAUGAGUUCUUUGACACACUUGGUCUGAUGAACAAAGAGUCCCUGUUCUUGAUAUUCAAUCUGUAAACCAAGAAAAUAAUGCAACACACCCAGAUCUUUCAUGUCAAACUCACUAGUUAACUGACUAAUAACAUUCUGAACCUUCACAGCAUCAUUACUAGUGGGAAUGAUAUUAUCAACAUGUAAUAAGAGAACAAUAAUUGAUGAACCAUCACACUUGACAAAUAAAGAAGGAUCUGCAUAUGAUGACUUGAACCCAAGCUUAGGCAAAUAACCUGAAAACCUGUCAUGUUAGGCUCUGGGAGCUUGCUUGAGUCCAUAUAAAGACCUCUCUAGUUUGCACACAUAAUCCGGAUAGGUAGAAUCCACAAACCCUUGGGGCUGAGACAUAAAAACUUCUUCCUCAAGAAAGCCAUGCAAAAAAGCGUUCUUGACAUCUAACUGUUUGAGUUUCCAAUUAUGAGAUGCAGCCAAGGAUAGAACCAAUCGAACUAUGUUUGGUUUGACCACAGGGCUAAAGGUUUCAUAAUAGUUAAUACCAACUUCUUAAGAAUACCCCUUAGCUACAAGUCUAGCCUUGUACCUAGCCACUAAACCAUCUGGAUUUCUCUUAAUCUUGUAGAUCCAUUUACAACUAACAAGAUUUUUGUCAGGUGGUAAGGGCACAAGCCUCCAAGUAUGAUGUUGAAUCAAAGCAUCCAUCUAUUCUUUCAUGGCAUUUUGCCAUUAAACACACUUGACAAUACUAGAAAAAGACUGAGGUUCCUUGAUUUCAGAAGCCUGAUCCACCUUAGCAGAAAACACCUUCUUUUUCAUAAUCCUAGACUUAGACCGGGUUUGCAUGGGAUGACAAUUUUGAGCAUUGAUACACACUGGUUGGAGAUCAUCCACUUGAGACAUUGUAGUAUUUGGAUGAUCUUUUGAAUACACAGUAGGCAAAACCUCUGAAGAAGGCACAAAACUUGUGGAAGAAGAGACAAGAUCACCAGAACUAGUGGGUUGAGAGGAUGAUGACUGAGUAACAUGUUGUGAUUUAGAGGUAAGAGAAGUGGGACCAAUAAAUGGAAAUGUGGAAGAAACACUAGGUGGAUGAAUGAAUGUGUUUGAAUGCACAACAGACAUUGGUGAGGAAGAAUGACCAGAAGUAACUUGAGGAUUGAAACCCAAAGCAUUAGAGUCUGUAGGAAACUUGGAUUCAUCAAAAAUAACAUGUCUAGAUACUAACAGUUUCUGAUCUUUGAGAGAUAAGCAAAUAUACCCUUUGUAUUGUGUAGCAUACCCCAGAAAAAUACACUUAGUAGUUUUAGGUUCAAGUUUAUUGCUUCUAUAGGGUUUCAAUGAAUGAUAGCAUAAACAACAAAAAAUUCUCAAAUGAUCAAGCUUAGGUGGAGAUUUAUAUAGCAUUUCAAAAGGAGACUACAUAUGUAGGGUAGGUGUGGGCAUUCUGUUUAUAAGAAAAGUAGCAGUGGCACACGAAUGGAACUAGAAUUUUGAAGGUUGAAACUUGUUGUAAAAAGGUAAUAGCUGUUUCGACAAUAUGUUGAUUUUUUCUCUCAGCCAACCCAUUAUGUUAUGGGGUAUAAGGACAAGAUUUUUGAUGAACAAUGCCUUUGGUAAGAAGAAAUUGCUUAAACUGAGUAUUAACAUAUUCCCCACCCCCAUCACUUUGCAAAAUUUUUACAUAAGCAUCAAAAUAAUUCGAGACAAAAGCAAGAAAGUUGACAAAACAGUGAGGGACCCCAAACAUCUAUGUGAAUUACUUCAAAUGGAGUAAGUGACUUCGAAGCAAUUACAGGAAAAAUGGAGCUUGGUAAAAUUUGCCUUGCAAACAAGCUUUACAAGUAUGAGAUUGAGAGUUACAAGGAAAAGAUAUACAAGACUUAUUAAGUGCUGCAGUGACAAUGGAAUGUGCAGGAUGGCCUAAUCGACAAUGCCACAAUGUAGAAUACAUCUUUUGACCCACAAAUGCAAUUGGAUUAAAAACAGGAGAAAUAGACCUAUGUGGUUUGAUUAUGGGAAGUGGAUAGACAACAUUAUUACUCAGCCCUUGGAAUAGCACUUUCCCGGUGACCUUGUCUUGUAGAUAGAGAGAAACAUCAUCAAUGAUACAAUGACACUGAUUAUCUUUGCACAACUGAUUCAUAGAUAAUAAGUGUUGUGACAGUUUUGGAACAUGUAACACAAAGUUUAACUUGAAAUUAUGUGACUUAGUGAGAAGAGAAGAGGAACCAAUAUGUUUGAUAGCUAAACCUUCACCACUAGCACUGGUCACAGUAUCAUUUGAUGGAUAAAUUUGUUGCCAUGUGCAAGUUUGACAAAUCUGAGGUCAUAUGGUUAGUUGCUCCCAAGUCAAGAAACCAUAAAUCUUGUUGAAGAGUUGAGGAUGAUGCACCAGCUCGUGCUUGUAUAGCAAGAGGAGGAUUUUGUGAGGAUAUAGUUGAGAGAUACAUAUGUGGUAUGACAUGAUACUGAAACUGGGAGCUAUUAGACCGUGGAAUCAUGCCUUGUGAAGGACCACAUGGAUUCUAGCUAGGUGCUUCGCCAUAUGACCCAGCAGGCAUUGGAGUUGGCAUAGAUGAGGAUAAACCCUGAGAGAAAUGCUUUGAUGUGCCUGUGAAAUUCUUAUUUCGAUCAAAGCAAGUAGCAGCAACAUGGCAAUUUCUGUGACAAAUUUGACAUCCAUGUUGAAAACAAUUCAAUGCAAAAUAAACUUUGCGAUCACAUAUUUGCAGAAAGGCCUUUGCAACCCUAGAAAGAAGAAGGAGCAAAGAAGACCAAAUGUGUACGUUUCUCUUUGGUUUUUUUUCCCUCUUAAUCACGCUGUUCGAAAUCACGGACCUCGGGCCUGGGCCUAGUGGGCCCAAUUAUGAGGCCCAUUAUCUCCGGUCUUCUCGUUCUACUUCUAGUUACCCAAAUUAAGAACGUACUGGUUCGCUUUUAGCGCGAGAGAGAAAUGGAGGCCCUGAUUGCCUCGUACGGAGACUCGUCGUCGGGCUCAGACUCCGAGUCGCCGGCUCCACCUCCAUCACCACCUCCGGAGCUCAACAACCCUCAAGAACCGACCCCUGCGCUGCCUCCACCUCCUCUGUCACUUCUCGACAACCCCAAUUCCUUCGGUAACCUCUGAUUCCCAUCAAUUUUCAUCUUUUAGCUUUCUGUUGUGAUGGCUUUUUCCGAGUUGCCCACCAAGUAUUUGAUGUUUUGCCUCUGAAGGAUUUCUGGACUUCUCGGCAAGCGCCCAGCCGAGCAGAGUUCGGAACUUUCCUCACGUCGAAGGGAACUACGCAGUACAUGUAUACAUCCCAGGUUAUCAAAAUUCUCGAAAUUUUCAGCUCCAUUAGCAAAUGCGAUCGCUUUGCACUUAGUUUUUGCUUGUUUAAUUCUGUGGUCAGUUUAUAUACCACCAGCACCAAGGAAAGAGAUGGCCUUGUUUUUGAACAAGCUAGCUUCUCUGGUGCCUGGUCUCCAUGCGGUUGACGUUGACUUCCUGCUUGACAUUCUGCGUAAGGACGAGCACAAGCUUGAACAAGUUGCUUUAGGCAGAGAGUUCCAUAUAAGUCUCGGAAGAACUGUUCCGAUUCGGGUGCACCAGAUUGAUUCCUUGGUGACAAUGCUGCGGCAGAAGCUUCAGAUUCAGAGGCGGUAUGGUUACAUUUACAUUCUCUUGUCUGCAUUGCGUGAAUUUAGUUCUGUUAUUUAACAUAAUUCUGUAAGCCUGCAAAUUUUUCGUCCAUUUUCAGUUUAACACAUUUUGUUAUUGUGAAACAAGUAUUGGAUUGAUUUUAGCAAGUGGUAGGUUUUUGUUAAUGAUGAUCAGACCCGGACCUUUGUGUCUAUCGAAAUCAUUGCUGCUGGGUUAGCUGAGGUAUGAUUGCUAGCUUUCUCUCUUGGUGCAAUUCUAAAUGUUUUCAGUUGUUAUAUGGGCUUAAGAUUUAGCAAGGACUUGCCGAAAGUCAUGGGAUUUUGAAAUAUCGAGAUCUUGCUUGCUUAUUAGCUUAGAUUUGGUCUUCGAUGCACUUGUAACAUGAAAAACACAAACGAAAACUAAUGCAUGAUAUGCUCAUGGUUUUAACAUGUGUUGUCCUGGCGUAAAUCAUGUUCCUAAUCAUGUCAUGUGAGUAUAAGCCUAUGAAACUUAGGGCAUGUUUGGCGGGCUGGACAAGAUUGGAAUUGGUAUUUCAGACUAGUUAGGUUAGGAUUGAACUGGAUAGGAUAGGUUUUUUGUCUAAAGAUUGGUGUAGACUGUCUUAACCAGACUAGGAACGAUGGGAUUUAAAACGUGAAACAGAUCGGCGACAUCCCAACGAUGACCCGCCCACCCAACAACUCUGCUCGUGACUUGCAACACCUCUCGUACCCUCCACGCCCCUUGCGGCCCGUCAGACCACUCUGAUAUCCUGGAGGAGUGAAACGUGGUUACUAGAAGCAUACCUGUUUUCGUAUUAAUGCACGGUUGAAUCAGCUUUCAUUGUCUACAAGUCUGAAAUAUUUUAACUUCCAUUGAUUUCAGAUAACAAAGCAGAUUCAAGCUGUGAAUGAGGUGUAUAAGCUUCACAAUCAUCCUAAAUUUUACAAGGUUAGCUUUUUCGUCCUUUUCAAACUCGAAUCGCUUCCUGAAUAUAUGACAAUAUAUUGGAUCAAAUGAUUUCUCAAAAAACUAAUUCACUUGAUGGGGUCUUGGUGAUCACAGGAUCCACGCCCUCACAUCUCGGUAGCUUGGGCAUUGGGUGACAUCAGCAAUUCCCUGAACAAAGUGGUUGAAGAAGAAAGACGAAGAUCUACCAUCGGAGGAUCGUUACAGAAAUGUAUUUUUACCAGUAAAUUCAAUGGUAUCGAAUGUAGGAUUGGUAAUAAGACACACAAAAUAUGUAAAUUUUCUGAAGAAUAAUGUAGCCAUUUAACUGUAUUGUGAAAUUCCGAGAAUAUAUCACUGAGCAUUGGAUGAGAAGACAUUUCUUCGUUGGUGUCGAACUUCUUGUCGAAGGUAUUGGCACCAGUGUAAACGUCAUCAUCCAUGUUGAUGGUAAUUACUUCCCAGCUACUAAGGGUGUCGGAACAGCCUUGCACGCAGCCUCCUGUGCAUUACUUGGUAUUGUCUCAGAUUCUCCAAACUUGAAUGCUAAUGUAAACCCACUCUUGACCUUUCCGUCAUCUGCGAUUACCGGAAUGCCGGCUUGGAUGUUGCCGUUGACCUACCGAACUUAAAAUACCGACGAAAUGUUGGAGUACUUAAGUGUACUACUCGUUUUUGUAUGCGAGAGCUCCACCUCUAUCGUUGUAACAGCAUCUGAUGCGGACUAGUCCUUCAUUCCCGUUACUCUUUGCCAUCUCCACUUCGAACUUGGCGUGAUGGCUCCCGGCCUCCUCUCCGGUGAAAUUGAGUAACCCCGGAGCUGGCGUGCCAUCAAGAUUUCCGUCGUGUCUCUAUUUGCUGUUGUGGUUUGGUUUCACCACUAUAAACUUGGCAGAGUUGGCAUUUUCAUUCUGUUGUCUGUAUAUCUUGAUAUUACAAGUAUUUGUUGUGCAAAAUGCAUGCUAAGUUCAACUUAUGUUUAUAUGUGUGUGUGUGUGUGUUGCCACUUUUCCAACGUUUUCUCCAAAAUUGUGACGAGCAACAAAGCAGUUUUGAUUCCGUGCACAACAACGAUACCUCGAAAGAAAUUGAUUCUUCCCCAGAAAGAUGUUUUAAAACAAAGUUGAACAAGGGAAGAAAACUUUUGAAUCGCAAUCAGAUGUCUGGUCAAAUUCUUUAACAGUUGAUGUAUACAGAAGUUCCUUGCUUAUGACACGACUUAUGAGAGGAUGUAUGUAUUGCAUUUGCAUCAAAAGAAAGAAAGAAGGUUGUAAGUGGUAAGGGAACGACUACCGAUGCCGCUCCACUUCUAAUCAAAGGGAUCGAUCCGAGGGUCGUGUUCACUUGCCAUCGCCAUUCCAGUGCAAAGGCAUGUCGGGCACAUUACCUGCCACAUUUACAGACGCAAUGUUAGAUAUAGCUGCCAUUUGGAAGUCAUCUCUCAAAAUUUUGCUACUAAAUCAAUCUUAAACUUCAUUUCCAGUGCAAUUUUUUUCUUCUGAAUUGUCUUUCACAUGCCCGACAAAUAGAAGUAUCACCAAACAUGUGAAUAUAGAGCAUCUAAGCGGCAGGCACUAAAAGGAAUUUAGUAUGCAAUAAACAUUCAACGGACAUAAUUAUAUGUCUAACCUUUCCCGCUCCUGAGCAAUUUGAACAUCGUUCAGUUUUUGGCAGAGAUAGGGGUUGGUUUCCGCCAUCAGCUGUCGAUACUGGUUCAGUAAGAACAAGGGUUCCAGUGCUGGAGCAACGAGCACAAGCAAGAGAUCCUGCGUAAGUAUCAAAUACACAGGUAAGUUGACAUACGAAACCAAUCCGAACAUCUCCAUCGUAUAUAUUUAAAGCUACAGUACAUAAACUAAAAGUCAGAAAUAUAGGACAUUAUCACACCAGUUCCAAGACAAUAUUUGCAUCGUUUAUGCUCCUGCUGUUUCACAUUGUUUAUUUCAACUACCAUCAAUGCUGAGAUCACUCCGACUGCUCCUCCAGAGAAUGACGCCACUAUGGGAUCAACUUGACUGCAGUUUGAAAGUAAAGGAGAUCAAUAAACGAAACUGGUAACAACAUAGUAUCAACAUUAUUUAGCUUCGUUUCAAGAAAGAUGACAUCCUAGGUUUUUCUAAUGUGUAAAAAUUGAGGAUCCUCGUAAAAUUUGACCAUAUCGGUUCCCAAAGCAUUUGAUUCCUACGUUACAGACGGAAAACAGCAACAAUCGAAUUUAAAGAUUCAUAACACGAUAGAUGGUACAAAAUUUCAAAACGAUAAUUACUAGAGAACAGGAGGGUUAAUAGCCUGAGAUAUGAGCAAUACCUCAACUGCAACGGCAGAUGCAUAUUUACUAUAAAGUCUUUAUAUGAUGUGCCUCCUAUUCCCAGCUUCAACUCCAACUGAAAGAUGUAAAGGUAAUUGUAGGCAAAGAGUUACAAACAUAACCGAAUCCAUGUUUUAUAAGCAACAACUACACUUAUUUUGAUAUGUUUCCUCAUUUUUUACUUGCAAAUUCCGAACCAUAUUGUCGGACCAGUAAAAGAAAAUAAUGUUUAUGAUAACUGUUAAAACUAAUUACAACAAGUUAAUGCAUAAAGAACUUACGGAGGGUGCUAUGAGGCCACCGAAAAGGAUAAACCCCACAAUAAUUGAAUAACAAACAGCAUAAUACUGCUUAAGGUUGUCUGAACUCUGCAAGCAAUGAAUUCACCUUGUGAUUAAUACUUUGCACAAACACUAGUUUUCGCAAUUUUUUAUGAAUCGACAAAAGGCUACAACAAAAUAUGGCUAAAACAUGUCGGGGAUAUGAAAAUACAUGUCUUCACAGGGGCACCAGCUUACCAGGGGAGGCAAAAAUGGAAUGAACGAUGGAAAACUAGGAAGUUCGUUUUCUUGAUCUUCAUUUACCGCUCCAAGCUCUGCACGUUUAAUCCGCUGUUGUAUCCUCAGCCUGCGAACCUACGCAUAUCGAAGCUCAUUCUUAAAGAACACAUUUCUAAUGGCAAUUGGAGAGUAAUUUAAAACAUGCUAAACUGAGAAAGUGGUAGCAACUAGUAAUUGCUCUCACCUCCUCCAUAUGCAAGAAAAUUUUGUUGCGACGACUCCGAAUAUUAUCUUGAAUUUCCUGCAGCUCCAUUGUGGCAAAAUCCUGCACUGUUUCAGGCCCCUCUAUGAUACAAAAUCUGCACCAUUAAGCAUGUAAAAAUUAAAAAUUACAGGCUACAAAGCAAUUUCCGUAUAGUUGUUGGGUUAAAUAACAUCAACAGCAAAUAAAUCACAUAGGUUUUUCACAUAAAGUUACAAACUUUCAAGGACUAAUAAGCUGUCUGCAAUCUCAUAAAUUUCACAGUGCAAAGUAACAAUCCAAAGCUUGGAACUUUAAAUUUCCACCUUCUGUUAAUUUUUUAGUGCACCUGGUGUCGUUAGAUUCGAGUAGUAUGUCACAUUAAAUUUUUUUUUUCUGUGCAUGCAUUUUUUUUUAAAAGAAAAUUUUAUAUUGUUAAAGAGCGAGUUCGAAACUAUUACAUUAUGGAAGGACAUAGUACCGAAACUCCGACGAUCAAAAACAAAAUCAUGUACAACCACUCCAAGCAGUCAACAUGGCCAUCACAUAUUGAAUCCAAAAUGUUGACGCCCCAUUCGCUGCAUAUAAUGUACAGACGAGCGGCAGCUUCAACCAGUUCUGCCAUAUCCGGCUGGAUGAGAGCAGCUAAAGACAUGAUUGUUCCCUAAUAACAUGAAUAAAUUGAGUAAACACCAAAAGUAGCAGCAAGGGAAGGAGAUGUGAAGUAUAUGAAGAGGUGUAAGACCUGUGAAUGUCCAGCAACAAAGAUUUUGGAGCUUGUUGUCGAAUAAUGCAACGCAUCAUUUCUGGUAGAUCAAAUAGAGCCAAUUCCCGCCAACUCCAAUUCCAAAAUUUCUACAGUAAAGCAUAAAUCUUAUUCUCUCUUCUGAUAAAGAUGAGUGUCCCAGACUCCAACGUGUUCCACACACAUUCCCUACCCAUACAUCGAAACCUUCAUCUGCAAGGACGAAUCCCAGCGAUUCUUCUGGAGAAUUUAAGAAUCAUGCAUCACCUGGUUAAGAUCAAGAAAAGCCAGUAACCAAGUUCAAUUGAGUUAAAAUGUAUCCCAUGGAUGUUCAUCACUUUGCCCAAUUGUUCUUUUCAAGAAAGGAAAUUUCAACAGAACCUGAAAACUUCAGAUCAGGGGGCACCAAAUAGUGAGCUAUACAUUCAAAAUUUGAAAUAAUCAACUUAGUAGGACCAGUAUGUUGAAAAAAUGGGAAGGAGCUAUGAAAGUAAGACUUUUCACUAAUCAGGCGUCCAGAGAAUCCAUAUUUUACCCGCGUAUCAGUUACGGGGAACACUCCCCACCAGAGCAAUCUCAUUAGUCCUUCACAUCUCAACCGUACAGAAGUUGCACUAACAAACAUGACUCCUAUUAGUCCUUCACAUCUCAAAUCCAGGAAGUACCCAUCUUUCGUCUGAAUCUGGAAAAUAAGCAGCAGUCAAUUUAACAAUCUCGGUAUCUCAAAGUUACUCACUUUAAUCACAAAUUUAGCAAUUAAACAUAUAAAUGGGCAUUUUUUUAGGGAAAUAUUAGUAUAGUACUCACUGUGUGCUCGGAGCAAGAGUACCCAGAAAGCUCAAUGAGCUGCGCACAGAGGACUGCAGUGGUGAACGACAGCGACCAAUUCUGUAAAAUUUAGUCGAGUUUUGGGAAAUUUCUGCAGCGAUUUCGGAGGUCAAGAGGCUGAUAAGGAAAGCCGCGACCAAAGGGCACUGGUCUGGAAGAAAGGCUUUGGUCGCCGCUAUCGCAAUUCGCGAAGGAAGAAGUGCCCCAAAACAAUUUCGGCCCUGGACAGGUGCACUGUUUGCACUGAGCCAGGGCCGGCCCUGAAUCGCGAUAACGUCCUUCUCCAAACAGUAUAUAUACAGAUGCUAGAAAAAUCUACCGGAACUAUUCAAUUCUAGCGUCUACAGCUUUAGCAUUAGUUGGUACAAGGGGCAUUCUUCCAAAGAGGGAGAUGAAAUCGUUGAGGCACCAAAUAGUGAGCUAUACAUUCAAAAUUUGAAAUAAUCAACAUGGUAGGACCAAUAUGUUGAAAAAAUUGGAAGGAGCUAUGAAAGUAUGGCUUUUCACUAAUCAGGCGUCCACAUAAUCAAUAUUUUACUCACAGAUCAUUUACGGGGAACACUCCCCACCAAAACAAUCUUUUUAGUCCCUCACAUCUCAAACCAAGUAGAAAUUGCAGUAACAAACACAUCUCAAACCCAGUAAGUACCCAUCUUUCGUCUGAAUCUGGAAAACAAGCAGCAGUGGAUUCAACAAUCUGGGUAUCUCAAAGUCACUCACUUUAAUCACAAAAUUAACAAUUAAACAUAUAAAUGGGCAUUUAUUUAGUGAAAUAUUAGUAUAGUACUCACUGUGUGCUCGGAGCAAGAGUACCCAGAAAGCUCAAUGAGCUGCGCACAGAGGGACUGCAGCGGUGACGACGGCAACCGAUUCUGUAAAAUUCAGUCGAGUUUUGGGCGAUUUCUGCAGCGAUUUCGGAGGUCAAGAGGCUGAUAAGGAAAGCUGGGACGGAAGGGCACUGGUCUGGAAGAAAGGCUCAGGACACCGCUGUCCCGAUUCAUGAAGGAAGAAGUGCCCCCAAAACAAUUUCGGCUCUGGACAGGUGUACUGUUUGCACUGGACCAGGGUCGGCCCUGGCGAUAACGUCCCCCAAACAGCACAUAUACAGAUGCUAGAAAUAUAUAAAUGUAACCUGAAACUACUAGAACCAUUCAAUUCUAGCGUCUACAGCUUUAGCAUUAGUUGGUACAAGGGACAUUCUUCCAAAGAGGGAGAUGAACUCAUUGAGGCUCUUAUUUAUUCCUCCUCUUGAUGUGCCCUUUUAGGCUGCUAAUUCCACACGAUCCAAUUUCAUACAUCUUCCCUGCAAAAGCAUGUGUGCCUGACUUCAAGAUCAAAUUUUUCCAACAAAAGAAACUUAAAGAUCAAACUCGCUAGCGGAAUAAGUGGUGCACAAGGGUGUUAAAAUCUUGACAUAUGUAUAUUUUUGGCAGAUUUUAUGUGAGCAUGCAACUAAAACUGGCAUCACUAUCAAUGGUGCACAAAGAUUGGUGGAAAACUUUAACAGUUUGAGUUGUAACUUCUCCAUUGUAUUUGUUAAGGCAAGACGGAUGUCAUCUAUUCAUUUUUCUGUAAAACUUAAAAGGCUGCAUAGCAGCUCUUGUUCGUUGUAUUGAAUACCAUGGUUUUACUGAUGAAUGCAGAGUUUGCUGAUGAUUCAUACGACAAGCAAUUGAAAAUCCCAUCAUUAUGCCCCGCAUAUACCAGAAGAAAAAAAAGUCAUUUACACAAAUUCAGAGCGUUCAUCCACUGUAAUUUGCAGAUAUGGAAACGUUAAGAUAAAAGGAAAUGCAAAGUACCUUUCACCCAAAUUGGAGGAGCAACGGUGGCAUUAGCAAGCUAGCAACGGGAAUUGACAUACCAAUAUCUUCACAGUUUCUGCACAAGAACAAAUCAAAAGAAUCCGGCGGUGGAGUUAUGUACCUCUCCUUGGAAAAUGCCACCUCCUGGGAUUUCAAAAUAUACGGCCGUGGCUAGCCGUCUGACCACGCCAAUUCCACCAAAGCCGCCGCAACGUGGCGUAGUGUCCGGUUGAUUGCUUCAAAACAGAGCUUCGUAUCCAUGUGUUUAUCAGCAGAGAGUACCCAAAACCCCUGAAAAUUAUUUCUUUAUUCAGAUAAUAAAAUUUCCCAAAUUUCGAAUUUUAAUUCCGAACAAAAAAAAUAGGGUUUGAAUUUUGAUUACCUAGAAAUUGGGGGGUUGGGGUGGAGAGGGACUCGGGCCAAGACACAGAUAUGCAUCCGUGAUAAGGUGUGCAAGGCUUUUGCAGUUUCUCAGAUCUAAACACUGAAGCCCCGUAAGCCGUUCAAUCCAGGGGGAAAGCUCUUUAAUAGAUGUUCCAUCCAAGAAAAGAAAUCUUAAUCCUUCCAUAUUUUCUUCAAUGCUUGGAAACACCUCAAAUUUUGUACAACCGGAAAGAGAGAGAAAGGCAAGGGACUUCAGCUGACAAAUGCUACUUGGAAGACUCUUAAGUUCUUUACAAUUUUCUAGCUUCAAAUGAUUCAAUCCCAUGAGAUUAUUAAUUGAUAAGGGCAGUUCUUUAAUUUUCGACCCAGAUAAAUCAAGAACUUUUAACCCCUCAAUCACUUCUGAAAUCUCUGGAAACAUCUCAAGACUCCAGCAACCAUAAAGAUCAAAGGUUUUGAGAGAUUUCAUAUGAAUGCUGCUUGGAAGACUCUUAAGUUCCUUGCAAUCUUGUAGAUUCAAAUGACACAACCUCGUAAGAUUAUUAAUUGACGGGGACAGUUCUUUAAUUUUUGAGCAGGGUAAAUCAAGCUUUUCUAACCCCUCAAUACCUUCUGAAAUCGAUGGAAACAUCUCAAGACUGGAGCAGCCAUAAAGAUUAAAGGUUUUCAGACAUUUCAUAUGAAUGCAGCUUGGAAGACUCUUAAGUUUCUUGCAAUCUUUUAGGUUGAAAUGACUCAACCCCGUGAGAUUAUUAAUUGACAGGGGCAGUUCUUUAAUUUUGGACCCGGAUAAAUUAAGCUCUUCUAACUCCUCCAUACCUUCUGAAAUCUCUGGAAACAUCUCAAGACUGGAGCAGCCAGAAAGAUUAAAGGUUUUGAGAGAUCUCAUACGAAUUUUGCUGGGUAGAAUCUUAAGUUCCUUGCAAUUUGAUAGGUUCAAAUGACACAACCCCAUGAGAUUAUUAAUUGACUCGGGCAGUUCUUUAAUUUUGGACUCGGAUAAAUUAAGCUCUUCUAACUCCUCCAUACCUUCUGAAAUCUCUGGAAACAUCAGAAGACUGGAGCAGCCAAAAAGAUUAAAGGUUUUGAGAGAUCUCAUACGAAUUUUGCUAGGUAGAAUCUUAAGUUCCUUGCAAUUUGAUAGGUUGAAAUGACUCAACCCCAUGAGAUUGUUAAUUGACUCGGACAGUUCUUUAAUUUUGGACCCGGAUAAAUCAAGCUCUUCUAACCCCUCAAUCACUUCUAAAAUCUCUGGAAACAUCUCAAGGCUCACGCAGUUAAUAAGAUCAAGAGUUUUGAGAGAUUGCAUACGAAUUUUACUAGGUAGAAUCUUAAGUUUUUCGCACCCAUUCAGAUCCAAUAAAACAAGUUUUGUAAGAUUCGAAAUAGAUGGGUGAACCUUAACUAACCCUAUACAACCAUGAAGAAUUAGCCUCUCAAGAUUUGGCACAUUUGUGAAGUCAGGGGUUUCCUUAAGGUAUUCACAAUAACUUAAAUUGAUGAAUUUCAACUUUUCCUGCGUCUGUUAAAACAUUCAGGAAAACAUGCAUUACUUAAUAAGACAUCUCACUCAAAGCCCAAACAUUUAAAAGAAACAAAUACAUGUAAAUGAUUGUACAUACCUGGGUUCCUUCCCAAAGUCGGUCAAUG